AAGGUUUCUAUCGUCUUUCCUGUUGCGUUUUCUUAUAUUAAAAAUAAUAGAAAAACCUUGGUUCGUUUCAAUAGAUCUCAUCAUAAAUGAGGCACGCUCGGAACGGUUCGCAAAUGAGAUUGCUCCAUUCAUAAGUUCAUACAUUGCACCUUAGUACAGACAUCAUCGUUUGUUCAAAAUACGGAAGACACUUAAAAGUAGAGAUGUUGUCACGAGCAGACUCUUACUACACAUACUUCAAUUGCUAAUUGAACACAAGAACUCAAUUUUGCUUGCACACAAUAGUAGGCAACGGAUCCCUGCUUAUUCAUCAGCCCAGCAUCUCAUCUCCCGUUUCAUCUUCUUCUUUUUUUUUUUGCUUUCUUCCUUUGCCUCCCUUCCUCUUCCUUUAGUGGUGCCACGAAAUACCUGAUGUAGCCCUUCUCUGCAAUUAUGCACUCGACCAUCAAAGGUAGCGUGGUGGAGAGACCGAUCUUCACUUGAUCAAACAGGGUAGAAGACACCUUGGCGCAGGACUUCAUGUACCUCAGGUUCAAGGCCAAUGAAACUGGCCCUCGCGCAUGUGUAAGGGUAACACGCUGCAUUGAUACAAACAUGACCCAUUAACUAGUGCAGAUACGUGCAGAUACGCAUAGACGGAUCUAUUCUUCAGUAGUUUCUUAAAAUACUAGUUGAAUGGCACAAGAUACUAAAGAUGUUACUCCAUAUGAUAGAACCAAUUGAAAUUUAUAGAAUAAACAGAUGUUAGUUUGCACUGCAGAGUAGUUAACCACGUCACCAAGAUUUUACAGUUAAAGGAGGAAAUAAUAAGCUAACUAAAAAACAAACAUCUAAUUCAACCCCAUUUACCGCUUGAAGAGCCAUGUUCCGCUUUAUGAAAUAUAUGUAGCUUCUGCUCUAGACAAAUUAACUUGCAAGUUAUGAAGACUAAACAUACUCCAAACACAGAAACCAACAUUAACAAACAAAGUGAAUUAGGAACUCAACACAGUAUAGUGAGACAACGAAAUUCUAAGGCACUAUGUAUGCAUGUUCGGCUACUCUGGUGCCUAUAACCUAGGUGAGGAACCAAGAAUGCACACUUGCUAAGAAUCUACAACACAUCACUGAUAUGAUUGUUCACUGCAUUUCAUGUUACAGUCACAUACAGAUAUUCAGAGGAGGAGGAUAUCCAUUCCAAUUUGAGGGGCUAAGAGGGUCAAACUAUUAAGUACCUUGUCAGUUUUGUUCAGCACAUGGGAAAUGUUCAUGCACCUUCUUUCUCCUGAAGUAAAGAAGCUGAUGACCUUCUCAUUCACCUUGAUGACAACUACAGCAGGAGAUGGAAAUGGUUCAAGGUACAUAACUAGAAUCCUCCAUGCGCAACAGUAACAGUUAGCCUUAUAAAUCGCCAGGUAAAUCUAUGUACCAUCGUCGUCGAUGACGCUGAGGGACUUGCAGUUCAACAUAAACACCUUAGAGGGCAUGCAGAAAAUGGCCUGGUACUCCGACUCCAUAUCCUGCCAAUCCGGGAUUUUGAGGCGAUGGCUUCUGUCGUCCACAAGCCGCAAAUUCAUAGCCGUAGUUUUAGUCUUGUCUGUUCAUUUCCACAAACACAAAAUCAGCACAGGGUCAGGGCGAAGAGCAGCUAUCGCAAAAGACGUGCUGGCACUUACCGGGCGACACGAAUGUUAUGGUAAUGUCUUCAAAGUUUUGGUCGGUGACCUUGAUGGUGAUGAUGUCACCAUCUUUGGAGGCGCGGAGGAAAUUGACUAUGUCGGCGAUUGCGAUGCCCAUGGAGCAGUGUUUGUCGCAGCGGUAGGACUGGAAGACCUCGGGGGGGAAGAAGAGCGCGAGGAAGACGACCUGUUCGGUGUCCACGGCCUGGAGCGAGAAGCCCUUGCUGGAGCAGUUGACGUUGGCCACAUUGACCAGGUCGAGGAUCGCCUCCAGGACAUCCUCGAAGAUGCUUCCCUUUGCCUUCACCAUCCGCAGCUCCAACAUGGUACUAAAGAUGCUUCCCGUUUCAUCAUUUUUUUUUGCUUUCUUCCUUUGCCUCCCUUCCUCUCCCUCUGCCUCUUCGGUCUCAGUUUUCCCUUCCUCUGCCUUUAGUGGUGCCACGAAAUACCUGAUGUAGCCCUUCUCUACAAUUUGGCACUCGACCAUCAAAGGUCGCUUGGUGGAGAGACCAAUCUUCACUUGAUCAAACAGCUUAGACACCUUGGCGCAGGACUUCAUGUACCUCCAGUUCAAGGUCAAUGAAAGUGGCCCUCGCGCAUGUGUAAGGAUAACACUAGCUUUUUCUGGCUGCAUUGAUACAAACAUGACCCAUUAACUAGUGCAGAUACGCAUAGACGGAUCUAUUCUUCAGUAGUUUCUUAAAAUACUAGUUGAAUGGCACAAGAUGCUAAAGAUGUUACUCCAUAUGAUAGAACCAAUUGAAAUUUAUAGAAUAAACAGAUGUUAAUUUGCACUGCAGAGUAGUUAACCACGUCACCAAGAUUUUACAGUUAAAGGAGGAAAUAAUAAGCUAACUAAAAAACAAACAUCUAAUUCAACCCCAUUUACCAAUACCAAUGUAAUCAACCAAAUGAAGAGCCAUGUUCCGCUUUAUGAAAUAUAUGUAGCUUCUGCUCUAGACAAAUUAACUUGCAAGUUAUGCAGACUAAACAUACUCCAAACACAGAAACCAACAUUAACAAACAAAGUGAAUUAGCAACUCAACACAGUAUAGUACAAACAAAGUGAAUUAGCAACUCAACACAGUAUAGUGAGACAACGAAAUUCUAAGGCACUAUGUAUGCAUGUUCGGCUACUCUGGUGCCUAUAACCUAGGUGAGGAACCAAGAAUGCACACUUGCUAAGAAUCUACAACACAUCACUGAUAUGGUUGUUCACUGCAUUUCAUGUUACAGUCACAUACAGAUUUUCCGAGGAGGAGGGUAUCCAUUCCAAUUUGAGGGGCUAAGAGGGUCAAACUAUUAAGUACCUUGUCGGUUUUGUUCAUCACAUGGGAAAUGUUCACGCACCCACUUUCUCCUUUAGUAGAGAAGCUGAUGACCUCCUCAUUCACCGAGAUGACAACUACAGCAGGAGAUGGAAAUGGUUCAAGGUACAUAACUAGAAUCCUCCAUGCGCAACAGUAACAGUUAGCCUUAUAAAUAACCAGGUAAAUCUAUGUACCAUCGUCGUCGAUGACGCUGAGGGACUUGCAGUUCAACCUAAACUCCUCAGAGGGCAUGCAGAAAAUGGCCUGGUAGUCCGACUCCAUAUCGUUCCAAUCCGGGAUUUUGAGGCAUUGGCUUGUGGCGUCCACAAGCCGCAAAUCUAUAGCCAUAGUUUUAAUCUUGUCUGUUCAUUUCCACAAACACAAAAUCAGCACAGGGUCAGGGCGAAGAGCAGCUAUCGCAAAAGACGUGCGGACACUUACCGGGCGACUCUAAUGUUAUGGUAAUGUCUUCCAAGUUUUGGUCGGUGGCCUUGAUGGUGAUGAUGUCACCAUCGUUGGAGGAGCGGAGGAAAUCGACCAUGUCGGCGAUUGCGAUGCCCAUGGAGCGGUCUUCGUCGCAGCGGUAGGACUGGAAGGCCUCGGAGGGGAAGAAGAGCGAGAGGAAGACGACGUGUUCGGUGUCCAGGGCCUGGAGCGAGAAGCCCUCGCUGGAGCAGUCGACGUUGGCCACAUUGACCAGGUCGAGGAUCGCCUCCAGGACACCCUGUAAGGUGCUUCCCUUCACCAUCUUCAGCUCAAACAUGGUGGCUUGGACGGCCCGGCGGCGGCGUAGGAGAAGAUGGCGGCGUUGGGAAGAGGGGCGGGAGAGGACGAGAAACCCUAGAUCUGGACGGGUGCGGGAUGGAGAGCGGUUGGAGGGGACGGAGGAAGGGGAACCGGAUAUUAACAGGGAGCCAUAGGCUCGCGGUGUUUGCAGGCGCCCGUUACAGGCCAUUUCGCAAACUGGCGCCUACAGUCCACAGCGAGAUGGGCCGGCCCAUUUAGCGUUUUGCUACGUCUCUUCAUAAAGUGCAAAAAAUAGAGAGCUGCGCCGAAUCGGACCCAGGACCUACACGUUCACAGCGCACCGUGCUAACCAGCACGAUAUGCACGAUAACUUCUUGCAUCCUUCUUAUUAUUUCAGUUCGCAUUUUCUUUCUUUUUUUUCUUUUCCUUUUUCUGUUUUUCUGUUUCUUUUUGUUUUUAUUUUUUUAUCUUAAAUGCGUGAUUGUAAACCGACGAAAUUUUUCUUCACAAUCAACGGACAUUUUUUCAAAAAUCCAUGAACUGUUUUUUAUUUUUGUGAACUUUCCUAAAAAAAUUCAAGAACUUGUUUUUCAAAUUUUAUGAACUUUAAAAAAAAUUGAUGAACUUUUUUCAAAUAUUCAUGAACUUUUUUCAAUGUUGAUGAACUAUUUUCAAGUUUUGUGAACCUGUCUAGAAAAUUGAUGAACUUUUUUCAAUUUCGACGAACUUUUUUUAAAUUUGAUGAACUUUACAAAACCAAUGAACUUUUUGUUUGAAAAUUGAUGAACUUUUUUUCAAGUUUGUGAACUUUUCUUGAAAAUUGAUGAACUAAUUUUGAAAACCCAUGAACUUUUUCAAAUUUUCGAUGAACUUUUUGUUUGAAAAUUGAUGAACUUUUCUUGAAAAUUGAUGAACUAAUUUUGAAAAUCGAUGAACUUUUUCAAAUUUUCGAUGAACUUUUUGUUUGAAAAUUGAUGAAGUUUUUUUCAAAUUUGUGAACUUUUCUUGAAAACUGAUGAACUUUGUUCGAAAUCUAUGAACCUUUUCAAAUUCACGAUUUUUUCGUCAAAUAAUUCAAAAAAUAUUAAUUGGUACGGUUUUGUGCAAUAAAAUAGCAACACAACUUUGUUAUUAUAUAAUUUGCGCUGUUAUCUAUCACUGGUAUCAAGUAGUUUGAGUGGUAGCACGAGUUCGAAACCUGUCAAUAGCAUUUAUUUUUGCGAUUUUUUUCACGCUAUGAUUUUUCGAUUUUGUGCGAAAAAAGUCCAUAUUUCACCCUCAAAUGUGGUCUGAUGGACGAAUAUCCCCCUGAACUCGAAUUUGGUACACUUUACACCCUAAAAUCCCCAAAACCGGAUAAAUCUCCCCCUAAGUGGUUUUGCAUCGAUUUAACUCGGUUUUGGGGCAACACCGCGUGACAUGGCAUGGUAUUGUGGUGAGUAGAGAGAGAGUUCUGGUGACGUGGCUCGGUUGAGUUGGACCAGGUGAACGCACCCAAACCCCUCUCUCUCCGAUCGGUUCGCGUCCUCUGCUUCCUUCGACGCCGCCUCCGCAGCCGUCGUCGCCGUCGAGGUUGAAUCCACCGCAGGCGUCGUCGCCCAUGAUCCAGACGACGAAAUCGUGAUCGGAUUGAAGCCAUGAAUCCCGGUACGUGAUGCGAACCCAUUGCCCCUCUCUCUGAUGUGUGAUUUAGGGAUUUGAGGGUACCACGGGAAAGGGUUAUGAUGGAGGGGAUUUUGGGAGUUUCUAUCGUCUAUGUAUCAUCAGCCACCAUUGUAUAUUGUUCUGAUGGAGAGGAUGGGGAGCCACGUUUGUUGGGGAACGUAGUAAUUUCAAAAAAAUUCCUACGCACACGCAAGAUCAUGGUGAUGCAUAGCAACGAGAGGAGAGAGUGUUGUCUACGUACCCUCGUAGACCGAAGCGGAAGCGUUGAUGCAACGUAGAGGAAGUAGUCGUACGUCUUCCCUGUCCGACCGAUCCAAGCACCGUUACAACGGUACCUCCGAGUUCUUGGCACACGUUCAGCUCGAUGACGCUCCCCGGGCUCCGAUCCAGCAAAGCUUCGGGGAAGAGUUCCGUCAGCACGACGACGUGGUGACGAUCUUGAUGUUCAACCGUAGUAGGGCUUCGCCUAAGCACCGCUACAAUAUGACCGAGGUGGAAUAUAGUGGAGGGGGGCACCGCACACGGCUAAGGAACGAUCACGAAGAUCAACUUGUGUGUCUAUGGGGUGCCCCCGCCCCCGUAUAUAAAGGAAUGAAGGCCCAAUACUUCAUCCCCCGUAUUCCCGUAACUCCCCGGUACUCCGAAAAAUACCCGAACCACUCAGAACCUUUCCAAAGUCCGAAUAUAGUCAUCCAAUAUAUCGAUUUUUACGUCUCGACCAUUUCGAGACUCCUCGUCAUGUCCCCGAUCUUAUCCGGGACUCCGAACUCCUUCGGUACAUCAAAACUCAUAAACUCAUAAUAUAACUGUCAUCGAAACCUUAAGCGUGCGGACCCUCGGGUUCGAGAACAAUGUAGACAUGACCGAGACACGUCUCCAGUCAAUAACCAAUAGCGGAACCUGGAUGCUCAUAUUGGCUCCUACAUAUUCUACGAAGAUCUUUAUCGGUCCGACCGCAUAACAACAUACGUUGUUCCCUUUGUCAUCGGUAUGUUACUUACCCGAGAUUCGAUCGUCGGUAUCCAAUACCUAGUUCAAUCUCGUUACCGGCAAGUCUCUUUACUCGUUCCGUAAUACAUCAUCUCGCAACUAACUCAUUAGUUGCAAUGCUUGCAAGGCUUAAGUGAUGUGCAUUACCGAGAGGGCCCAGAGAUACCUCUCUGACAUUCGGAGUGACAAAUCCUAGUCUCGAAAUACGCCAACCCAACAAGUAACUUCGGAGACACCUGUAGAGCACCUUUAUAAUCACCCAGUUACGUUGUGACGUUUGGUAGCACACAAAGUGUUCCUCCGAUAAACGGGAGUUGCAUAAUCUCAUAGUCAUAGGAACAUGUAUAAGUCAUGAAGAAAGCAAUAGCAACAUACUAAAACGAUCGAGUGCUAAGCUAACGGAAUGGGUCAUGUCAAUCACAUCAUUCUCCUAAUGAUGUGAUCCCGUUAAUCAAAUGACAACUCAUGUCUAUGGCUAGGAAACUUAACCAUCUUUGAUCAAUGAGCUAGUCAAGUAAAGGCAUACUAGUGACACUCUGUUUCUCUAUGUAUUCACACAUGUAUUAUGUUUUCGGUUAAUACAAUUCUAGCAUGAAUAAUAAACAUUUAUCAUGAAAUAAGGAAAUAAAUAAUAACUUUAUUAUUGCCCCUAGGGCAUAUUUCCUUCAGUCUCCCACUUGCACUAGAGUCAAUAAUCUAGUUCACAUCGCCAUGUGAUUUAACACCAAUAGUUCACAACACCAUAUGAUUAACACCCAUAGCUCACAUCAUCAUGUGACCAACACCCAAAGGGUUUACUAGAGUCAGUAAUCUAGUUCACAUUGCUAUGUGAUUAACACCCAAAGAGUACUAAGGUGUGAUCAUGUUUCGCUUGUGAGAUAAUUUUAGUCAACGGGUCUGCCAUAUUCAGAUCCGUAUGUAUUUUGCAAAUUUCUAUGUCAACAAUGCUCUGCACGGAACUACUCUAGCUAAUUGCUCCCACUUUCAAUAUAUAUCCAGAUUGAGACUUAGAGUCAUCUAGAUCAGUGUCAAAACUUGCAUCGACGUAACCCUUUACGACGAACCUUUUGUCACUUCCAUAAUCGAGAAACAUAUCCUUAUUCCACUAAGGAUAAUUUUGACCGUUGUCCAGUGAUCUACUCCUAGAUCACUAUUGUACUCCCUUGCCAAAAUCAGUGUAGGGUAUACAAUAGAUCUGGUACACAGCAUGGCAUACUUUAUAGAACCUAUGGCCAAGGCAUAGGGAAUGACUUUCAUUCUCUUUCUAUCUUCUGCCGUGGUCGAGUUUUGAGUCUUACUCAAUUUCACACCUUGUAACACAGACAAGAACUCUUUCUUUGACUGUUCCAUUUUGAACUACUUCAAAAUCUUGUCAAGGUAUGUACUUCAUUGAAAAAACUUAUCAAGCGUCUUGAUCUAUCUCUAUAGAUCUUGAUGCUCAACAUGUAAGCAGCUUCACCGAGGUCUUUCUUUGAAAAACUCCUUUCAAACACUCCUUUAUGCUUUGCAGAAUAAUUCUACAUUAUUUCUGAUCAACAAUAUGUCAUUCACAUAUACUUAUCAGAAAUGUUGUAGUGCUCCCACUCACUUUCUUGUAAAUACAGGCUUCACCGCAAGUCUGUAUAAAACUAUAUGCUUUGAUCAACUUAUCAAAGCGUAUAUUCCAACUCCGAGAUGCUUGCACCAGUCCAUUGAUGGAUCGCUGGAGCUUGCAUAUUUUGUUAACACCUUUAGGAUUGACAAAACCUUCUGGUUGCAUCAUAUACUACUCUUCUUUAAUAAAUCCAUUAAGGAUUGCAGUUUUGUUAUCCAUUUGCCAGAUUUCAUGAAAUGCGGCAAUUGCUAACAUGAUUCGGACAGACUUAAGCAUAGAUACGAGUGAGAAACUCUCAUCAUAGUCAACACCUUGAACUUUGUUAAAAACCUUUUUCGACAAGUCUAGCUUUGUAGAUAGUAACACUACUAUCAGCGUCCGUCUUCCUCUUGAAGAUCCAUUUAUUUUCUAUGGCUUGCCGAUCAUCGGGCAAGUCAACCAAAGUCCACACUUUGUUCUCAUACAUGGAUCCCAUCUCAGAUUUCAUGGCCUCAAGCCAUUUUGCGGAAUCUGGGCUCAUCAUCGCUUCCUCAUAGUUCGUAGGUUCGUCAUGGUCUAGUAACAUAACUUCUAGAACAAGAUUACCGUACCACUCUGGUUUACCUACGAGAUUCGGUAGUAACUUGAUCUGAAGUUACAUGAUCAUCAUCAUUAGCUUCCUCACUAAUUGGUGUAGUAGUCACAGGAACAGAUUUCUGUGAUGAACUACUUUCCAAUAAGGGAGAAGGUACAAUUACCUUAUCAAGUUCUACUUUCCUCCCACUCACUUCUUUCGAGAGAAACUUCUUCUCUAGAAAGUAUCCAUUCUCAGCAACGAAUGUCUUGCCUUCGGAUCUGUGAUAGAAGGUGUACCCAACUAUCUCCUUUUGGUAUCCUAUGAAGACACAUUUCUCCGAUUUGGUUUUGAGCUUAUCAUGAUGAAACUUUUUCUUAUAAGCAUCGCAACCCCAAACUUUAAGAAACGACAACUUUGGUUUCUUGCCAAACCAUAGUUCAUAUUGUGUCGUCUCAACGGACUUAGAUGGUGCCCCUUUUUAACGUGAAUGCAGCUGUCUCUAAUGCAUGAUCCCAAAACGAUAUUGGUAAAUCGGUAAGAAACAUCAUAGAUUGCACUAUAUCCAAUAAAGUACGGUUAUGAUGUUCGGACACACCAUUAUGCUGUGGUGUUCCAGGUGGCGUGAGUAGUGAAACUAUUUCACAUUGUUUUAACUGAAGGCCAAACUCGUAACUCAAAUAUUUUACCUCUGCGAUCAUAUUGUAGAAACUUUCUAUUUUCUUGUUACGAUGAUUCUCCACUUCACUCUGAAAUUCUUUGAACUUUUCAAAUGUUUUAGACUUUGUGUUUCAUCAAGUAGAUAUACUCAUAUCUGCUCAAAUUAUCUGUGAAGGUCAGAAAAUAAUGAUACUUGUCGCGAGCCUUAAUAUUCAUCGGACCACAUACAUCAGUAUGUAUGAUUUCCAACAAAUCUGUUGCUCGCUCCAUUGUUCCGGAGAACGGAGUCUUAGUCAUCUUGCCCAUGAGGCAUGGUUCGCAAGCAUCAAGUGAUUCAUAAUCAAGUGAUUCCAAAAUCCCAUCAGCAUGGAAUUUCUUCAUGCGCUUUACACCAAUAUGACCUAAACGGCAGUGCCACAAAUAAGUUGCACUAUCAUUAUUAACUUCGUAUCUUUUGGUUUCAAUAUUAUGAAUAUGUGUAUCACUACGAUCGAGAUCCAAUGAACUAUUUUCAUUGGGUGUGUAACCAUAUAAGGUUUUAUUCAUGUAACAGAACAACAAUUUAUUCUCUUACUUUAAAUGAAUAACCGUAUUACAAUAAACAUGAUCAAAUCAUAUUCAUGCUCAACGCAAACACCAAAUAACACAUAUUUAGGUUCAACACUAAUAUCGAAAGUAUAGGGAGAGUGUGAUGAUGAUCAUAUCAAUCUUGGAACUACUUCCAACACACAUCGUCACCUCGACUUUUACUAGUUUCUGUUUAUUCUGCAACUCCCGUUUCGAGUUACUACUCUUAGCAACUGAACCAGUAUCAAAUACCGGGGGGUUGCUAUAAACACUAGUAAAGUACACAUCAAUAACAUGUAUAUCCAAUAUACCUUUGUUCAUUUUGCCAUCCUUCUUAUCCACAAAUUACUUGAGGUAGUUCCGCUUCUAGUGACCAGUCCCUUUGCAGUAGAAGCACUCAGUCUCAGGCUUAGGUCCAGACUUGGGCUUCUUCACUUGAGAAGCAACUUGCUUGCCGUUCUUCUUGAAGUUCCCCUUCUUCCCUUUGCCCUUUUUCUUGAAACUAGUGAUCUUGUUAACCAUCAACACUUGAUGCUCUUUCUUGAUUUCUACCUUCAUCGAUUUUAGUAUCGCGAAGAGCUCGAGAAUUACUUUCGUCAUCCCUUGCAUACUAUAGUUCAUCACGAAGUUCUACUAACUUGGUGAUGGUAACUAGAGAAUUCUGUCAAUCACUAUCUUAUCUGGAAGAUUAACUCCCACUUGAUUCAAGCGAUUGUAGUACCCAGACAAUCUGAGCACAUGCUCACUAGUUGAGUGAUUCUCCUCCAUCUUUUAGCUAUAGAACUUGUUGGAGACUUCAUAUCUCUCAACUCGGGUAUUUGCUUGAAAUAUUAACUUCAACUCCUGGAACAUCUCAUAUGGUCCAUGACAUUCAAAACGUCUUUGAAGUCCCGAUUCUAAGUCGUUAAGCAUGGUGCACUAAACUAUCAAGUAGUCAUCAUACUGAGCUUUUAUCAAAAAUGUUCAUAACGUCUGCAUCUGCUCCUGCAAUAGGUCUGUCACCUAGCGGUGCAUCAAGGACAUAAUUCUUCUGUGCAACAAUGAGGAUAAACCUCAGAUCAAGGAUCCAAUCCGCAUCAUUGCUACCAACAUCUUUCAACUUAGUUUUCUCUAGGAACAUAUCAAAAUUAAACGGGGAGCAACAUCGCGAGCUAUUGAUCUACAACAUAGAUAUGCUAAUACUACCAGGACUAAGUUCAUGAUAAAUUAAAGUUCAAUUAAUCAUAUUACUUAAGAACUCCCACUUAUAUAGACAUCCCUCUAAUCCUCUAAGUGAUCACGUGAUCCAAAUCAACUAAACCAUAACCGAUCAUCACGUGAAAUGGAGUAGUUUUCAAUGGUGAACAUCACUAUGUUGAUCAUAUCUACUAUAUGAUUCACGCUCGACCUUUCGGUCUCCGUGUUCCGAGGCCAUAUCUGCAUAUGCUAGGCUCGUCAAGUUUAACCCGAGUAUUCUGCGUGUGCAAAACUGGCUUGCACCCGUUGUAGAUGGACGUAGAGCUUACCACACCCGAUCAUCACGUGGUGUCUGGGCACGACGAACUUUGGCAACGGUGCAUACUCAGGGAGAACACUUCUUGAUAAUUAGUGAGAGAUCAUCUUAAAAAGCUACUGUCGAACUAAGCAAAAUAAGAUGUAUAAAAGAUAAACAUCACAUGCAGUCAAAAUAUGUGACAUGAUAUGGCCAUCAUCAUCUUGUGCCUUUGAUCUCCAUCUCCAAAGCAUCGUCAUGAUCUCCAUCGUCACCGGCAUGACACCAUGAUCUCCAUCAUCUUGAUCUAUAUCAAUGUGUCAUCACAUGGUCGUCUCGCCAACAAUUGCUCUUGCAACUAUUGCUAUCGCAUAGCGAUAAAGUAAAGCAAUUAUUUGGCGCUUGCAUCUUAUGCAAUAGAGACAACCAUAAGGCUUCUGCCAGUUGCCGAUAAUCCUCGACAAAACAUGAUCAUAUUAUACAACAACUUAUAUCUCAUCACGUCUUGACCGUAUGACAUCACAACAUGCCCUGCAAAAACAAGUUAGACGUCAUCUACUUUGUUGUUGCAAGUUUCACGUGGCUGCUACUGGGCUUAGCAAGAACCGUUCUUACCUACACAUCAAAACCACAAUGAUAGUUUGUCAAGUUGGUGCUGUUUUAACCUUAGCAAGGACCGGGCGUAGCCACACUCGGUUCAACUAAAAUUGGAGAAACUGACACCCGCUAGUCACCUAUGUGCAUAGCACGGCGGUAAAACCAGUCUCGCGUAAGCAUACGCGUAAUGUCGGUCCGGGCCGCUUCAUCCAACAAUACCACCGAACCAAAUAUGACAUGCUGGUAAGCAGUAUGACUUAUAUCGCCCACAACUCACUUGUGUUCUACUCGUGCAUAUAACAUCAACACAUAAAACCUAGGCUCGGAUGCCACUGUUGGGGAACGUAGUAAUUUCAAAAAAAAUCCUACGCACACGCAAGAUCAUGGUGAUGCAUAACAACGAGAGGGGAGAGUGUUGUCUAUGUACCCUCGUAGACCGAAGCGGAAGCGUUGAUGCAACAUAGAGGAAGUAGUCGUACGUCUUCCCGGUCCGACCGAUCCAAGCACCGUUACUCCGGUACCUCCGAGUUCUUGGCACACGUUCAGCUCGAUGACGCUCCCCGGGCUCCGAUCCAGUAAAGCUUCGGGGAGGAGUUCCGUCAGCACGACGGCGUGGUGACGAUCUUAAUGUUCAACCGUCGCAGGGCUUCGCCUAAGCACCACUACAAUAUGACCGAGGUGGAAUAUAGUGGAGGGGGGCACCGCACACGGCUAAGGAACGAUCACGAAGAUCAACUUGUGUGUCUAUGGGGUGCCCCCGCCCCUGUAUAUAAAGGAGUGGAGGAGAGGAGGGCCGGCCCUCUCUAUGGCGCGCCCUAGGGGAGUCCUACUCCCACCGGGAGUAGGAUUCCCCCUUUCCUAGUCCAACUAGGAGUCCUUCCAAGUAGUAGGAGUAGGAGACAAGGAAGGGGAAGGGAGAAGGGAAGGAAGGAGGGGGCGCAGCCCCUCCCCCUAGUCCAAUUCGGACUAGGCCUUGGGGGGCGCGCGGCCUACCAUAGGCAGCCCCUCUCUCUUUCCCGUAUGGCCCAAUAAGGCCCAAUACUUCAUCCCCCGUAUUCCCGUAACUCCCCGGUACUCCAAAAAAUACCCGAACCACUCGGAACCUUUCCGAAGUCCAAAUAUAGUCGUCCAAUAUAUCGAUCUUUACGUCUCGACCAUUUCGAGACUCCUCGUCAUGUCCCCGAUCUUAUCCGGGACUCCGAACUCCUUCGGUACAUCAAAACUCAUAAACUCAUAAUAUAACUGUCAUCGAAACCUUAAGCAUGCAGACCCUACGGGUUCGAGAACAAUGUAGACAUGACCGAGACACGUCUCCAGUCAAUAACCAAUAGCGGAACCUGGAUGCUCAUAUUGGCUCCUACAUAUUCUACGAAGAUCUUUAUCGGUCAGACUGCAUAACAACAUACAUUGUUCCCUUUGUCAUCGGUAUGUUACUUGCCCGAGAUUCGAUCGUCGGUAUCCAAUACCUAGUUCAAUCUCGUUACCGUCAAGUCUCUUUACUCGUUCCGUAAUACAUCAUCUCACAACUAACUCAUUAGUUGCAAUGCUUGCAAGGCUUAAGUGAUGUGCAUUACCGAGAGGGCCCAGAGAUACCUCUCCGACAUUCGGAGUGACAAAUCCUAGUCUCGAAAUACGCCAACCCAACAAGUACCUUCGGAGACACCUGUAGAGCACCUUUAUAAUCACCCAGUUACAUUGUGACGUUUGGUAGCACACAAAGUGUUCCUCCGGUAAACGGGAGUUGCAUAAUCUCAUAGUCAUAGGAACAUGUAUAAGUCAUGAAGAAAGCAAUAGCAACAUACUUAAACGAUCGAGUGUAAGCUAACGGAAUGGGUCAUGUCAAUCACAUCAUUCUCCUAAUGAUGUGAUCCCGUUAAUCAAAUGACAAAUCAUGUCUAUGGCUAGGAAACUUAACCAUCUUUGAUCAACGAGCUAGUCAAGUAGAGGCAUACUAGUGACACUCUGUUUGUCUAUGUGUUCACACAUGUAUUAUGUUUCCGGUUAAUACAAUUCUAGCAUGAAUAAUAAACAUUUAUCAUGAAAUAAGGAAAUAAAUAAUAACUUAAUUAUUGCCUCUAGGGCAUAUUUCCUUCAACGUUUGAGGAUGAGAGAGCCACGUCCAAAUUUACGAACAUCUGUAUUAUAGUGGCAAGCAUGUGUAUUUCAAUGAAUGUCCGGCAAAUCUCUUUCUAGUUAGAUGAAUAUUUUCGGUAGCUGGUAUCACUUAUGUAGGAACAUAGCAGGAAUUAGUUAUUUGUUGGGGAACGUAGUAAUUUCAAAAAAAAUUCCUACGCACACGCAAGAUCAUGGUAAUGCAUAGCAACGAUAGGGGAGAGUGUUGUCUACGUACCCUCGUAGACCGAAGCGGAAGCGUUGACACAACGUAGAGGAAGUAGUCGUACGUCUUCCCGGUUCGACCGAUCCAAGCACCGUUACUCCGGCACCUCCGAGUUCUUGGCACACGUUCAGCUCGAUGACGCUCCCCGGGCUCUGAUCCAGCAAAGCUUCGGGGAGGAGUUCCGUCAGCACGACGACGUGGUGACAAUCUUGAUGUACUACCGACGCAGGGCUUCGCCUAAGCACCGCAACGAUAUGACCGAGGUGGAAUAUAGUGGAGGGGGCACCGCACACGGCUAAGGAACGAUCACGAAGAUCAACUGGCGUGUUCUAGGGUGCCCCCUGCCCCCGUAUAUAAAGGAGCCAAGGGGAGGGGCGGCCGGCCAGGUUGGGCGCGCCAAAGGGGGGGAGUCCUACUCCCAUCGGGAGUAGGACUCCCUCUUUUCCUAGUUGGAGAAGGAGAAGGGGGGAAAGAGGAGGAAGAGGGAAAGGAAAGGGGGGGGCGCCCCCCAGUCCUUGUCCUAUUCGGACCAGGGAUGGGAGGGGCGCGCUACCCCCUCUAGCCUCCUUUCCUCUUCUCCCUUAGGGCCCAUCAAGGCCCAAUAACCCCCGGGGGGGUUCCGGUAACCCCCCAGUACUCCGGUAAAAUCCCGAUUUCACCCGGGACGAUUCCGAUAACCAAAUAUAGGCUUCCAAUAUAUCGAUCUUUAUGUCUCGACCAUUUCGAGACUCCUCGUCAUGUCCGUGAUCACAUCCGGGACUCUGAGCAACCUUCAGUACAUAAAAAUGCAUAAACUCAUAAUGAAACUAUCAUCGUAACGUUAAGCGUGCGGACCCUACGGUUCGAGAACAAUGUAGACAUGACCGAGACAUGUCUCAGGUCAAUAACCAAUAGCGGAACCUGGAUGCUCAUAUUGGCUGCUACGUAUUCUACGAAGAUCUUUAUCGGUCAGACCGCAUAACAACAUACGUUGUUCCCUUUGUCAUCGGUAUGUUACUUGUCCGAGAUUCGAUCGUCGGUAUCCAAUACCUAGUUCAAUCUCGUUACCGGCAAGUCUCUUUACUCGUUCCGUAAUACAUCAUCCCGCAACUAACUCAUUAGUUGCAACGCUUGCAAGGCUUAAGUGAUGUGCAUUACCGAGAGGGCCCAGAGAUACCUCUCCGACAAUCGGAGUGACAAAUCCUAAUCUCGAAAUACGCCAACCCAACAUGUACCUUUGGAGACACCUGUAGAGCACCUUUAUAAUCACCCAGUUACGUUGUGACAUUUGGUAGCACACAAAGUGUUCCUCCAGUAAACGGGAGUUGCAUAAUCUCAUAGUCAUAAGAACAUGUAUAAGUCAUGAAGAAAGCAAUAGCAACAUACUAAACGAUCGGGUGCUAAGCUAACAGAAUGGGUCAUGUUAAUCACAUCAUUCUCCUAAUGAUGUGAUCCCGUUAAUCAAAUGACAACUCAUGUCUAUGGCUAGGAAACUUAACCAUCUUUGAUCAAUGAGCUAGUCAAGUAGAGGCAUACUAGUGACACUGUGUAGCAUGAAUAAUAAACAUUUAUCAUGAAAUAAUGAAAUAAAUAAUAACUUUAUUAUUGCCUCUAGGGCAUAUUUCCUUCAGUCUCCAACUUGCACUAGAGUCAAUAAUCUAGUUCACAUCACCAUGUGAUUUCACAGCAAUAGUUCACAUCACCAUGUGAUUAACACCCAUAGUUCACAUUGAUAUGUGAUCAACACCCAAAGGAUUUACUAGAGUCAGUAAUCUAGUUCACAUCGCUUAUGGGAUUAACACGCAAAGAGUACUAAGGUGUGAUCAUGUUUUGCUUGUGAGAUAAUUUUAGUCAAUGGGUCUGUCACAUUCAGAUCCGUAAGUAUUUUGCGAAUUUCUAUGUCAACAAUGCUCUGCAAGGAGCUACUCUAGCUAAUUGCUCCCACUUUCAAUAUGUAUCCAGAUUGAGACUUAGAGUCAUCUAGAUUAGAGUCAAAACUUGCAUCGACGUAACCCUUUACGACGAACCUUUUGUCAUCUCCAUAAUCGAGAAACAUAUCCUUAUUCCACUAAGGAUAAUUUUGACCGUUGUCUAGUGAUCUACUCCUAGAUCACUAUUGUACUCCCUUGCCAAACUCAGUGGUAGGGUAUGCAAUAGAUCUGGUACACAGCAUGGCAUACUUUAUAGAACCUAUGGCUGAGGCAUAGGGAAUGACUUUCAUUCUCUUUCUAUCUUCUGCCGUGGUUGGGCUUUGAGUCUUACUCAAUUUCACACCUUGUAACACAGGCAAGAAACUCUUUCUUUGACUGUUCCAUUUUUGAACUACUUCAAAAUCUUGUCAAGGUAUGUACUCAUUGAAAAAACUUAUCAAGCGUCUUGAUCUAUCUUUAUAGAUCUUGAUGCUCAAUAUGUAAGCAGCUUUACCGAGGUCUUUCUUUGAAAAAACUCCUUUCAAACAUUCCUUUAUGCUUUGCAGAAUAAUUCUAUAUUAUUUCCGAUUAACAAUAUGUCAUCCACAUAUACUUAUCAGAAAUGUUGUAGUGCUCCCACUCACUUUCUUGUAAAUACAGGCUUCACCGCAAGUCUGUAUAAAACUAUAUGCUUUGAUCAACUUAUCAAAGCGUAUAUUCCAACUCCGAGAUGCUUGCACCAGUCCAUAGAUGGAUCGCUGGAGCUUGCAUAUUUUGUUAGCACCUUUAGGAUUGACAAAACCUUCUGGUUGCAUCAUAUGCAACUCUUCUUUAAUAAAUCCAUUAAGGAAUGCAAUUUUGUUUAUCCAUUUGCCAGAUUUCAUAAAAUGCGACAAUUGCUAACAUGAUUCGGACAGACUUAAGCAUCGAUACAAGUGAGGAAAUAUCAUUGUAUUCAACAUCUUGAACUUGUCGAAAACAUUUUUGCGACAAUUCGAGCUUUGUAGAUAGUAACACUACUAUUAGCGUCCGUCUUCCUCUUGAAGAUCCAUUUAAUCUCAAUGGCUUGCCGAUCAUUGGGCAAGUCAACCAAAGUCCAUACUUUGUUCUCAUACAUGGAUCAUAUCUCAGAUUUCAUGGCCUCAAACCAUUUCGCGGAAUCUGGGCUCAUCAUCGCUUCCUCAUAGUUCGCAAGUUCGUUAUGGUCUAGUAACAUGACUUCCAGAACAGGAUUACCGUACCACUCUGGUGCGGAUCUCACUCUAGUUUACCUACGAGAUUCGGUAGUAACUUGAUCUGAAGUUACAUGAUCAUCAUCAUUAGCUUCCUCACUAAUUGGUGUUGUAGUCACAGGAACAGAUUUCUGUGAUGAACUACUUUCCAAUAAGGGAGAAGGUACAAUUACCUUAUCAAGUUCUACUUUCCUCCCACUCACUUCUUUCGAGAGAAACUCCUUCUCUGGAAAGGAUCCAUUCUCAGCAAUGAAUAUCUUGCCUUCGGAUCUGUGAUAGAAGGUGUACCCAACUGUCUCCUUUGGGUAUCCUAUGAAGACAUAUUUCUCCGAUUUGGGUUCGAGCUUAUCAGGAUGAAACUUUUUCACAUAAGCAUCGCAACUCCAAACUUUAAGAAACGGCAACUUAGGUUUAAUGCUAAACCAUAGUUCAUACGGUGUCGUCUCAACGGAUUUAGAUGGUGCCUUAUUUAAUCUGAAUGCAGCUCUCUCUAAUGCAUAACCCCAAAACGAUAGUGGUAGAUCGGUAAGAGACAUCAUAGAUCGCACUAUAUCUAAUAAAGUACGGUUAUGAUGUCCGGACACACCAUUACACUGUGGUGUUCCAGGUGGCGUGAGUAGUGAAACUAUUUCACAUUGUUUUAACUGAAGGCCAAACUCGUAACUCAAAUAUUUUACUUCUGCGAUCAUAUCGUAGAAACUUUUAUUUUCUUGUUACGAUGAUUCUCCACUUCACUCUGAAAUUCUUUGAACUUUUCAAACGUUUCAGACUUAUGUUUCAUCAAGUAGAUAUACCCAUAUCUGCUCAAAUCAUCUGUGAAGGUCAGGAAAUAAUGAUACUUGCCGCGAGCCUCAACACUUAUCGGAUCGCAUACAUCAGUAUGUAUUAUUUCCAAUAAAUCUGUUGCUCGCUCCAUUGUUCCGGAGAACGGAGUUUUAGUCAUCUUGCCCAUGAGGCAUGGUUCGCAAGCAUCAAGUGAUUCCAAAAGCCCAUCAGCAUGGAGUUUCUCCAUGCGCUUUACACCAAUAUGACCUAAAUGGCAGUGCCACAAAUAAGUUGCACUAUCAUCAUCAACUUUGCAUCUUUUGGUUUCAAUAUUAUGAAUAUGUGUAUCACUACUAUCGAGAUCCAACAAAUCAUUUUCGUUGGUGUGUAACCAUAUAAGGUUUUAUUCAUGUAAACAGAACAAUAAUUCAUUCUCUUACUUAAAUGAAUAACCGUAUUGCAAUAAACAUGAUCAAAUCAUAUUCAUGUCAACACCAAAUAACACUUAUUUAGGUUCCACACUAAUCCCGAAAGUAUAGGGAGUGUGCGAUGAUGAUCAUAUCAAUCUUGGAACUACUUCCAAUUUUCAUCGUCACUUCACCCUUAACAAGUCUCUAUUCAUUCUGCAACUCCCGUUUCGAGUUACUAAUCUUAGCAACUGAACUAGUAUCAAAUACCGAGGGGUUGCUAUGAACACUAGUAAAGUACACAUCAAUAACAUGUAUAUCAAAUAUACCUUUGUUUACUUUGCCAUCCUUUCUUAUCCACCAAAUACUUGGGGUAGUUCCGCUUCCAAUGACCAAUCCCUUUGCAGUAGAAGCACUUAGUCUCAGGCUUAGGACCAGACUUGGGCUUCUUCACUCGAGAAGCAACUUGCUUGCCGUUCUUUUUGAAGUUCCCCUUCUUCCCUUUGCCCCUUUACUUGAAACUAGUGGUUUUGUUAACCAUCAACUCUUAAUGUUUUUCUUGAUUUCUACCUUCGUCGAUUUCAACAUCACGAAGAGCUUGGGAAUUAUUUUCAUCAUCCCUUGCAUAUUAUAGUUCAUCAUGAAGUUCUACUAACUUGGUGAUGGUGACUAGAGAAUUCUGUCAAUCACUAUUUUAUCUGGAAGAUUAACUCCCACUUGAUUCAAGCGAUUGUAGUACCCAGACAAUCUGAGCACAUGCUCACUAGUUGAGUGAUUCUCCUCCAUCUUUUAGCUAUAGAACUUGUUGGAGACUUCAUAUCUCUCAACUCGGGUAUUUGCUUGAAAUAUUAACUUCAAUUCCUGGAUCAUCUCAUAUGGUCCAUGACGUUCAAAACGUCUUUGAAGUUCCGAUUCUAAGCCGUUAAGCAUGGUGCACUAAACUAUCAAGUAGUCAUCAUAUUGAGCUAGCCAAACGUUCAUAACGUCUGCAUCUGCUCCUGCAAUAGGUCUAUCACCUGGCGGUGCAUUAAGGACAUAAUUCUUCUGUGCAGCAAUGAGGAUAAACCUCAGAUCACGGAUCCAAUCCGCAUCAUUGCUACUAACAUCUUUCAACACAGUUUUCUCUAGGAACAUAUCAAAAUAAACAUAUGAAAGCAACAACGCGAGCUAUUGAUCUACAACAUAGAUAUGCUAAUACUACCAGGACUAAGUUCAUGUUAAAUUAAAGUUCAAUUAAUCAUAUUACUUAAGAACUCCCACUUAGAUAGACAUCCCUCUAAUCUUCUAAGUGAUCACGUGAUCCAUAUCAACUAAACCAUGUCCGAUCAUCACGUGAGAUGGAGUAGUUUCAAUGGUGAACAUCACUAUGUUGAUCAUAUCUACUAUAUGAUUCACGCUCGACCUUUCGGUCUCCGUGUUCCGAGGCCAUAUCUUUUAUAUGCUAGGCUCGUCAAGUUAAACCUGAGUAUUCCGCGUGUGCAACUGUUUUGCACCCGUUGUAUUUGAACGUAGAGCCUAUCACACCCGAUCAUCACGUGGUGUCUCAGCACGAAGAAAUUUCGCAACGGUGCAUACUUAGGGAGAACACUUUUACUAUGAUAAUUUAGUGAGAGAUCAUCUUAUAAAGCUACCGCCGAACUAAGCAAAAUAAGAUAUAUAAAAGAUAAACAUUACAUGCAAUCAUAAUAUGUGACAUGAUAUGGCCAUGAUCAUCUUGCGCCUUUGAUCUCCAUCUCCAAAGUACUGUCAUGAUCUCUAUCGUCACCGGCAUGACACCAUGAUCUCCAUCAUCUUGAUCUAUAUCAAUGUGUCGUCACAUGGUCGUCUUGCCAACAAUUGCUCUUGCAACUAUUGCUAUCGCAUAGCGAUAAAGUAAAGCAAUUAUUUGGCGCUUGCUUCUUAUGCAAUAGAAAGACAACCAUAAGGAUUUUGCCAGUUGCCGAUAACUUCAACAAAACAUGAUCAUCUCAUACAACAACUUAUAUCUCAUCACGUCUUGACCAUAUCACAUCACAACAUGCCCUGCAAAAACAAGUUAGACGUCCUCUACUUUGUUGUUGCAAGUUUUACGUGGCUGCUACGGGCUUAGCAAGAACCAAUCUUACCUACGCAUCAAACCACAACGAUAGUUUGUCAAGUUGGUGCUGUUUUAACCUUCGCAAGGACCGGGCGUAGCCACACUCGGUUCAACUAAAGUUGGAGAAACUGACACCCGCUAGUCACCUGUGUGCAUAGCAUGGCGGUAAAACCAGUCUCGCGUAAGCGUACGCGUAAUGUCGGUCCGGGCCGCUUCAUCCAACAAUACCGCCGAACCAAAGUAUGACAUGCUGGUAAGCAGUAUGACUUAUAUCGCCCACAACUCACUUGUGUUCUACUCAUGCAUAUAACAUCAAACCAUAAAACCUAGGCUCGGAUGCCACUGUUGGGGAACGUAGUAAUUUCAAAAAAAUUCCUACGCACACGCAAGAUCAUGGUGAUGCAUAGCAACGAGAGGGGAGAGUGUUGUCUACGUACCCUCGUAGACCGAAGCGGAAGCGUUGACACAACGUAGAGGAAGUAGUCAUACGUCUUCCCGGUUCGACCGAUCCAAGCACCGUUACUCCGGCACCUCCGAGUUCUUGGCACACGUUCAGCUCGAUGACGCUCCCCGGGCUCCGAUCCAGCAAAGCUUUGGGGAGGAGUUCCGUAAGCACGACGGCGUGGUGACGAUCUUGAUGUACUACCGACGCAGGGCUUCGCCUAAGCACCGCAACGAUAUGACCAAGGUGGAAUAUAGUGGAGGGGGGCACCGCACACGGCUAAGGAACGAUCACGAAGAUCAACUUGUGUGUUCUAGGGUGCCCCCUGCCCUCGUAUAUAAAGGAGCCAAGGGGAGGGGCGGCCGUCCAGGUUGGGCGCGCCAAAGGGGGGGAGUCCUACUCCCACCGGGAGUAGGACUCCCUCUUUUCCUAGUUGGAGAAGGAGAAGGGGGGAAAGAGGAGGAAGAGGGAAAGCAAAGGGGGGGGGGCACCGCCCCCCUCUCCUUGUCCUAUUCGGACCAGGGAGGGGAGGGGCGCGCGGCCCCCUCUGGCCUCCUUUCCUCUUCUCCCUUAGGGCCCAUCAAGGCCCAAUAACCCCCGGGGGGGGGGGGGGGGUCCGGUAACCCCCCGGUACUCCGAUAAAAUCCCGAUUUCACCCGGAACGAUUAUGAUAACCAAAUAUAGGCUUCCAAUAUAUCGAUCUUUAUGGCUCGACCAUUUCGAGACUCCUCGUCAUGUCCGUGAUCACAUCCGGGACUCCAAACAACCUUUGGUACAUCAAAAUGCAUAAACUCAUAAUGAAACUGUCAUCGUAAUGUUAAGCGUGCGGACCCUACGGUUCGAGAACAAUGUAGACAUGACCGAGACAUGUCUCAGGUCAAUAACCAAUAGCGGAACCUGGAUGCUCAUAUUGGCUCCUACAUAUUCUACGAAGAUCUUUAUUGGUCAGACCGCAUAACAACGUACGUUGUUCCCUUUGUCAUCGGUAUGUUACUUGCCCGAGAUUCGAUCGUCGGUAUCCAAUACCUAGUUCAAUCUCGUUACCGGCAAGUCUCUUUACUCGUUCCGUAAUACAUCAUCCCGCAACUAACUCAUUAGUUGCAAUGCUUGCAAGGGUUAAGUGAUGUGCAUUACCGAGAGGGCCCAGAGAUACCUCUCCGACAAUCGAAGUGACAAAUCCUAAUCUCGAAAUACGCCAACCCAACAUGUACCUUUGGAGACACCUGUAGAGCACCUUUAUAAUCACCCAGUUACGUUGUGACGUUUGGUAGCACACAAAGUGUUCCUCCGAUAAACGGGAGUUGCAUAAUCUCAUAGUCAUAGGAACAUGUAUAAGUCAUGAAGAAAGCAAUAGCAACAUACUAAACGAUCGGGUGCUAAGCUAACGGAAUGGGUCAUGUCAAUCACAUCAUUCUCCUAAUGAUGUGAUCCCGUUAAUCAAAUGACAACUCAUGUCUAUGGCUAGAAAACUUAACCAUCUUUGAACAACGAGCUAGUCAAGUAGAGGCAUACUAGUGACACUGUGUUUGUCUAUGUAUUCACACAUGUAUUAUGUUUCCGGUUAAUACAAUUCUAGCAUGAAUAAUAAACAUUUAUCAUGAAAUAAGGAAAUAAAUAAUAACUUUAUUAUUGCCUCUAGGGUAUAUUUCCUUCAUUAUUUCCGUCAGAUGUAAAAAAAGGCAUAAUCUGCUAGUAGAAGAGCACAUUCUGAAUGAAUAUAUACUGUCAAAACUGAAACUUAUGAGCAGGAAUAGCAGAUUAAUUAAGCUACUGUCAAAUGUGAUAUCCAGAAUGAGCAGGAAAAGCACAUUCUAGAGGAAUAUAUACUGUCAAAUUUGAUAUAGUACCUUAAUUAAUUCACAAGCAGAAAGUUCCGGCUUUUUAGGUGUAUAUGUGUAUAUAGAGUACCAGCAGUAGUAGUACAUUAUUAUCUACUCUUCCUUGUGGCAUAUUAUUUGUUCAAUAUUCAGAAAAAAUUGUGAGAAGGAAACCUGAUGAAAGUUCCACUUUUUCAGGUCAUGAAGGGGAUCCUAUUGAUUUUGUUUUCGUCAGAUAUCACUAUUUUGGGCACUCUGUCAAGAGAGAAGGAGGUUUGGAGUACACUAGUGAUUUGGAAGCCGUGGUUUCCAUUGAGAGGGAUAAUUUGACAUAUGAGUAUAUUCUGGAUAUAGCUAAAGAUCGGUAUGAUGUUGAAGAAGAAUAUGCAGGGAAGGACAGACUAAUGAAGAUGCACUGGCUCUGUCCAGGAAAAUCACUAGCUGAUGGACUAUGCUUUCUAUGUGAUGAUGAUUCAGUGAAAAAGAUGGACAGUAACACCCAGGAGGGUGAGAUGGCUCAUAUUUAUGUAGAUCAAGUUGAAGCAAAGCUAAAUGUAAAUGACAGUAUCAAGCAGGACAAGAAAGGGAAGAAAUCUUGCAGUGUUAUAGAUGGAAUGGUGGAGAUUAAUAUAUCUGAAAAUUAUUCCACAGUGAAGGGAAGUAAACUGCCACUAAUUAAUGUUGAAGUUGUUGAUACAAGCUAUGUUCAGACACUUUUGAGCUGUACAGGAAGGUCAACUAUUGCUAAUGCAGGGGAAAAUGGAGCAUCAACACAAGAUUGUGGCGAACAUGCAGCGGCAGGUCAAGAUUGUUGGGAAAAUGUAGGAAGUAGUGCAGCAAGGUCAAGUCAUGUUAAUGCAACAAGGUCAACAAGUAGUGCAGCAAAGUCAGAUCAUGUUAGUGCAGAAAGUUCAAAGAAUGCAACAAGGUCACCCAUGUUGGGUUUCGUAGUAAUUUCAAAAAAUUUCCUACGUACACGCAAGAUCAUGUGAUGCAUAGCAACGAGGGAAGAGUAUUGUCUACGUACCCAACGCAGACCGACUGCGGAAGCGAUGACACGACGUAGAGGAAGUAGUCGUACGUCUUCUCGAUCCAACCGAUCAAGCACCGAAACUACGGUACCUCCGAGUUCGAGCACACGUUCAGCUCGAUGACAAUCCCCGGACUCCGAUCCAGCAAAGUGUCGGGGAAGAGUUCCGUCAGCACGACGGUGUGGUGACGAUCUUGAUGAACUACAGCAGCAGGGCUUCGCCUAAACUCCGCUACAGUAUUAUCGAGGAAUAUGGUGGCUGGGGGCGCCGCACACGGCUAAGGAAUAGAUCACGUGGAUCAACUUGUUGUGUCUUUGGUGCUAGCCCUGCCCCUCUAUUUAUAUGUUGAGCCCCGGGGUCGAAACUUGGAGCAAAAACCUCCUCAAAGUCGGUUUUGCCCGAAAGGCAAGAGUCCCACUCGGACUCCAGGACCAAACGCCACAAUCCUUGGCGUCUGGCCCAGACGCCAUGGGCCUCGGCGUCUGGCCCAGGGCCAGACGCCAGGGUCUCCGGCGUUUGGCCCCCUGGCCUCCGCAAAACUCCUUUUGCACCGACCUAAAGCCUCAUGGGCUUGACCCCUUGGCCUAACCAUAUCAUCCAAUAUAUGAAUCUUUACGUCUCGACCAUUUCGAGACUCCUCGUCAUGUCCCCGAUCUCAUCCGGGACUCCGAACUCCUUCGGUACAUCAAAACAUGUAAACUCAUAAUAUAACUGUCAUCGUAACCUUAAGCGUGCGGACCCUACGGGUUCGAGAACAAUGUAGACAUGACCGAGACACGUCUCCGGUCAAUAACCAAUAGCGGGACCUGGAUUCCCAUAUUGGCUCCUACAUAUUCUACGAAGAUCUUUAUCGGUCAGACCGCAUAACAACAUACGUUGUUCCCUUUGUCAUCGGUAUGUUACUUGCCCGAGAUUCAAUCGUCGGUAUCCAAUACCUAGUUCAAUCUCGUUACCGGCAAGUCUCUUUACUCGUUCCGUAAUACAUCAUCUCACAACUAACAUAUUAGUUGUAAUGCUUGCAAGGCUUAUGUGAUGUGUAUUAUCGAGAGGGCCCAGAGAUACCUCUCUGACAAUCGGAGUGACAAAUCCUAAUCUCGAAAUACGCCAACCCAACAUCGACCAUUGGAGACACCUGUAGUACUCCUUUAUAAUCACCCAGUUACGUUGUGACGUUUGGUAGUACCCAAAGUGUUCCUCCGGUAAACGGGAGUUGCAUAAUCUCAUAGUCAUAGGAACAUGUAUAAGUCAUGAAGAAAGCAAUAGCAACAUACUAAACGAUCGGGUGCUAAGCUAAUGGAAUGGGUCAUGUCAAUCAGAUCAUUCUACUAAUGAUGUGACCUCGUUAAUCAAAUAACAACUCAUUGUUAAUGGUUAGGAAACAUAACCAUCUUUGAUUAACGAGCUAGUCAAGUAGAGGCAUACUAGUGACACUUUGUUUGUCUAUGUAUUCACACAUGUAUUAUGUUUCCGGUAAAUACAAUUCUAGCAUGAAUAAUAAACAUUUAUCAUGAUUAUAAGGAAAUAAAUAAUAACUUUAUUAUUGCCUCUAGGGCAUAUUUCCUUCAGUCUCCCACUUGCACUAGAGUCAAUAAUCUAGUUCACAUCGCCAUGUGAUUUAACAGCAAUAGUUCACAUCACCAUGUGAUUAACACCCAUAGUUCACAUCGAUAUGUGAUCAACACCCAAAGGGUUUUACUAGAUUCAGUCAUCUAGUUCACAUCGCUAUGUGAUUAACACCCAAGGAGUACUAAGGUGCGAUCAUGUUUUUGCUUGUGAGAGAAUCUUAGUCAACGGGUCUGUCACAUUCAGAUCCGUAAGUAUUUUGCAAAUAUUUAUGUCAACAAUGCUCUGCACGGAGCUACUCUAGCUAAUUGCUCCCACUUUCAAUAUGUAUCCAGGUUGAGACUUAGUGUAACUUUUACAACAAACUCUUUUAUCACCUCCAUAAUCGAGAAACAUCUCCUUAGUCCUUACUAAGGAUAUUCUUGACCAAUGUCCAGUGAUCUACUCCUAGAUCACUAUUGUACUCUCUUGCCAAAUUCAGAGUAAGGUAUACAAUAGGUCUGGUACAUAGCAUAGCAUACUUUAUAGAACCUAUGACUGAGGCACAGGGAAUGACUUUUCAUUUUUUUCUAUUUUCUGCUGUGGUCGGGAUUUGAGUCUUACUCAAUUUCAUACCUUUGCAACACAGGCAAGAACUCUUUCUUUGACUGUUCCAUUUUGAACUAUUUCAAAAUCUUGCCAAGGUAUGUACUCAUUGAAAAUCUUAUCAAGCGUCUUGAUCUAUCUCAAUAGAUCUUGAUGCUUAAUAUGUAAGUAGCUUUUACUGAGGUCUUUUCCUUUUAAAGAACUCCUUUAAAACACUCCUUUAUGCUUUGCAGAAAAAUUCUACAUCAUUUCUGAUCAACAAUAUGUCACUCACAUAUACUAAUCAAAAAGGCUGUAGUGCUCCCACUCACUUUAUUGUAAAUACAGGCUUCUCAAAAAGUCUGUAUAAAACCAUAUGCUUUGAUCAACUCAUCAAAGCGUAUAUUCCAACUCCGAGAGGCUUGCACCAGUCCAUAGAUGGAUCGCUGGAGCUUGCACAUUUUGUUAGUACCUUUAGGAUUGACAAAACCUUCUGGUUGCAUCAUAUACAACUCUUCUUUAAUAAAUCCAUUAAGGAAUGCAGUUUUGUUUAUCCAUUUGCUAGAUUUCAUAAAAUGCGGCAAUUGCUAACAUGAUUCAGACAGACUUAAGCAUAGAUACGAGUGAGAAAAUCUCAUCGUAGUCAACACCUUGAACUUGUCGAAAACCUUUUUGCGACAAUUCUAGCUUUGUAGAUAGUAACACUACUAUCAGCGUCCGUCUUCCUCUUGAAGAUCCAUUUAUUCUCAAUUGCUUGCCGAUCAUCGGGCAAGUCAACCAAAGUCCAUACUUUGUUCUCAUACAUGGAUCCCAUCUCGGAUUUCAUGGCUUCAAGCCACUUUGCGGAAUCUGGGCUCACCAUCGCUUCUUCAUAGUUCGUAGGUUCAUCAUGAUCUAGUAGCAUGACUUCCAGAACAGGAUUUCCGUACCACUCUGGCGCGGAUCUUACUCUGGUUGAUCUACGUGGUUCAGUAGUAUCUUGAUCUGAAGUUUCAUGAUCAUUAUCAUUGGCUUCCUCACUAACCGGUGUAGGUGUCACUGAAACAGUUUUCUGUGAUGAACUACUUUCCAGUAAGGGAGCAGGUACAGUUACCUCGUCAAGUUCUACUUUCCUCCCACUCACUUCUUUCGAGAGAAACUCCUUCUCUAGAAAUGAUCCAUUCUUAGCAACGAAUGUUUUGCCUUCGGAUCUGUGAUAGAAGGUGUACCCAACAGUUUCCUUUGGGUAUCCUAUGAAGACACAUUUCUCCGAUUUGGGUUCGAGCUUAUCAGUUUGAAGUUUUUUCACAUAAGCAUCGCAGCCCCAAACUUUAAGAAACGACAACUUUGGUUUCUUGCCAAACCACAGUUCAUAAGGCGUCGUGGCAGGGGGCAGGGGGCACCGCACACGGCUAAGGAAUUGAUCACGUGGAUCAACUUGUGUCAACUUGUGUGUUUAGAGGUGCCCCUGCCUCAGUAUAUAAAGGAGCCAAGGGGGGAGGGUGCGCCGGCCAGGAGGAGGAGGCGCAGGAGGAGUCCUACUCCUACCGGGAGUAGGACUCCCCUCCAAUCCUAUUCCAAUUAGGAUUCCCAAGGGGGAAAGAGGGAGAGGGGUGGCCGGCCACCUCUCCUAGUCCUAAUAGGACUAGGGGAAGGGGGGAGGCGCGCAGCCCCCUUGGGCUGCCCUUUUCUCCUUUCCACUAAGGCCCAUGAAGGCCCAUGUGGUUCCCGGGGGGUUCCGGUAACCUCCCGGUAACCCGGUAAAAUCCCGAUUUCACCCGGAACACUUCCGAUGUCCAAACAUAGGCUUCCAAUAUAUCAAUCUUUAUGUCUCGACCAUUUCGAGACUCCUCGUCAUGUCCGUGAUCACAUCCGGGACUCCGAACAACCUUCGGUACAUCAAAAUGCAUAAACUCAUAAUAUAACUGUCAUCGUAACCUUAAGCGUGCGGACCCUACGGGUUCGAGAACAAUGUAGACAUGACCGAGACAUGUCUCUGGUCAAUAACCAAUAGCGGGACCUGGAUGCCCAUAUUGGCUCCUACAUAUUCUACGAAGAUCUUUAUCGGUCAGACCGCAUAACAACAUACGUUGUUCCCUUUGUCAUCGGUAUGUUACUUGCCCGAGAUUCGAUCGUCGGUAUCCAAUACCUAGUUCAAUAUCGUUACCGGCAAGUCUCUUUACUCGUUCCGUAAUACAUCAUCUCACAACUAACAUAUUAGUUGUAAUGCUUGCAAGGCUUAUGUGAUGUGUAUUACCGAGAGGGCCCAGAGAUACCUCUCCGACAAUCGGAGUGACAAAUCCUAAUCUCGAAAUACGCCAACCCAACAUCGAUCAUUGGAGACACCUGUAGUACUCCUUUAUAAUCACCCAGUUACGUUGUGACGUUUGGUAGUACCCAAAGUGUUCCUCCGGUAAACGGGAGUUGCAUAAUCUCAUAGUCAUAGGAACAUGUAUAAGUCAUGAAGAAAGCAAUAGCAACAUACUAAACGAUCGGGUGCUAAGCUAAUGGAAUGGGUCAUGUCAAUCAGAUCAUUCUACUAAUGAUGUGACCUCGUUAAUCAAAUAACAACUCAUUGUUCAUGGUUAGGAAACAUAACCAUCUUUGAUUAACGAGCUAGUCAAGUAGAGGCAUACUAGUGACACUUUGUUUGUCUAUGUAUUCACACAUGUAUUAUGUUUCCGGUAAAUACAAUUCUAGCAUGAAUAAUAAACAUUUAUCAUGAUUAUAAGGAAAUAAAUAAUAACUUUAUUAUUGCCUCUAGGGCAUAUUUCCUUCAACCCACUGGUACACCAAGAGCAAGUUCACCUCCUAUUGGUGCAACUGUUGAAGCACCGUUGCUAACACCAGUUAAAGCUGACAAGAAGAGAGAUAAAAGGGAAGAAGAUGAGAGCUCAGAAGAUUCAGACUGUGAUUAUCUCCCCCUUACUGAAUGUAGUUCAGGUGAGGAUUUCGAAGCAGAUGACUUGAGGAAGAUGGCAAGAGCUCUCAGGCAGCAGAGGAGAGCCAAGAAAAGAGGAGAUGUAGUAGGUCCAAUUGUGCAAGAUAAUAAAGUAGUAGAGGAUGGUGAAUAAUGCCUUGAAGAAGGAAAUAAAACACCGUAUUAUGACUCAGAUGAUGACUAGUCAUACGACGAGGAAAGUGAUGGUGAAGGAGGUACAACUAUGGUUAGGAGAAAAAAGUGAGUGGCCUAGAUACGACAGUACGGCUGGAAAGCCUAAGUUUCUGCUGGGAAUGGUAUUCAGAGGCAAGGAGCAAAUAAAGAAGGCCAUAAUAAACUAUGCAAUUAAAGAGCGUGUCCAUUUGGCAUUUACAAAGGACGAGCAAGCAAAGGUUAGAGCUCAUUGCACAUGGCCAGGUUGCCAUGGAUGAUCUAUGCAUCAAGAACAACAAAGAACAAGUGGCUUCAAGUGUUGACUCUUGUCGAUGAUCACCAGUGUGUACCUAGAAGAGACAACAAGCUAGUGACUGCUGAAGUUAUUGCUAAGAAAUAUGGGAAGUUGAUAGAAGCAAACCCCACAUGGAAACUUGAGAAUAUUAAACAAACUAUCUUAGAGGACUUGGGUGUUGAUGUUUACAUAGCCAAGUGCAAAAGAGCAAAGAAGCUUGUGCUAGAAAGGAUGUUGAACUCCACACAUGGGGAGUACUGUAGAGUGUUUGACUACCAACAAGAGCUUAUGAGAAGCAAUCCAGGUAGUACAGUUGCUAUAACACUUGAUCCAGAGAUGAGAGAUGACCAACAUGUUUUCCAGAGAUUUUAUAUGUGUUUUGCUGCUUGCAAGAAAGGUUUCCUGGCUGGUUGUAGAAGGGUAAUAGGCCUGUAUGGAUGUUUCAUCAAGGGUGCUACAUAUGGGCAGUUGUUAUGUGCUUUGGGCAGAGAUGCAAAUAACCAGAUUUAUCCGAUAGCAUGGGCUUUAGUUGAGAAGGAAACAUAUGAAUCUUGGUUUUGGUUUCUUGCAUUGUUGAACAAGGAUUUAAAAAUACCAAACCAAGGAGAAGGUUGGGUAGUAAUAUCUGACCAGCAAAAAGGUCUUAUUGGUGCUAUUGAGGAUAUAUUUCCCAAAGUUGAACACAUGAUGUGUGCAAGGCAUAUAUAUGCAAACUGGAAAAAAGAAACAUCCUGACCAUGACCUACAAAAGAGGUUCUGGAGGUGUGCAAAAGCUCCCAACCAAAUCUUGUUCAACUACAAUAGAGCUAGGUUGGCUCAGAUAACACCAGAAGGAGCGAGAGAUAUGAUGAACACAAGUCCAGAGCAUUGGAGUAGAGCACACUAGAAGAUUGGCUCUAAUUGUGAUUUAGUCGACAACAACAUGUGUGAGUCUUUCAACUAUCUGGCCUCCCCUGUUGCCAUGCCAUAUGUGCUAUAUACAAAAGUUCUCAGCAACUAGAUGAUUUCAUAGCAAAACCGAAGGGCAGCAAGCUUAGCAAGGUUGGAACAACGAUAACAUGCAGCUUGUGUCAUAGAGAGGGCCACAACUCAACAAGCUGCAAAGCAAACCCCAGCUCCAUAAAAAAUAUUAACCAGCAUAUUGUAAAGCAAGCAAGAAAGAAAAGAAAAGCUGGUAGGGAAAUAUUUGAAGCAAGCAAAUCAUCAAUGGUUAGUGUUUGCUUUGCUGAUUUUUGUUAACAGUUUGUUUGACAGAUAUUUUCAAAGUGUUCCUUUUACUGAAUUUCACUAACUGUAUCGUUUCCUACUACAGUAUCAUGUUCAAGCAUCAAGGAAAAAAAUCCAAACAGACUACUGUUGCUGAUCAGAGGAGGCAAGCACCUGUUGUUGCUGUUGAGAGCAAGAAAACACAUGUAGUUGCCGAUCUAAAGGGAAAAUGUGCUGCUGUUGCACAGAAGAAAGAGGCAGCGACUGUUACUCUAGGAGGAUUGAAAAUUAAUGAUAAUGGAUCUAGGGCAAGCUCUCAUGCAAUGUAUCAACCCUCUCACUGUGUUUUCAAUCUUGCCGCUUUCAAGGCUGCAAAAGGGCCUUAUUCAUCAAAGAAAUGAAGUACUGUAGCUUCUUGUUAGUUCAAUGCAGAUCUGCUGCUUGUAAUGUAACCAUGGUAUUGUUAGUUCACAAAAAUAUUUCUCUUUUGGUGUUAAAUGGAGUGAUAACUAGUGCCAGCUUGUGCUUGUUAUAACUGGCUUGUAUUCAUUAAGCUGCUAAAAUGACUUUGCUGCAGUACUGGCUUUGCUGCUGUACCUGUAGUUACUGUUGUACAAAAUCUUUCUACUCUUAAAUAAAGAUGCUAAAAUGACAUGCACGGCUGCAUAUUCACAUCUUUCACAUACAAAUUCUCAGUCAUACAUAUGGACACAUUCCAAAAUUCUCAGUGCACAAGCAUAAAUUUCACAAAAUUCUCAGUACACUGGACACACAUUCCCAAAUUUCACAUGCUGCUACAAAUGAUUUCACAGUGCACUGGGCAUACAUUCCCAGCUUGAUUUCUUCAUUUCAUUGCAAUGUAAAGACAACAUACAAGCAUGGCGAUUAUUGCCUUCAAGAUCUUGGUUUCCUUAGCUUGUUUAGCAAACUCCAUGUCUUUCCAUUGUUUCAUCUCCAGAUCUUCAGCUGCUUUAGAAAUGGUGAUGUCGCCAGAUCUUUCCAAAGGAAAAAACGGUAGACGCGCCCCUGUUCACAUAAUAGAACAACAACACCAUGAAUGUCUAUAUAGAUUUAGUGUACAAAUUCGCAUCACUGAAUGAAGUUACAGUGUUCCCAUGAUGUGCUUUCAUUCUUCACUAAAUGAUCAAACGUCGAUAAUUGCAAAAUUUGUCUCAUCAAAAUAGCAAAAUUUGUACUAACAUAACAUUGAUAUGGUGGAUUUGAUAUGACAGUUCAGAGAACAAAAUUGUUCAGUGUGAAUGAACAAAAAAAUCAAAGUAAAGUUUGUAAUUACCAGAGAUCCUGCGCACUUGUGGUAUCCCCUCCCCAAGUUCUUCAGACUCCAUGAAAUCCACAAGGGGUAUUUCACUAGCACCAGCACAGCUGCGCAGGCCCGUAUCCAAUGGCCCCUGGCGGUAAGGCACCGGCGAGUCGGCAACUGAAGGAAAUAUGCCCUAGAGGCAAUAAUAAAGUUAUUAUUUAUUUCCUUAUAUCAUGAUAAAUGUUUAUUAUUCAUGCUAUAAUUGUAUUAACCGGAAACAUAAUACAUGUGUGAAUAUAUAGACAAAGAGAGUGUCACUAGUAUGCCUCUACUUGACUAGCUUGUUAAUCAAAGAUGGUUAUGUUUCCUAACCAUGGACAAAGAGUUGUUAUUUGAUUAACGGGAUCACAUCAUUAGUUGAAUGAUCUGAUUGACAUGACCCAUUCCGUUAGCUUAGCACCCGAUCGUUUAGUAUGUUGCUAUUGCUUCCUUCAUGACUUAUACAUGUUCCUGUGACUAUGAGAUUAUGCAACUCCCGUUUACCGGAGGAACACUUUGUGUGCUACCAAACGUCACAACGUAACUGGGUGAUUAUAAAGGUGCUCUAGAGGUGUCUCCAAAGGUACUUGUUGGGUUGGCGUAUUUCGAGAUUAGGAUUUGUCACUCCGAAUGUCAGAGAGGUAUCUCUUGGCCCUCUCGGUAAUGCACAUCACUUAAGCCUUGCAAGCAUUGCAACUAAUGAGUUAGUUACGGGAUGAUGUAUUACGGAACGAGUAAAGAGACUUGCCAGUAACGAGAUUGAACUAGGUAUUGGAUACCGACGAUCGAAUCUCGGGCAAGUAACAUACCGUUAACAAAGGGAACAACGUAUGUUGUUAUGCGGUCUGACCGAUAAAGAUCUUCGUAGAAUAUGUAGGAACCAAUAUGGACAUCCAGGUCCCGCUAUUGGUUAUUGACCGGAGACGUGUCUCGGUCAUGUCUACAUUGUUCUCGAACCGUAGGGUCCGCACGCUUAAGGUUUCGAUGACAGUUAUAUUAUGAGUUUAUGAGUUUUGAUGUACCGAAGGAGUUCGGAGUCCCAGAUGAGAUCGGGGACAUGACGAGGAGUCUCGAAAUGGUCGAGACGUAAAGAUCGAUAUAUUGGACGACUAUAUUCGGAGUUCGGAAAGGUUCCGAGUGAUUCGGGUAUUUUUCGGAGUACCGGAGAGUUACGGGAAUUCGCCGGGGAGAAGUAUUGGGCCUUAUUGGGCCCUGCGGGAAAGAGAGAGGGGCUGCCUAGGGUAGGCCGCGCGCCCCCCCCAUGGCCUAGUCCGAAUUGUACUAUGGGGAGGGGCCGCAUCCCCUCCUUCCUUCCCUUCUCUCUUCCCCUUCCUUGUCUCCUACUCCUAAUACAUGGAAGGACUCCUAGUUGGACUAGGAAAGGGGGAAUCCUACUCCCGGUGGGAGUAGGACUCCCCUAGGGCGCGCCAUAGUAGAGGGCCGGCCCUCCCCUCCUCCACUCCUUUAUAUACGGGGGUAGGGGCACCCCAUAGACACACAAGUUGAUCUUCGUGAUUGUUCCUUAGCCGUGUGCGGUGCCCCCCUCCACGAUAUUACACCUCGGUCAUAUUGUAGCGGUGCUUACGCGAAGCCCUGCGACAGUUGAACAUCAAGAUCGUCACCACGCCGUCGUGCUGACGGAACUCCUCCCCGAAGCUUUGCUGGAUCGGAGCCCGGGGUGCGUCAUCGAGCUGUACGUGUGUCAAGAACUCGGAGGUGCCGGAGUAACGGUGCUUGGAUCGGUUGGACCGGGAAGACGUACGACUACUUCCUCUACGUUGCGUCAACGCUUCCGCUUCGGUCUACGAGGGUACGUAGACAACACUCUCCCCUCUCGUUGCUAUGCAUCACCAUGAUCUUGCUUGUGCGUAGGAAUUUUUUUGAAAUUACUACGUUCCCCAACAUUGGCAUCCGAGCCUAGGUUUUUAUGGUUUGAUGUUAUAUGCACGAGUAGAACACAAGUGAGUUGUGGGCGAUAUAAGUCAUACUGCUUACCAGCAUGUCAUACUUUGGUUCGGCGGUAUUGUUGGAUGAAGCGGCCCGGACCGACAUUACGCGUACGCUUACGCGAGACUGGUUUUACCGCCGUGCUUUGCACACAGGUGACUAGCGGGUGUCAGUUUCUCCAACUUUAGUUGAACCGAGUGUGGCUACGCCCGGUCCUUGCGAAGGUUAAUAUAGCACCAACUUGACAAACUAUCGUUGUGGUUUUGAUGCGUAGGUAAGAACGGUUCUUGCUCAGCCCGUAGCAGCCACGUAAAAUUUGCAACAACAAAGUAGAGGACGUCUAACUUGUUUUUGCAGGGCAUGUUGUGAUGUGAUAUGGUCAAGACGUGAUAAGAUAUAAGUUGUUGUAUGAGAUGAUCAUGUUUUGUUGAAGUUAUCGGCAACUGGCAGAAGCCCUAUGGAUGUCUCUUUGUUGCAUAAGAUGCAAGUGCAAAAUAAUUGCUUUACUUUAUUGCUAUACGAUAGCAAUAGUUGCAAGAACAAUAGUUGGUGAGACAACCAUGUGAUGACACAUCGAUAUAGAUCAAGAUGAUGAAGAUCAUGGUGUCGUGCCGGUGACGAUAGAGAUCAUGACAGUACUUUGGAGAUGGAGAUCAAAGGCGCAAGAUGAUCAUGGCCAUAUCAUGUCACAUAUAUUGAUUGCAUGUGAUGUUUAUCCUUUAUGCAUCUUAUCUUGCUUUGAUUAACGGUAGCAUUUUAAGAUGAUCUCUCACUAAAAAUUAUCAAGAAGUGUUCUCCCUGCGUAUGCACCGUUGCCAAAGUUCGUCGUGCCCAGACACCACGUGAUGAUCGGGUGUGAUAAGCUCUACGUCCAUCUACAACGGGUGCAAGCCAGUUUUGCACACGCAGAAUACUCAGGUUAAACUUGACGAGCCUAGCAUAUGCAGAUAUGGCCUCGGAACACGGAGACCGAAAGGUCGAGCGUGAAUCAUAUAGUAGAUAUGACCAACAUAAGAUGUUCACCAUUGAAAACUACUCCAUUUCACGUGAUGAUCGGUUAUGGUUUAGUUGAUUUGGGUCACGUGAUCACUUAGAUGACUAGAGAGAUGUCUGUCUAAGUGGGAGUUCUUAAGUAAUAUGAUUAAUUGAACUUUAAUUUAUCAUGAACUUAGUCCUGGUAGUAUUUUGCAAAUUAUGUUGUAGAUCAAUAGCUCGCGUUGUUGCUUUCAUAUGUUUGUUUUUGAUAUGUUCCUAGAGAAAAUUGUGUUGAAAAAUGUUAGUAGCAAUGAUGCGGAUUGGAUCCGUGAUCAGAGGUUUAUCCUCAUUGCUGCACAGAAGAAUUAUGUCCUUAAUGCACCGCUAGGUGACAGACGUAUUGCAGGAGCAGAUGCAGGCGUUAUGAAUGUUUGGCUAGCUCAAUAUGAUGACUACUUGAUAGUUUAAGUGCACCAUGCUUAACGGCUUAGAAUCGGGACUUCAAAGACGUUUUGAACAUCAUGGACCAUAUGAGAUGUUCCAGGAGUUGAAGUUAAUAUUUCAAGCAAAUACCCGAGUUGAGAGAUAUGAAGUCUCCAACAAGUUCUAUAGCUAAAAGAUGGAGGAGAUUCGCUCAGCUAGUGAGCAUGUGCUCAGAUUGUCUGGGUACUACAAUCGCUUGAAUCAAGUGGGAGUUAAUCUUCCAGAUAAGAUAGUGAUUGACAGAAUUCUCUAGUCACCAUCACCAAGUUAGUAGAACUUCGUGAUGAACUAUAGUAUGCAAGGGAUGAUGAAAAUGAUUCCCGAGUUUUUCAUGAUGAUGAAAUCAAUGAAGGUAGAAAUCAAGAAAGAACAUCAAGUGUUGAUGGUUAACAAGACCACUAGUUUCAAGAAAAGGGCAAAGGGAUAGAAGGGAACUUCAAGAAGAACGGCAAGCAAGUUGCUGCUCAAGUGAAGAAGCCCAAGUCUGGACCUAAGCCUGAGACUAAGUGCUUCUACUGCAAAGGGACUGGUCACUGGAAGCAGAACUACCCCAAGUAUUUGGCGGAUAAGAAGGAUGGCAAAGUGAACAAAGGUAUAUUUGAUAUACAUGUUAUUGAUGUGUACUUUACUAGUGUUUAUAGCAACUCCUCGGUAUUUGGUACUGGUUCAGUUGCUAAGAGUAGUAACUCGAAACAGGAGUUGCAGAAUAAACAGAAACUAGUUAAGGGUGAAGUGACGAUGUGUGUUGAAUGUAGUUUCAAAAUUGAUAUGAUCAUCAUCGCACACUCCCUAUACUUUCGGGAUUAGUGUUGAACCUAAAUAAAUGUUAUUUGGUGUUUGCGUUGAGCAUGAAUAUGAUUUGAUCGUGUUUAUUGCAAUACGGUUAUUCAUUUAAGUAAGAGAAUAAAUUGUUGUUCUAUUUACAUGAAUAAAACCUUAUAUGGUUACACAUCCAAUGAAAAUGGUUCAUUAGAUCUCGAUCGUAGUGAUACACAUAUUCAUAAUAUUGAAACCAAAAGAUGCAAAGUUAAUAAUGAUAGUGCAACUUAUUUGUGGCACUGCCGUUUAGGUCAUAUUGGUGUAAAGCGCAUGAAGAAACUCCAUGCUGAUGGGAUUUUGGAAUCACUUGAUUAUGAAUCACUUGAUGCUUGCGAACCAUGCCUCAUGGGCAAGAUGACUAAGACUCCGUUCUCCGGAACAGUGGAGCGAGCAACUGACUUAUUGGAAAUAAUACAUACUGAUGUAUGCGAUCCGAUGAGUGUUAAGCCUCGCAGCGGGUAUCAUUAUUUUCUGACCUUCACAGAUGAUUUGAGUAGAUAUGGGUAUAUCUACUUGAUGAAACAUAAGUCUGAAAUAGUUGAAAGGUUCAAAGAAUUUCAGAGUGAAGUGGAAAAAUCAUCGUAACAAGAAAAAUAAAGUUUCUACGAUCUGAUCGCGGAGACAAAUAUUUGAGUUACGAGUUUGGUCUUCAAUUAAAACAAUGUGGAAUAAUUUCACAAAUUCAUGCCACCUGGAACACCACAUCAUAAUGGUGUGUCCGAACGUCAUAACCGUACUUUAUUGGAUAUAGUACAAUCUAUGAUGUUUCUUACCGAUUUACCAAUAUCGUUUUGGGAUCAUGCAUUAGAGACAACUGCAUUCACGUUAAAUAGGGCACCAUCUAAAUCCGUUGAGACGACACUAUAUGAACUGUGGUUUAGCAAGAAACCAAAGUUGUCGUUUUUUAAAGUUUGGGGCUGCGAUACUUAUGUGAAAAAGUUUCAUCCUGAUAAGCUCAAACCCAAAUCGGAGAAGUGCGUCUUCAUAGAAUACCCAAAGGAAAUUGUUGGGUACACCUUCUAUCACAGAUCCGAAGGCAAAACAUUCGUUGCUAAUAAAUGGAUCCUUUCUAGAGAAGGAGUUUCUCUCGAAAGAAGUGAGUGGGAGGAAAGUAGAACUUGAUGAGGUAACUGUACCUAUUCCCUUAUUGGAAAGUAGUUCAUCACAGAAAUCUGUUCUUGUGACUACUAUACCAAUUAGUGAGGAAGCUAAUGAUGAUGAUCAUGUAACUUCAGAUCAAGUUACUACCGAACCUCGUAGGUAAAACAGAGUGAGAUCCGCACCAGAGUGGUACUGUAAUCCUUUUCUGGAGGUCAUGUUACUUGACCAUGACAAACCUACGAACUAUGAGGAAGCGAUGAUGAGCCCAGAUUCCGCAAAAUGGUUUGAGGCCAUGAAAUCUGAGAUAUGAUCCAUGUAUGAGAACAAAGUAUGGACUUUGAUGGAUUUGCCCGAUGAUCGGCAAACCAUAGAAAAUAAAUGGAUCUUCAAGAGGAAGACGGACGUUGAUAGUAGUGUUACUAUCUACAAAGCUAGACUUGUCGAAAAGGUUUUUUGACAAAGUUCAAGGUGUUGACUACGAUGAAAUUUUCUCACUCGUAGCGAUGCUUAAGUCUGUCCAAAUCAUGUUAGCAAUUGCCGCAUUUUUAUGAAAUCUGGCAAAUGGAUAAACAAAACUACAUUCCUUAAUGGAUUUAAAGAAGAGUUGUAUAUGAUGCAACCAAAAGGUUUUGUCAAUCCUAAAGGUGCUGACAAAAUGUGCAAGCUCCAGCGAUCCAUCUAUGGACUGGUGCAAGCAUCUCGGAGUUGGAAUAUACGCUUUGAUAAGUUGAUCAAAGCAUAUAGUUUAUACAGACUUGCAGUGAAGCCUGUAUUUACUAGAAAGUGAGUGGGAGCACUACAGCAUUUCUGAUAAGUAUAUGUGAAUGACAUAUUGUAGAUCAGAAAUAAUGUAGAAUUAUUCUGCAAAGCAUAAAGGAGUGUUUGAAAGGAGUUUUUCAAAGAAAGACCUCGGUGAAGCUGCUUACAUAUUGAGCAUCAAGAUCUAUAGAGAUAUAUCAAGAUGCUUGAUAAGUUUUUUUUUCAAUGAGUACAUACCUUGACAAGAUUUUGAAGUAGUUCAAAAUGGAACAGUCAAAGAAAGAGUUCUUGCCUGUGUUACAAGGUGUGAAAUUGAGUAAGACUCAAAACCCGACCACGGCAGAAGAUAGAAAGAGAAUGAAAGUCAUUCCCUAUGCCUUGGCCAUAGGUUCUAUAAAGUAUGCCAUGCUGUGUACCAGAUCUAUUGUAUACCUUACACUAAGUUUGGCAAGGGAGUACAAUAGUGAUCUAGGAGUAGAUCACUGGACAGCGGUCAAAAUUAUCCUUAGUGGAAUAAGGAUAUAUUUCUCAAUUAUGGAAGUGACAAAAGGUUCGUCGUAAAGGGUUAUGUCGAUGCAAGUUUUGACACCGAUCUGGAUGACUCUAAGUCUCGAUCUAGAUACAUAUUGAAAGUGGGAGCAAUUAGCUAGAGUAGCUCCGUGCAGAGCAUUGUAGACAUAAAAAAUUGCAAAAUACAUAACGGAUCUGAAUGUGAAAGACCCGUUGACUAAGAUUCUCUCACAAGCAAAACAUGAUCACACCUAAGUACUCUUUGGGUGUUAAUCACAUAGCGAUGUGAACUAGAUUACUGAAUCUAGUAAACCCUUUGGAUGUUGGUCACAUGGCGAUGUGAACUAUGGGUGUUAAUCACAUGAUGAUGAGAACUAUCGAUGUGAAUCACAUGGUGAUGUGAUCUAGAUUAUUGACUCUAGUGCAAGUGGGAGACUGAAGGAAAUAUGCCCUAGAGGCAAUAAUAAAGUUAUUAUUUAUUUCCUUAUAUCAUGAUAAAUGUUUAUUAUUCAUGCUAGAAUUGUAUUAACCGGAAACAUAAUACAUGUGUGAAUAUAUAGACAAACAGAGUGUCACUAGUAUGCCUCUACUUGACUAGCUUGUUAAUCAAAGAUGGUUAUGUUUCCUAACCAUGGACAAAGAGUUGUUAUUUGAUUAACGGGAUCACAUCAUUAGUUGAAUGAUCUGAUUGACAUGACCCAUUCCGUUAGCUUAGCACCUGAUCGUUUAGUAUGUUGCUAUUGCUUCCUUAUGACUUAUACAUGUUCCUAUGACUAUGAGAUUAUGCAACUCCCGUUUACCGGAGGAACACUUUGUGUGCUACCAAACGUCACAACGUAACUGGUUGAUUAUAAAGGUGCUCUACAGGUGUCUCCAAAGGUACUUGUUGGGUUGGCGUAUUUCGAGAUUAGGAUUUGUCACUCCGAAUGUCAGAGAGGUAUCUCUGGGCCCUCUCGGUAAUGCACAUCACUUAAGCCUUGCAAGCAUUGCAACUAAUGAGUUAGUUACGGGAUGAUGUAUUACAGAACGAGUAAAGAGACUUGCCAGUAACGAGAUUGAACUAGGUAUUGGAUACCGACGAUCGAAUCUCGGGCAAGUAACAUACCGAUGACAAAGGGAACAACGUAUGUUGUUAUGCGGUCUGACCAAUAAAGAUCUUCGUAGAAUAUGUAGGAACCAAUAUGGGCAUCCAGGUCCCGCUAUUGGUUAUUGACCGGAGACGUGUCUCGGUCAUGUCUACAUUGUUCUCGAACCGUAGGGUCCGCACGCUUAAGGUUUCGAUGACAGUUAUAUUAUGAGUUUAUGAGUUUUGAUGUACCGAAGGAGUUCGGAGUCCUGGAUGAGAUCGGGGACAUGACGAGGAGUCUCGAAAUGGUCGAGACGUAAAGAUCGAUAUAUUGGAUGACUAUAUUCAGAGUUCGGAAAGGUUCCGAGUGAUUCGGGUAUUUUUCGGAGUACCGGAGAGUUACGGGAAUUCGCCGAGGAGAAGUAUUGGGCCUUAUUGGGCCCUGCGGGAAAGAGAGAGGGGCUACCUAGGGCAGGCCGCGCGCCCCCCCAUGGCCUAGUCCGAAUUGGACUAGGGGGAGGGGCCGCAUCCCCUCCUUCCUUCCCUUCUCUCUUCCCCUUCCUUGUCUCCUACUCUUAAUACAUGGAAGGACUCCUAGUUGGACUAGGAAAGGGGGAAUCCUACUCCCGGUGGGAGUAGGACUCCCCUAGGGCGCGCCAUAGUAGAGGGCCGGCCCUCCCCUCCUCCACUCCUUUAUAUACGAGGGUAGGGGCACCCCAUAGACACACAAGUUGAUCUUCGUGAUCGUUCCUUAGCCGUGUGCGGUGCCCCCCUCCACGAUAUUACACCUCGGUCAUAUUUUAGCGGUGCUUAGGCGAAGCCCUGCGACAGUUGAACAUCAAGAUUGUCACCACGCCGUCGUGCUGACGGAACUCCUCCCCGAAGCUUUGCUGGAUCGGAGCCCGGGGUGCGUCAUCGAGCUGUACGUGUGUCAAGAACUCGGAGGUGCCGGAGUAACGGUGCUUGGAUCGGUUGGACCGGGAAGACGUACGACUACUUCCUCUACGUUGCGUCAACGCUUCUGCUUCGAUCUACAAGGGUACGUAGACAACACUCUCCCCUCUCGUUGCUAUGCAUCACCAUGAUCUUGCGUGUGCGUAGGAAUUUUUUUGAAAUUACUACGUUCCCCAAUAGCAACAACCUCUGAACCGACAUCUGCCAUAACGAGCUCCCUGAGCUGUGAGCCAUNNNNNNNNNNNNNNNNNNNNNNNNNNNNNNNNNNNNNNNNNNNNNNNNNNNNNNNNNNNNNNNNNNNNNNNNNNNNNNNNNNNNNNNNNNNNNNNNNNNNNNNNNNNNNNNNNNNNNNNNNNNNNNNNNNNNNNNNNNNNNNNNNNNNNNNNNNNNNNNNNNNNNNNNNNNNNNNNNNNNNNNNNNNNNNNNNNNNNNNNNNNNNNNNNNNNNNNNNNNNNNNNNNNNNNNNNNNNNNNNNNNNNNNNNNNNNNNNNNNNNNNNNNNNNNNNNNNNNNNNNNNNNNNNNNNNNNNNNNNNNNNNNNNNNNNNNNNNCAGGUCUGGAGCUACGGCGGCGGCGUCUGGUGUGGAGCUACAGCGUCAAUGGUAGGUGUGGAGCUACGGCGGCGGCGGCGGCGAAUUUGGACAUAAAGGAGCGAGUCGUCUGGUCUGGAGCCGAGUCAUCCCCUGCCACGUCCCUGCCACAUCAAAAGUGUCAUUCAACUUCCAAAACCGGCUAAAUUCCCUCAAAUCAACAGCAAAACCAGCUUAGGGAAAGAUUUACCCGGUUUUGAGGAUUUAAGGGUUAAAAUUGUACAAAAUUAAAGUUCAGGGGAGUAUUUGUCCCUAUAUUUUUUUUGAGACAAUAGUAUUUGUCCCUACAGGGGCAUUUGGGGGUGAAAAAUGGACUCACGUUUGUUGGGCCGACCCAACUCGGCGGUGUAGUAGGCGCCUGGGAGGACUUCUGGCGCCUAUGCUGCCCAAUAGGAGCUCCCUAGUCUCGCGGCGGCGGCGGCGUUGGCAAAAAACUUUGGGCCUUCUUAUCAAGGAUGGAGGAUUAAACAUAGACUAACUAGUAGAAGGCCCGUGAGUUGCCACGGGCUUUUAGCUUUUUCCUGAUUGUACGACAUUGCCUCGGGACCUUAUCGAUGGAUUCUUUCUUAACAUCCACACAAUCCAUCUCUACCGUUCUUAUACUCUGCAAAAGUAAACAGAAGUACACCUUUUGUAUUGUCAUGUGCAACAUAUAUAUACAAGGAAUAACAAUUAUCUGUAUGCAUCUCAUUGUGUAAAACUCGAUGAGUUUUGAGUCUACUCGAUCAUAGGUACGUCCAUGACUUUGUCAAUCAACAUUUUUUAUGCCAUAUGUUUUUGUCUCUAACCUAUAAAAGUGAACAUACAAACAUAUAUUAAAAAUAUAUAAAAGGCAAAGUGUCAUCUCACCCUACCAUUGCUUGGCAUCUUUCUAAACUUUAUCAGAUCUAUGAAAAAGUCCUCACAUACUCCGAGAGAUGAUGGUGUAUUGUAUAUCUGAUUGGAAAAUGAGACGGUUAUCACUACCUCGAAAGAUGAUGGCAUAUUGAAUUUCUUAUUUGCGAUUAUCUCUCCUCAUUCUUCAACCUCAACAAAUAUAAUGUUUUAUGCCCAGCAGAAACAUAAAGAGAAACAAUCAUUCAUUAAACUUCUCCCAAUUAAUUGUGGUAUACCCACUUGUUUCUACCAAAUAAUAAUGUGGGCAUACAAAUUCUAGUAACAUAAUGAUGUGCUGAUAUAUAGAGUAAAAAAGGAUAUAAAACGACGGUAGUUAAAUAAACAUUCUCUCAUGAUUGUCAUGCCACCCUGAGAGAACCUUCCUCUAUGUCGCAUGUCUCUGCUCUCAAUCUAGCGCAUGACUUUGACUUCCCAGCAAACUUGCAUUUGGAAAUGGUAGUGAAGUUACAAGUCUUGAAUUAUUCGUCGCUGACCAUGAAAUAUGAUGCUUAAUGCAUGUGCAUUGCCAUGGAAUAAACAAAACUACAGACCCAAAUGUAUGUCAUUCACGAUGGCAUAAGGUUCCAUUUACAUAGGGACACAUACCAUUAUCUACUUUGUUUUUAUCUGUGACAAUCAUCAUGUCUCCUUACAAACCAACUCCUUGUAAACAAGGCAACCCUUCCAACCCUUGACUUCCUCACUUCUCAGGCUUGCUCUACCAUCAUUUUAGCUUCAAAACUCUUAUCAUUUCGUGAAAUAUGAUACUGUGUUGUAUCUCUGAUUUUAAAAUGAAAUGUGCCUCACUUGUCAUUGGAGAUGUCUUAUUUACAAGAUGCCUAUAGCGCAAUAACAAUAUUGUUCUCUCUUAUUAUUCACCUGCAAGAAAGAUAACAUUUAUGUGCUUGCAAGAAACGUGAAGGAAAAAAUACAUCGUGUAUAUAUGAGAAAAUCCAACUGAAACAAAGGCCUGCUUAACUAAAAUAUGUGUACAUUAGUCAUAGGUGGUUGUUGACUUAAACGACAACCUAGUUUGUCUCCACGGUGGCCUCCUCAUGGUGGUACAGUAGCGAAGUUGUAGUCCUCUACACAUGCGCUAGAACUGGAUAGCUACCAUGGGAGAGACACUAUAUCAUUAUUUGAUUACAUUCUCUUUUAGUUUGUAAGUAUAUACUGUUGGGGAACGUAGUAAUUUCAAAAAAAUUCCUACGCACACGCAAGAUCAUGGUGAUGCAUAGCAACGAGAGGGGAGAGUGUUGUCUACGUGCCCUCGUAGACCGAAGCGGAAGCGUUGACACACCGUAGAGGAAGUAGUCGUACGUAUUCCCGGUUCGACCGAUCCAAGCACCGUUACUCCAGCACCUCCGAGUUCUUGGCACACGUUCAGCUCGAUGACGCUCCCCGGGCUCCGAUCCAGCAAAGCUUCGGGGAGGAGUUCCGUCAGCACGACGGCGUGGUGACGAUCUUGAUGUACUACCGACGCAGGGCUUCCCCUAAGCACAACAACGAUAUGACCGAGGUGGAAUAUAGUGGAGGAGGGCACCGCACACGGCUAAGGAACGAUCACGAAGAUCAACUUGUGUGUUCUAGGGUGCCCUCCUGCCCCCGUAUAUAAAGGAGCCAAGGGGAGGGGCGGCCGGCCAGGUUGGGCGCGCCAAAGGGGGGGAGUCCUACUCCCACCGGGAGUAGGACUCCCUCUUUUCCUAGUUGGAGAAGGAGAAGGGGGAAAGAGGAGGAAGAGGGAAAGGAAAGGGGGCGCGCCGCCCCCUCUCCUUGUCCUAUUCGGACCAGGGAGGGGAGGGGCGCGCGGCCCCCUCUAGCCUCCUUUCCUCUUCUCCCUUAGGGCCCAUCAAGGCCCAAUAACCCCCAGGGGGUUCCGGUAACCCCCCAGUACUCCGGUAAAAUCCCGAUUUCACCCGGAACGAUUCCGAUAACCAAAUAUAGGCUUCCAAUAUAUCGAUCUUUAUGUCUCGACCAUUUUGAGACUCCUCGUCAUGUCCGUGAUCGCAUCCGGGACUCCGAACAACCUUCGGUACAUCAAAAUGCAUAAACUCAUAAUGAAAUUGUCAUCGUAACGUUAAGCGUGCGGACCCUACGGCUCGAGAUCAACGUAGACAUGACCGAGACAUGUCUCGGGUCAAUAACCAAUAGCGGAACCUGGAUGCUCAUAUUGGCUCCUACAUAUUCUACGAAGAUCUUUAUCGGUCAGACCGCAUAACAACAUAUGUUGUUCCCUUUGUCAUCGGUAUGUUACUUGCCCGAGAUUCGAUCGUCGGUAUCCAAUACCUAGUUCAACCUCGUUACCGGCAAGUCUCUUUACUCGUUCCGUAAUACAUCAUCCCGCAACUAACUCAUUAGUUGCAAUGCUUGCAAGGCUUAAGUGAUGUGCAUUACCGAGAGGGCCCAGAGAUACCUCUCCGACAAUCAGAGUGACAAAUCCUAAUCUCGAAAUACGCCAACCCAACAUUUAACUUUGGAGACACCUCUAGAGCACCUUUAUAAUCACCCAGUUACGUUGUGACAUUUGGUAGCACACAAAGUGUUCCUCUGGUAAACGGGAGUUGCAUAAUCUCAUAGUCAUAGGAACAUGUAUAAGUCAUGAAGAAAGCAAUAGCAACAUACUAAAUGAUCGGGUGCUAAGCUAACGGAAUGGUUCAUGUCAAUCACAUCAUUCUCCUAAUGAUGUGAUCCCAUUAAUCAAAUGACAACUCAUGUCUAUGGCUAGGAAACUUAACCAUCUUUGAUCAACGAGCUAGUCAAGUAGAGGCAUACUAGUGACACUGUGUUUGUCUAUGUAUUCACACAUGUAUUAUGUUUCUGGUUAAUACAAUUCUAGCAUGAAUAAUAAACAUUUAUCAUGAAUUAAGGAAAUAAAUAAUAACUUUAUUAUUGCCUCUAGGGCAUAUUUCCUUCAGUCUCCCACUUGCACUAGAGUCAAUAAUCUAGAUUACACAGUAAUGAUUCUAACACCCAUGGAGUCUUGGUGUUGAUCAUGUUUUGCUCGUGGAAGAGGCUUAGUCAACGGGUCUGCAACAUUCAGAUCCGUAUGUAUCUUGCAAAUUUCUAUGUCUCCCACCUGGACUAAAUCCCGGAUGGAAUUGAAGCGUCUCUUGAUGUGCUUGGUUCUCUUGUGAAAUCUGGAUUCCUUCGCCAAGGCAAUUGCUCCAGUAUUGUCACAAAAGAUUUUCAUCGGACCCGAUGCACUAGGUAUGACACCUAGAUCGGAUAUGAGAUCCUCCAUCCAGACUCCUUCAUUUGCUGCUUCCGAAGCAGCUAUGUAUUCUGCUUCACACGUAGAUCCCGCCACGACGCUUUGUUUAGAACUGCACCAACUGACAGCUCCACCGUUUAAAACAAACACGUAUCCGGUUUGCGAUUUAGAAUCGUCUGGAUCAGUGUCAAAGCUUGCAUCAACGUAACCAUUUACGAUGAGCUCUUUGUCACCUCCAUAUAUGAGAAACAUAUCCUUAGUCCUUUUCAGGUAUUUCAGGAUGUUCUUGACCGAUGUCCAGUGAUCCACUCCUGGAUUACUUUGGUACCUCCCUGCCAGACUUAUGGCAAGGCACACAUCAGGUCUGGUACACAACAUUGCAUACAUGAUAGAGCCUAUGGCUGAAGCAUAGGGAACAUCUUUCAUUUUCUCUCUAUCUUCUGCAGUGGUCGGGCUUUGAGUCUUACUCAACUUCACACCUUGCAAUACAGGCAAGAACCCUUUCUUUGCUUGAUCCAUUUUGAACUUCUUCAAAACUUUGUCAAGGUAUGUGCUUUGUGAAAGUCCAAUUAAGCGUCUUGAUCUAUCUCUAUAGAUCUUAAUGCCCAAUAUGUAAGCAGCUUCACCGAGGUCUUUCAUUGACAAACUUUUAUUCAAGUAUCCCUUUAUGCUAUCCAGAAAUUCUAUAUCAUUUCCAAUCAGUAAUAUGUCAUCCACAUAUAAUAUUAGAAAUGCUACAGAGCUCCCACUCACUUUCUUGUAAAUACAGGCUUCUCCAAAAGUCUGUAUAAAACCGAAUGCUUUGAUCACACUAUCAAAACGUUUAUUCCAACCUCGAGAGGCUUGCACCAGUCCAUAAAUGGAUCGCUGGAGCUUGCACACUUUGUUAGCACCCUUUGGAUCGACAAAACCUUCUGGUUGCAUCAUAUACAACUCUUCUUCCAAAAAUCUAUUCAAGAAUGCAAUUUUGACAUCCAUUUGCCAAAUUUCAUAAUCAUAAAAUGCGGCAAUUGCUAAUAUGAUUCGGACAGACUUAAGCAUCGCUACGGGUGAGAAGAUCUCAUCGUAGUCAACCCCUUGAACUUGUCGAAAACCUUUUGCAACAAGUCAAGCUUUGUAGACAGUAACAUUACCGUCAGCGUCAGUCUUCUUCUAGAAGAUCCAUUUAUUCUCAAUUGCUUGCCGACCAUCGGGCAAGUCAACCAAAGUCCAUACUUUGUUCUCAUACAUGGAUCCCAUCUCAGAUUUCAUGGCUUCAAGCCACUUUGCGGAAUCUGGGUUCACCAUCGCUUCUUCAUAGUUCGUAGGUUCAUCAUGAUCUAGUAGCAUGACUUCCAGAAUAGGAUUACCGUACCACUCUGGUGCGGAUCUUACUCUGUUCGACCUACGAGGUUCUGUAGUAACUUGAUCUGAAGUUCUAUGAUCAACAUCAUCAACUUCCUCACUAGUUGGUUUUGACGUCACAGAAACCGGUUCCUGUGAUGUAUUAAUUUCCAACAAGGGAGUAGGUACAGUUACCUCAUCAAGUUCUACUUUCCUCCCACUCACUUCUUUCGAGAGAAACUCCUUCUCUAGAAAGGAUCCAUUCUUAGCAACGAAUGUCUUGCCUUCGGAUCUGUGAUAGAAGGUGUACCCAACAGUUUCCUUUGGGUAUCCUAUGAAGACACAUUUCCCCGAUUUGGGUUCGAGCUUAUCAGGUUGAAGCUUUUUCACAUAAGCAUCGCAGCCCCAAACUUUAAGAAACGAUAACUUUGGUUUCUUGCCAAACCAUAGUUCAUAAGGCGUCGUCUCAACGGAUUUUGAUGGUGCCCUAUUUAUUGUGAAUGCGGCCGUCUCUAAAGCAUAACCCCAAAACGAUAGCGGUAAAUCUGUAAGAGACAUCAUAGAUCGCACCAUAUCAAGUAAAGUACGAUUACGACGUUCGGACACACCAUUACGUUGUGGUGUUCUGGGUGGCGUGAGUUGCGAAACUAUUCCGCAUUGUUUCAAAUGUGAACCAAACUCAUAACUCAAAUAUUAUCCUCCACGACCAGAUCGUAGAAACUUUAUUUUCUUGUUACGAUGAUUUUCAACUUCACUCUGAAAUUCUUUGAACUUUUCAAAUGUUUCAGACUUAUGCUUCAUUAAGUAGAUAUACCCAUAUCUGCUUAAAUCAUCUGUGAAGGUGAGAGAAUAAUGAUAUCCACCACGAGCCUCAACAUUCAUCGGACCACAUACAUCUGUAUGUAUGAUUUCCAACAAAUCUAUUGCUCUCUCCAUAGUACCGGAGAACGGUGUUUUAGUCAUCUUGCCCAUAAGGCAUGGUUCGCAAGUACCAAGUGAUUCAUAAUCAAGUGGUUCCAAAAGUCUAUCAGCAUGGAGUUUCUUCAUGCGCUUUACACCGAUAUGACCUAAACGGCAGUGCCACAAAUAGGUUGCACUAUCAUUAUCAACUCUGCAUCUUUUGGCUUCAACAUUAUGAAUAUGUGUAUCACUACUAUCGAGAUUCAUCAAAAAUAGACCACUCUUCAAGGGUGCAUGACCAUAAAAGAUAUUACUCAUAUAAAUAGAACAACCAUUAUUCUCUGAUUUAAAUGAAUAACCAUCUCGCAUCAAACAAGAUCCAGAUAUAAUGUUCAUGCUCAACACUGGCACCAAAUAACAAUUAUUUAGGUCUAAUACUAAUCCCGAAGGUAGAUGUAGAGGUAGCGUGCCGACCGCGAUCACAUCGACUUUGUAACCAUUUCCCACACGCAUCGUCACCUCGUCCUUUGCCAGUGUUCGCUUAAUCCGUAGUCCCUGUUUUGAGUUGCAAAUAUUAGCAACAGAACCAGUAUCAAAUACCCAGGUGCUACUGCGAGCUCUAGUAAGGUACACAUCAAUAACAUGUAUAUCACAUAUACCUUUGUUCACCUUGCCAUCCUUCUUAUCCGCCAAAUACUUGGGGCAGUUCCGCUUCCAGUGUCCAGUCUGCUUGCAGUAGAAGCACUCGGUUUCAGGCUUAGGUCCAGACUUGGGUUUCUUCUCCUGAGCAGCAACUUGCUUGCUGUUCUUCUUGAAGUUCCCCUUCUUCUUCCCUUUGCCCCUUUUCUUGAAACCAGUGGUCUUGUUGACCAUCAACACUUGAUGCUCCUUCUUGAUUUCUACCUCCGCAGCCUUUAGCAUUGCGAAGAGCUCGGGAAUUGUCUUAUCCAUCCCUUGCAUAUUAUAGUUCAUCACGAAGCUCUUGUAGCUAGGUGGAAGUGAUUGGAGAAUUCUGUCAAUGAUGCUAUCAUCCGGAAGAGUAACUCCCAGUUGAAUCAAGUGAUUACAAUACCCAGACAUCUUGAGUAUAUGCUCACUGACAGAACUAUUCUCCUCCAUCUUGCAGCUAUAGAACUUAUUGGAGACUUCAUAUCUCCGGGCAUUCUUCUGGAAUAUUAACUUCAACUCCUGGAACAUCUCAUAUGCUCCAUGACGUUCAAAACAUCGUAGAAGUCUCGGUUCUAAGCCGUAAAGCACGACACAUUGAACUAUCGAGUAGUCAUCGGCUUUGCUCUGCCAGAUGUUCUUAACGUCGUCAGUUACAUCAGCAGCAGGCCUGGCACCCAGCGGUGCUUCCAGGACGUAAAUUUUCUGUGCAGCAAUGAGGAUAAUCCUCAAGUUACGGACCCAGUCCGCGUAAUUGCUACCAUCAUCUUUCAACUUUGCUUUCUCAAGGAACGCAUUAAAAUUCAACGGAACAACAACACGGGCCAUCUAUCUACAAUCAACAUAGACAAGCAAGAUACUAUCAGGUACUAAGUUCAUGAUAAAUUUAAGUUCAAUUAAUCAUAUUACUUAAGAACUCCCACUUAGAUAGACAUCCUCUAAUCCUCUAAGUGAUCACGUGAUCCAAAUCAACUAAACCAUAACCGAUCAUCACGUGAAAUGGAGUAGUUUUCAAAGGUGAACAUCAUUAUGUUGAUCAUAUCUACUAUAUGAUUCACGCUCGACCUUUCGGUCUCCGUGUUCCGAGGCCAUAUCUGCAUAUGCUAGGCUCAUCAAGUUUAACCUGAGUAUUUUGCGUGUGCAAAACUGGCUUGCACCCGUUGUAGAUGGACGUAGACCUUAUCACACCCGAUCAUCACGUGGUGUCUGGGCACGAUGAACUUUGGCAACGGUGCAUACUCAGGGAGAACACUUCUUGAUAAUUAGUGAGAGAUCAUCUUAAAAUGCUACCGUCAAUCAAAGCAAGAUAAGAUGCAUAAAAGAUAAACAUCACAUGCAAUCAAUAUAAGUGAUAUGAUAUGGCCAUCAUCAUCUUGUGCUUGUGAUCUCCAUCUCCGAAGCACCUCCAUGAUCGCCAUCGUCACCGGCGCGACACCUUGAUCUCCAUCGUAGCAUCAUUGUCAUCUCGCCAAUCUUAUGCUUCUACGACUAUCGCUACCACUUAGUGAUAAAGUAAAGCAUUACAGGGCGAUUGCAUUGCAUACAAUAAAGCGACAACCAUAUGGCUCCUGCCAGUUGCCGAUAACUCGGUUACAAAACAUGAUCACCUCAUACAAUAAAAUUUAGCAUCAUGUCUUGACCAUAUCACAUCACAACAUGCCAUGCAAAAACAAGUUAGACGUCCUCUACUUUGUUGUUGCAAGUUUUACGUGGCUGCUAUGGGCUUAGCAAGAACCAAUCUCACCUACACAUCAAACCACAACGAUAGUUUGUCAAGUUGGUGUUGUUUUAACCUUCGCAAGGACCGGGCGUAGUCACACUCGGUUCAACUAAAGUUGGAGAAACUGACACCCGCUAGACACCUGUGUGCAAAGCACGACGGUAGAACCAGUCUCGCGUAAGCGUACGCGUAAUGUCGGUCCGGGCCGCUUCAUCCAACAAUACCGCCGAACCAAAGUAUGACAUGCUGGUAAGCAGUACGACUUAUAUCGCCCACAACUCACUUGUGUUCUACUCGUGCAUAUAACAUCAAACCAUAAAACCUAGGCUCGGAUGCCACUGUUGGGGAACGUAGUAAUUUCAAAAAAAUUCCUACGCACACGCAAGAUCAUGGUGAUGCAUAGCAACGAGAGGGGAGAGUGUUGUCUACGUACCCUCGUAGACCGAAGCGGAAGCGUUGACACAACGUAGAUGAAGUAGUCAUAUGUCUUCCCGGUUCGACCGAUCCAAGCACCGUUACUCCGGCACCUCCGAGUUCUUGGCACACGUUCAGCUCGAUGACGCUCCCCGGGCUCCGAUCCAGCAAAGCUUCGGGGAGGAGUUCCGUCAGCAUGACGGCGUGGUGACGAUCUUGAUGUACUACCGACGCAGGGCUUCGCCUAAGGACCGCAAUGAUAGGACCGAGGUGGAAUAUAGUGGAGGGGGGCACCGCACACGGCUAAGGAACGAUCACGAAGAUCAACUUGUGUGUUCUAGGGUGCCCCCCUGCCCCCGUAUAUAAAGGAGCCAAGGGGAGGGGUAGCUGGCCAGGUUCGGCGCGCCAAAGGGGGGGAGUCCUACUCCCACCGGGAGUAGGACUCCCUCUUUUCCUAGUUGGAGAAGGAGAAGGGGGAAAGAGGAGGAAGAGGGAAAGGAAAGGGGGGGGGGCGUCGCCCCCUCUCCUUGUCCUAUUCGAACCAGGGAGGGGAGGGGCGCGCGGCCCCCUCUGGCCUCCUUUCCUCUUCUCCCUUAGGGCCCAUCAAGGCCCAAUAACCCCCGGGGGGGUUCCGGUAACCCCCCGGUACUCCGGUAAAAUCCCGAUUUCACCCGGAACGAUUCCUAUAACCAAAUAUAGGCUUCCAAUAUAUCGAUAUUUAUGUCUCGACCAUUUCGAGACUCCUCGUCAUGUCCGUGAUCACAUCCAGGACUCCGAACAACCUUCGGUACAUCAAAAUGCAUAAACUCAUAAUGAAACUGUCAUCGUAACGUUAAGCGUGCGGACCCUAUGGUUCGAGAACAAUGUAGACAUGACAUAGACAUGUCUCAGGUCAAUAACCAAUAGCGGAACUUGGAUGCUCAUAUUGGCUCCUACAUUUUCUACGAAGAUCUUUAUCGGUCAGACCGCAUAACAACAUACGUUGUUCCCUUUGUCAUCGGUAUGUUACUUGCCCGAGAUUCGAUCGUCGGUAUCCAAUACCUAGUUCAAUCUCGUUACCGACAAGUCUCUUUAGUCGUUCCGUAAUACAUCAUCCCGCAACUAACUCAUUAGUUGCAAUGCUUGCAAGGCUUAAGUGAUGUGCAUUACCGAGAGGGCCCAGAGAUACCUCUCCGACAAUCGGAGUGACAAAUCCUAAUCUAGAAAUACGCCAACACAACAUGUACCUUUGGAGACACCUGUAGAGCACCUUUAUAAUCACCCAGUUACGUUGUGACGUUUGGUAGCACACAAAGUGUUCCUCCGGUAAACGGGAGUUGCAUAAUCUCAUAGUCACAGGAACAUGUAUAAGUCAUGAAGAAAGCAAUAGCAACAAACAACACGAUCAAGUGCUAAGCUAACGGAAUGGGUCAAGUCAAUCAGAUCAUUCUCCUAAUGAUGUGAUCCCAUUAAUCAAAUAACAACUCGUUGUCUAUGGUUAGGAAACAUAACCAUCUUUAAUUAAUGAGCUAGUUAAGUAGAGGCAUACUAGUGACACUCUGUUUGUCUAUGUAUUCACACAUGUAUUAUGUUUCCGGUUAAUACAAUUCUAGCAUGAAUAAUAAUCAUUUAUCAUGAAUUAAGGAAAUAAAUAAUAACUUUAUUAUUGCCUCUAGGGCAUAUUUCCUUCAUAUACAUGGUAGAAUCUCAAUAUAUGUUUUUAGCUUUAAUCUCAAUAAUUUUAUCUACUACAUUUGCAGGCUACAAAAGUGAUUUAAUCUAAUUAUGGAGAACGUUCCUAUGUUUGAAUAGUCUUUAAGAAAUUGUUAUCAAACUAUCAAUAAAGGAAUUGAUCCAAAAAUAGAAGUCUUCACUUGUUCCUCUUGACCAUUUAAAAUAAGAAAGAGUGCAUCAAAUUAUUUAAUAGUGUGUGAGCCAAUUCCCAAAUUUUCUAGAAGAGAAAGGCUUGCACUUCUCAAUAUUCGUAAUUUCAAGAUAUGGAAACAUUACACGUGUUUCCAAAUUCAAUAACAAAAGGAUGCACAAUAUGAACAUGUCAGUAAAGAAAUGAACAGUCUGCUCCUACCAAAAUCGCUUCGAGGGUUUCCACCCCCUCCCACCACAAACCUCCCCAUCCCCCUCUGAUUAUUUUUGUUUUCUACCCUCCCCUUCGGCAAAAGAAAAUGCUUUGACCCUGCAAGUUCACUGCUUCAACCAGAAAUAAUAAACACAAAAGGAGGCCCUCGGUCAACCCGGAAAGGAAAUCUUGCAUCACACGCACACCGAAGGCAAGCUCGUCCAAUCUCGCCGCCGCUCCAUCUCCUUGGCUGCCAUUCACCGCUCAAUCAUCCCUCGCCACCCACCUCCCCCAUCACCGCGCCGCUUUCCUCGACAACCACCUGUUGCCGAUGCCUCGCCAUCAUCUCCAUGCACACAUAGGUUGCAUCCAUUGAUCAAAUAGCAGGACCUGCGAACUGGUUAUACACUCAAAACUGAGCAAGCAAGAUCAGUGUAAACCCAAACCAGAUUAAGCAAACUAAUGCACACACAACACCCAGGCAAAGAAGAGUACCUCUGCAUCAGCUCCAAAGCGAGUCACAUGAUAGAGAACAAACAUAUUUCCCAUCAGAUGAGUAGAGAAUGUUGCAAACCUUCCCAGACCAUUCUGCAAAGGGUUACCAAAUGGUGGAAGGAAAAUUGGGAAAACAUUUUAUGUCCUCCUAGAAAGGACAUAUAUCAAGAAAUUUUGUUAGCAACAUGCCAGCCGAAGGCAUAAAAAGUGAGGUCACAAGUACACAUGAUUAAAAUAAAUAUACAACAUGUGUGUUAAUGAUCAUGUAAACUGAAGCAAUUUUGAACAAUAAACAGAAAAAUGACAGGUUACAUAGUCUUCCAAGCAGGGUUAUAAGGUUCUCAGUAGGACAAACAAAAAUCAACAGAUGUGAUAUUAAGUUUUGUUAUCUGAUAGGAAAUACUCUCCAAUAAUAUUAUUACAGUUAUCAGUUAUGAAUCUAUAAACUGAAAGGCAUUGUGUUAUGCAUAACAGUUCUCUUAACCUUCUGCUACAAGAAAGCCAAUUCCAAUGACAACAAUAGCCAACGCCCAUUAAUACAGACCAAAAGUCAAUUUAGUAGACCCAUUGAUCACAAGUUUUCCCGGCAGAAACCUGAUAGAUUUCGUCGUAGCUAGACUUUCAUUAGCAUCCGCAUUGGGAAUAUAACUACAAAUCUAAAUCAACACUUUGAGUUGCUCUUAGAUGCAAUUAAAGGUAAACGAGAGCAUGAGCUUGUUAGGUCGGAUAUCUCAUUUGACUUGUUGUACAAAUCCACCCAAAAGUGCACGAUAAUAUAAACCGUGAGUACGGGGGCAAAGGGUAGUGCUCCAACAUAAACUAAUGCUUAUACAUAAAUCUGCAUAUAAAACCGAAUCAUUCGAGAAGCAAGCAUAAAUCACCAAAUUAAUCAUCCCUAAACUGUGCAGCGCACUAAAAUCUAGAGUCCGGUGAACACACAACCCGUUUGAUCCUCCCAGCCUGGCCAGUGGCCACUGGUAGGUUGUGUUGGUAUCCAUCAAUAAAUAUGCGAUUAAGUUUAUUUUUUCUUGAGGGAAAGAAUUCAGUAAGCUAAUUAAUACAUGCAAUGGGAACUUACCUUUCUCUUUUCUACAAAGGCACUUAUGUUCUUACAAGAUCUCUCCCUACAAAAGAAAUCAAUGUACUGUUGGGAACACCCAAUUUUAUAUCUGAACAAAUCUGUGUGAGAAAAAUUACGAAUACAUAUUAUGAUCAAAUUUAUUACCAGGGGAACCACAUAUUGUAAACUUUUAUCCAAGGGUGCUCAUGGUGUUGACAUAACUGACUCUUUAUCAUUUAUCAAGAACUCUGUGUGUUUCAAGAAGAGAAAUCCUGAAAUUUUGUAUUCACAACCAAAAGAGAAAGAAAAAAUAUCAAAACUAAUUCAGAGAAUGUUAUGAUCCUAGAAUAUACGCCAGAAUUAUAAGCAAUUAUGUGACACCACUAUUUCGAAUAUUUUGAAGCCACAGACUACACUAAUACUGUUCUAUUUCACUAACACGUGUGUCGUGCAUCAUUUUCAAUUAUCGAUAUGCAAAGUCAGAAAAUCAAUUAUCUGAAUUGAACGAGGCACAACUUUUUACAUAUACAUCACAUAUGUUUUUUAACUACUACCAAAUCAACAUUGUGAACUAUACAUCAUAACUGGGACGCUCCUAUGCAUGCUUCAACUACACAAUGGAAAGUAUAAAUGUUGACAAAUGAACAUAGCCAGUCUGCAUCCUGCCAUGUGCUAACUGAUAUAUAUUGAGCUUGCUAUGUUGUCUUAAAGUAAAAUAAUCCGGUCUUUUCUCGGUCCCGCAAAAGGCCACUCUUUUUCCUUUCUUAAACAAGUUUGUGACAGGACUAUGAUUGCACUUCACAUACACCAAGUAACAAAGAAAUAGUUUCAGAUUAAAAAAACAGAGAUUAGUAAGAAGGAUAUAUUUCUCAUUGUGCAUAUAGCUAAGCAUCAUAAAUCAAAGAAUUGAAUUUCAAGAUGCAACUUUUAUCACCGUCAGGUAUGAGUAUCAAUGCGCAGGUAGGCACUGCAGGUUUUAACAUGAUUCAUGCACACUAAUUAGACAUCUUUUUAGAUGGUCUGUACUAAAGCAUGUUUUACUAAAGCAGUACUUUCUUUUGAUGUAUACUUACUUGCUACUCCAACUUGCAGUACUGAAGCAUGUACCACACUAAUUUGACAUCUUUUUAGAUGGUUAGCUCCUUCUGACUUGCACAUAGACAUGGUGUCAUUUAUGUCACAAUAAUGUACACGGCAAUUGACCAAGUAUAAGACUAGAGUAAUAGGACUAUAAGUAGUCGAGCAACUGACUGAGUAUAAUAUUCAAACGUUGCAGAGUUGGUUCGCCUACAAAAAAGACAGAGUAAAUCAUAUAUAAAUGCCAAUUGCAUAAUUUAUUCCAAAUUAAUAAUUACAAGAUGCAACAAUAGAUAUAACCUUACAUGGCGGCGGAGCUCCCUGCUCCUCUCCACCAUGCAUGGCGGCGGGGAUCCUUGGAGCCGACGAGUGUGAGGGAAGAGCUCCCUGCUCCUCUCCUCUGUUUUUGUGGGUGAGACCACAAGACGAACCAACACAUGUUAGAAUAAAUCCGAGGCAUACCGUCGAUCAUCCGAGGACCAAGCAAUCACACGAGGACGACACCGAGAUUUGUUAAUGAGGUUCACCGAUAUGGCUACAUCCCGGGGGCCUGAUUAUGGGCGCUCCUCCCCAUGACACCGCUACAACACCGCAUCCGGUCGCCCUGGACGCCGACACAUGCCGCCGGCUUCCCCUGCGUUCCGGUGCUAUUAUGUUGGCAUAGGUUACAUCGUGUGUCUACCCCCGCUAUAUAUGAGAGGCCUAGGAUACAAGUGUCUUACUAGGACACGACUCCACAUCCUAUGUAAACACAAUACAACUCAUAGUCCAACUGUGACCUACCUUGUACACUAUAUUCGACACAACUCUAACAAACUCCCCCUUGGCGAAUAUUCUCCGCCACCUUGAAUUCGUCCAUGCAUCAAACUUCCAUGUACAUUGGACUUGAGCUUAUCCCAUGAGAACCCCUGCUACUCCAAAGACUCCAUAUGACUCCACCUGCAACUUGUAGUCCCUUUUUUUAUUAACCAUAGUCAACACUCGAGCAAAAUUAAGUUCCUCUUUACUCUAGUGUAUGCUCCCAACUUCCAGAGCUCCGUUCAACACCAUCGCACACUGAUCACUGACCUGCGUGAAAAUGAACAACUCAUAUAUUGGAUGUCACACAUAAGAGUUACCUGAACUCAACAUCACCGCUCCUUUCUUGAUCGCCUAUCUGAAACUUGAAGGAAUUUCACCAUUGCUUAUAGUCAUCCUGAGUCAAAUUCGCAGUUCUCUCACCACAUGUAUGACCACCAGAGCUCUGGCCCGUCUCCAUGUCCCGUGCAUACCGCACGCCUCGCCGCUACUACCGCGUCGAGCCUCCGCUGUCCCGGUCGAGUCUCAAGGGUCGCGAAACCACACCACUCAACCCCCACUGCAGGGUACCACCGAUCAUCACCGACCGAUGACGAGUUUCACGCUUUUAUCAGACCAUUGGACUCCAGUACAAACUGCAUGUCACUCGAUUUUCCCUCUUGCUGAAUAGGCUUCGAUUCCCCGAAUCCUUACACCGUAGCCCCUCAAUCCAGCUCCACCUUCAACAUGACUCCAUGGUAGAUGAUCAGUCCACCCACGCGCCCCGUCGACUUCAAGCUCUCAUGCGUACGCCAUCUUGAAUCAACCCCGUGCCAUAGUCUUGUUGAAGCCACACAAGCCCUCAGGCAUGCACCACAUGUUUCCACGCCCGAGAAGUCGGUCACAAUCAGCAUCACGCUCCUAUGUCGUCGUCGCCGAUCCCACCACCGUCUUCUGUUCCAACCGACUUGCAUCGAUCCGUCAGACUUUCCAGUCCGACCCGGCCAAAAUUAUCCAACUACAAAACACGCUCCAGGCUCGCAAAUCAUCUUCCGUGAAUUUUCAUCCAUCGCAUGAUAAUUCCAUCUUAACUGGCAUGACUUUCCGUAAUGCCUUAAAGCAUCCAUGUUGUGCCAACACAUUGUUUCACCUUUUUUCUACCAUAACCCGGUUUUCAGUUCCGUCAAACUUCUCUACCUUAAACCUGAUACCCGAUGGCACCCUAGUUCUUUGUACAACUGACUUUGUGAAAAAUAAUCCGAGCUUUGCACGUGAUGCCCCAAGUACACGAACAGAACCUCCGAUCCUCCGCGUACUAGCAAUUCCAACAAAAAAUCACUCUUGGCCUUCACGUGGUGUGGCUCCCAUGGCUCAACUCCAAUGCUAAGCUAAUUGCUUUAGCCCAGCCCUUGCAUUCCCGAUGGAUGUACCGAACCAAUGAUGAAUUUUCUGUGCUCAAUCAAUGUUUUUCCUUCUGCCAAUUAGAUAUGCAGCCUUGCGCCGUCCACGAGGACUCGGUCCUCCUUUUCUUUUCAAAACAAAUCCCUGAGUCGAUCGGACCUGCAGCGGAGCCCUGCCGUGUAGGACGCCUAGCCAACUUUCUGCGUGUCCGCCACACAACGCACCAACUAGCCCCGCUGGGCCAUCCCGCACAUGCGUCGCCGCCUCUGCUUCAGCCGCCUGGCUUCUACGCUGCGUCCGAGCAUCGCUUUGUGCCACGCGCACCUCCGCACCGCAACGCCUUGCAAUGCGAUCGAGCCGCACACGCUAGCUGCGUCACGAUCCGAUCUCCUCAACCCGUCGAGAUUGCGAACGUCUGGCGGAUUCGCAAUCGAUCUCAACCGCACGCACCAAUUGCACUACAACAACUUCCUGUGCAGACAAUACCGACCAUGUGACGCCCCUGAUUCAAUCGUACACUAAUCAUGCACGCAAAUGUGUACGAUCAAGAUCUGGGACUCACGGGAAGAUAUCACAACACAACUCUAAAACAUAAAUAAGUCAUACAAGCAUCAUAAUACAAUCCAGGGGCCUCGAGGGCUCGAAUACAAGUGCUCGAUCAUAGACGAGUCAGCGGAAGCAACAAUAUCUGAGUACAGACAUAAGUUAAACAAGUUUGCCUUAAAAAGGCUAGCACAAACUGGGAUACAAUCAAAAGAGGCGCAGGGCUCCUGCCUGGGAUCCUCAAAAACUACUCCUGGUUGUCGUCAGCGGCCUGCACAUAGUAGUAGGCACCUCCAGUGUAGUAGGAGUCGUCGUCGACGGUGGUGUCUGGCUCCUGGACUCCAGCAUCUGGUUGCGACAACCAGAAAGAAAGGAAAGGGGGGAAAGGGGGGAGAAAGCAACCGUGAGUACUCAUCCAAAGUACUCGCAAGCAAGGAGCUACACUACAUAUGUAUGGAUAUAUGUGUAAAGGGCCAUAUCGGUGGACUGAACUGCAGAAUGCCGAAAUAAGAGGGGGAUAGCUAGUCAUGUCGAAGACUACGCUUCUGGCAGCCUCCGUCUUGCAGCAUGUAGAAGAGAGUGGAUUGAAGUCUUCCAAGUACAACUCCGGGUCGUCCUAUUACCGAAGAUCACGGCUAUUCGAAUAGAUUAACUUCCCUGCAGGGGUGCACCACAUAACCCAACACGCUUGAUCCCAUUUGGCUGGACACACUUUCCUGGGUCAUGCCCGGCCUCGGAAGAUCAACACGUCGCAACCCCACCUAGGCACAACAGAGAGGUCAGCACGCUGGUCUAAUCCUAAGCGCACAGGUGUCUGGGCCCAUCGCCCAUAGCACACCUGCAUGUUGUGUACGCGGCCGGAGAGCAGACCUAGCAACCUCCAUUUCAAAGGAAGUUGCGUUGCACGGUCCAACCUGGCGCGCGCCGCUUAGUCGCUGACGUCAUGAAGGCUUCGGCUGAUACCACGACGUCGAGUGCCCAUAUCUUUCCCGCGUAGUUGGUUAGUGCGUAUAGACCAAAUGGCCAGACUCAGAUCAAAUACCAAGAACUCGUUAAGCAUGUUAAUUGAUGUAACCACGGACGCCGACCAGGGCUAGGCCCACCUCUCACCUAGGUAGUCUCGACCUGCCCUGUCCUUCCGCCACAAAGAUCCACACAGAGGGCCGUUGGGACAAAGGUCCUUUCAGCCCCCAAUCCGUGAAUCACUCGCGGGCACUCCUCGAGCCGACCCGACUUUAGUCACCACAUGUAUCAUGUAUAAGUAUAUAGUAUAUACCCGUGAUCACCUCCCGAGUGAUCACGACCCGAUAGUACAGCAUGGCAGACAGACAAGAAUGUAGGGUCACUGAUGGAAUACUAGCAUCCUAUACUAAGCAUGUAGGAUUGCAGGUAAAGGUAACAACAGUAGUAGCAAGGAUAGGCUAUGCAUCAGGAUAGAAAUAACGGAAAGCAGUAACAUGCUACACUACUCUAAUGCAAGCAGUAGAGAGUAGAAUAGGUGAUAUCUGGUGAUCAAGGGGGGGCUUGACUGGAAGCUCAGCCGAGAAGGAGGGGUCGUCAACAUCGUAGUCGUACUGGGUAGCAGCGGCGUCGGUCUCGUAGUCUACCGGAGAGAAGAGGGGGAAGAAACAAUGAAUACAAUGCAAACAGAUGCAUAACGAUGUAUGACAAAGCAAACAACGGUGUUAGGUGUGCCCUAACGCGGUAAGAGGUGAUACCGGCGAAGGGGGGAAACAUCCGGGAAAGUAUCCCCGGGGUCCCGCGUUUUUGGACAGAUGAACCGGAGGUGAAAUGUUGCAGGUUCACUAUGCUAGGGACACGUGGCGGACGAACGAGCUGCGUAUUCGGAUUCGUCUCGUCGUUCUGAGCAACUUUCAUGUAGAAAGUAUUUUCAUCUGAGCUACGGUUAUUUUAUAUUAAUUUUAAAAGAUUUAAAUCAAUCUUAGGAUUUAUUUAAAUAUUUUAAUUCAACAUUAUCCAGAACAGUGUUUGCUGACGUCAUCAUGACAUCAGCAGUCAACAAGGGUGUUGACUAGUCAAACUGACAUGUGGGUCCCGCAUGUCAUUGACUGUCUAAUUAAGUAAUCGUUGUUAAUUAGGUUAAUUAGUUGUGAGGUUAAUUAAUCUUAAUUAUUUAAUUUAAACAGAAUUAAUUAAGUUAAUUAUUAGUUAAUUAAUUGAUUAUUUAGUAUUUAAUUUUAUUUAUUUAUUAUUAUUUUUAAAUCGUUCUGGGGCGCUGGGGCCCCCUUGUCAUUUGCCCUAGGGGCCAACCGGGGCGGGUGCGGCUUAACGGGCAGCGGGCGCGGGCCUAACGGGCGACGGGCGCCCGUAGACUGCCCGGGGCGGGGCGUGGCCGUGGCCACGGCGGGGGUUGCCGCAGCGGGNNNNNNNNNNNNNNNNNNNNNNNNNNNNNNNNNNNNNNNNNNNNNNNNNNNNNNNNNNNNNNNNNNNNNNNNNNNNNNNNNNNNNNNNNNNNNNNNNNNNNNNNNNNNNNNNNNNNNNNNNNNNNNNNNNNNNNNNNNNNNNNNNNNNNNNNNNNNNNNNNNNNNNNNNNNNNNNNNNNNNNNNNNNNNNNNNNNNNNNNNNNNNNNNNNNNNNNNNNNNNNNNNNNNNNNNNNNNNNNNNNNNNNNNNNNNNNNNNNNNNNNNNNNNNNNNNNNNNNNNNNNNNNNNNNNNNNNNNNNNNNNNNNNNNNNNNNNNNNNNNNNNNNNNNNNNNNNNNNNNNNNNNNNNNNNNNNNNNNNNNNNNNNNNNNNNNNNNNNNNNNNNNNNNNNNNNNNNNNNNNNNNNNNNNNNNNNNNNNNNNNNNNNNNNNNNNNNNNNNNNNNNNNNNNNNNNNNNNNNNNNNNNNNNNNNNNNNNNNNNNNNNNNNNNNNNNNNNNNNNNNNNNNNNNNNNNNNNNNNNNNNNNNNNNNNNNNNNNNNNNNNNNNNNNNNNNNNNNNNNNNNNNNNNNNNNNNNNNNNNNNNNNNNNNNNNNNNNNNNNNNNNNNNNNNNNNNNNNNNNNNNGAUACUGGAGGUGGGGGGCCAAACAGGCCAGGCGCGGGGUGGGCCGGCUGGCUGUCGGCCAGAUGGGCCAAAUGGCCCCAGGGGAGGGGGGAGGGGUUCCUUUUGUUUUCUUUGGUUCUCUUUUAUUAUUUUUCUUUUCUAUUUUAAUUUUUAAUUCCACAUUAUUUUUACUUAGUAAAAUAUGACUAUAGCUCCUAAAAUAACGUUUCAAAAUAACCCUUAGCCACAAAAGGUUUUAACCCAAAAUAAAAUAGUUUAGUGUAUUAUAAAAUACCAAAGGCAUUGAAAAAAUGUUUUUUCUACUGUUUAAAUCUUUUUAGUGCAUUUAUUCAUUAUAUAAAAAUGUGGAUUCUACAUCAUAAUCAUCUAUGCAUUAACUGGCACAACCCGAACAUUUUGUUUUUAAUAUUUGAAAACUUUUGAUGUUUGCCCUUAUUUUGAAUUUGAUUUUGAAUCGGUUUCGAACUAACGCGAGAUCAGCAAUAGUACUCGAGGUGACGUGGAUCAUUAGCAGAGGUUUACUGUAGCUUGAUUAUUUGGGCGUCACAACUCUCCGCCACUACAAGAAAUCUCGUCCCGAUAUAUAAGAGGUAGUGAAAGGAGGAGGUUUGGUAACGAAUUUAACGGGUCUUCUCAUCCUGGCUUGCUCUUCUCGAAGAGGUUGACCCCUUACAUUGAUGUCUUCAUUUCUUUGCUUCAGGUCAUCAUGAUGAAGACGACAACCUUUCUUCGGAAAUGUCAUCGUACUUAUGAAAGGACAAGGGGUAACUUCGGAAGAACGGACCUUACAAGGUUGACUAUCUAUUAGAUAACUCAGGGAAUGUGGUAGAAAGUAACUCUCGAAUAGAUACUUGAUAAAAUAUCGAGAGUAAAGUAAGAAGGUACCAUGAGAAGUUUCCAAUGGGCAAGCAAUCGUUCAAUGGCCUAAUCAAAAGGUGAAAGGGGUUCAGGGCAACGAGAACAAGUAUUGCGUCUGAUACCAGAAUAGAUCACUUGUCAGGUGGCCCGUGAAUUACAUAUGAAGUCAAGCGCGAGGAAUAACUUUGGCAACAGGGUGUACAAGAGAGUCGGGUUUCGAUCCUGUGGAGCUGUGGGUUAUGGUCCCACCAUGUGGGUUAAAAGUAGGAAGGGCCGUGACAUCUUGCACGAUCAUGUAAGCAAGACAUGCCAAAGGAUAGCCUGUCAGUUAUGUCGGCAACAACAUCGGUACCAAGGGUGAGGGACGAAGAGAACCAUUUCCUGCUCGUUGAACAAGGCGGAACAAUAGGCAAAGUUCUCGUCCAUCGGUGGUUACCGGAAUGCCAUCAACAAAAGCAACACGGUCUUACUGACACGGUUGUACACCAAGGUGUUUUCAUAAGCAGAAGAAUAUUACUGCUUAGAUCAUAUAGAUCACCAAAAAGGUUAAACAAAACAAUGGAAAGGAAAAUGUGUUUUGACACAUAUUUCAGGGGUUUUUAUCCUUCCCAAGGACAAGCAAAGCAUGAUAUCCAUGACAGGAUAUAACAUAGAAAACCCUUUAGGAAAGGGGGAAGAAAUUUCAUGACAUUACCCAUACAACAGUGUUUGGAUAAUUGAUAAAGAGAAUUUUGCAUUGUGCUUCAUAUGUUGUUAUUGAAAAUCGGAGUACCACAGACAUGCUUCGAGAUAGCAUUGGCAGGGUCUUCAAGCAAACGUCGGACUUUGGAUACACAAAUGAUUCAUCAGGAGCAACUUAUAAAAUAAGUCUUACAAUUUCCUCCAGGAAGAAUGGUUAUCCUUGCAAAAGGAAUUAUAAUGAUAGGUCCUCCAUCCAGGGGUGCUAGGCAUGACAUCAUAUUACCGAGUCAUCAAAGGAGCAACAUCAUAACUCCUGGAAAGUUAUCCCUACCAUCAUAUCCGACCAAGAUUCAGAUCCGAUUGGUGUCAUGAUACCUCAGACUCAGGAUGUCUGAGAAGAAAAGGUGCAACACAAAUCGACAAAAUGACAUUACAAGAUUCUCAGAAAAUGGAGCGGGUUCCUGAAACAAUAGUUCAUCAUUAAACAAAGGAGGGGAUGAGGAGGUGGCUGAUGGGCUCAGCGACAAUUCAUCGAGAAUUCCAAACGGAUGGAUUUACACAAUAAUGUGAACAAUAAGAUGACACUUGUCAAUUCAAAUGAUAUAAUGUUGUAUGCUCUAUGAAAACAUACACCAUCAAUCAUUAGUUGAAAGGUGUGCCCGAAGUAUGACCUUAGGCAGCAAGACCAAUGUUAGAGUGACAAUUCAAUAACCAACAGUCUAAGAACGAGCCGUCGAUCGUUAAUUUCAAAGCAAUAGGGUUGCUAGAAGUACAGAAAUCAAACAACAUCGUUAGCAUAUUGGUAUCCUGGUUAAAACAACACGGGGACCAAGGAAGAAUGGUGAUGGUGAGAAGUGUCAUCAUAUCGAGAAUUUCUAAGAGGUGGAGCAAUCCUCACAACAUCCUUGAUGCAAAAGAUGGUAAUACUCCAAGGUAGAACAUAACAUAAGCUGUAUAGCAAGGAACUCAAGGUAUAACACGAAACACGGACAAGUUUGUGUUGAACGGAAGGUAAUAAAGUGGUCGAUGAUAACACAAAUCAUCGAGGGCAAGGAUGGUACUUCUCAUCAUGAAUGCAUUUGAUAUCUUGGAAGAGCUUAGAAUGUUGAUGAUGAUCACGACAAAUUUUGUCGAGAGGCUCCACGAUGAAGCAAUCGAACAAAAAUUGCAUCAAGCAAAAGGACUGAUGCAGGGAUAGAUAAUUGGAACCACAGAUACGACACCAACUUGGAAUCAAGCUUGCUGUUCGAGGUGAAAUGAUAAGACAAGGAAGAUCGACGUAAGCUUAGCUCAUCGCCGAAAGUGGUGCUUUGGGAAUGAGGACCAGGUAGAACAGUUAAAAUCAGCUCGAUACUGAUAUAGCCGAUCAAGCUAGAAAUGACGUGAUCGAGUACAAACUCGUAAGUAAAGAAGAUUACUAAUAGUUUGUUUAAUCGCGAUGAGGACUCGAUUCAGUUAUCGGUGUCCUUGAGUGUUUAAUGACUCAGAGCCCGUGAAAAAAAAUGGAAUCAGUGAGAAUGUAGUACUUGAUGGAGAACUCAUAAGAUGUUAUGCAGUUCCAAGAUAAUCUCGAGAUACCAUGGGGUAAUACUCGAUGACAGAUCAAAGUAGAGGUUGGGGUAGGGUAUUGCUCUGCAGAAGACAAGUGCUUAAACUUACACCGGAAAUGGUAUUUAAAGGAGAACAUGGUCGGAACCACGAUUGCAAAAAGGCCGGAUCCCAGAUAUAAGAACUUAUACCAAGGGAAUAAUUAAUUUAAGAGAAGCUUUAAUGAUAAGAUCUACAUCGUGUCCAUGGGCAUGAACACAAAGUUCAAGGUCGACUCCCACUUCUAUAAUGCAUAACCUUUCAUUCACUUCUCGUCUUCGAAGAAGUUGUAGUGCUGAAAUUUUAUCUGACAGCGUACCAGAAGAGUAUGACUCGUGAAACUUUCGGGUUCACACGAUUUUAGAAAAAGUAUAGGUUCAACCCAUCGGGGCAUCUUAGAAACUAUACCACAAGCUUCAAGAGUAAAUAUCACCAGCUUGAAAGUAGAGCAUGGUUGACAAAAGUAGAAGAUACAAUUUACCAAAGGCAUUAUGUAUCAGGUAAAGACUCACAAGAAUUUUGAUUGUGAAGGACACUGUCUGAUAAUAACCCGGCAAUGGGUAUGGCGGUCCACAACGGGGCUGAUGUGAGUAUCAGUACUCAAUCAAAGGAAGAAACAAUGCGAAGGCAUUGGAUUAUAAAAGCAACUGACUAAUUCAAAGCUCACAUGUAAAGGAAUUGUGAUUUCCAAGUCAAAGGGUCAGAAGCAAACGCUCUUAUUAAGGAUGGAUAAGUUGAGUAAGCUUAGAGGUAAAAUCGACAACAAUUUGAUUGGUCGAGGUCCAACUCAUGUUUUAAAUUGACGUAUGAGCUGAAAGGACGAAUACUAGGAUCUGACUGAGGAUUGCGAGCAUUCGCAACAUAUUGAAUCAAUGGACUCAAAAUGAUAGUGACAAAGGUUGCCGAUAAGAUUACGAGACUUAUGGGAUUAACCAUAAUGCAAGCAAGCAAGAAUUUCAAGAGAAAUAGGCUACUCAGGAGUUUCGGAAGACCGAAUAGUAUUUCGAAGACUUUUGCGAACCACAUAAAUAACUAGGAAUAAGCAGAUGCUCGAUAAGUGCGAGGAAUUAUCCGUAGGGGUAUUUCUGCGACAAGGAACUACAAGGUAGUAGCACAAGGUAUUCUCGGGGUAUCUUGUAAUAACAAGAUCGACUGGGAAUAAAAGCAAGAACGACAUGUGUAAGCAAUUAUCCAUAGGGGUAUUUUGGUGGUAGGGAAUUGCAAAAGCAACGGCACAAGGCCUUGACAGAAUAUCGGAGAGUAUCUUCGAAAUCUUCUGGUGUAGCUGGCAAUCAUCUGGACUGAAGGGGCUCUCCGGAAGAAAGUAUUUUCGAGAAACUAAAGUUAGAUUUUAGUAAAUUCAUUAAACCCAAAUAGGAGAGAGUUCAGAGUCCCGGAGUAUAGGUUGAGGAAUAAAAGAUCCUAAUACCACCCGAUGGCGACGUAGGCCCGUAGGCCACACAGCCAUGUUAGUAAAAGUUUAGCAAUGACUAGACUCAACUUCGGCCAAGGAGUUGGAAAGGGGGAUUCCUACAGGCAGUCGACUCUGAUACCAACUUGUGACGCCCCCGAUUCCAUCAUACACUAAUCAUGCACAUAAAUGUGUACGAUCAAGAUCAGAGACUCACGGAAAGAUAUCACAACACAACUCUAAAACAUAAAUAAGUCAUACAAGCAUCAUAAUACAAGCCAGGGGCCUCAAGGGCUCGAAUACAAGUGCUCGAUCAUAGACGAGUCAUCGGAAGCAACAAUAUCUGAGUACAGACAUAAGUUAAACAAGUUUGCCUUAAGAAGGAUAACACAAACUGGGAUACAAUCAAAAGAGGCGCAUGCCUCCUACCCGGGAUCCUCCUAAACUACUCCUGGUCAUCAUCAGCGGCCUGAACGUAGUAGUAGGCACCUCCAGUAUAGUAGGAGUCGUCGUCGACGGUGGCGUCUGGCUCCUGGACUCCAGCAUCUGGUUGCGACAACCAGAAAGAAAGGAAAGGGGGGAAAGGGGGGAGAAAGCAACCGUGAGUACUCAUCCAAAGUACUCGCAAGCAAGGAGCUACACUACAUAUGCAUGGAUAUAUGUGUAAAGGGCCAUAUCAGUGGACUGAACUGCAGAAUGCCGGAAUAAGAGGGGGAUAGCUAGUCAUGUCAAAGACUACGCUUCUGGCAGCCUCCAUCUUGCAGCAUGUAGAAGAGAGUAGAUUGAAGUCCUCCAAGUAGCAUUGCAUAGCAUAAUCCUACCCGGCGAUCCCCUCCUCGUCGCCCUGUUAGUGAGCGAUCACCGGGUUGUAUCUGGCACUUGGAAGGGUGUGUUUUAUUAAGUAUCUGGUUCUAGUUGUCAUAAGGUCAAGGUACAACUCCGGGUCGUCCUGUUACCAAAGAUCAUGGAUAUUCGAAUAGAUUAACUUCCCUGCAGGGGUGCACCACAUAACCCAAAACGCUUGAUCCCAUUUGGCCGGACACACUUUCUUGGUUCAUGCCCGGCCUCGGAAGAUCAACACGUCGUAGCCCCACCUAGGCACAACAGAGAGGUCAGCACGCCGGUCUAAUCCUGAGCGCACAGGGGUCUGGGCCCAUCGCCCAUAGCACACCUGCACGUUGUGUACGCGGCCGUUGACCAGACCUAGCAACCUCCAUUUCAAAGGAAGUUGCGUUGCACGGUCCAACCUGGCGCGCGCCGCUUAGUCGCUGACGUCACGAAGGCUUCGGCUGAUACCACGAUGUCGAGUGCCCAUAUCUUUCCCGCAUAGUUGGUUAGUGCGUAUAGACCAAAUGGCCAGACUCAGAUCAAAUACCAAGAAUUCGUGAAGCGUGUUAAUUGAUGUAACCACGGACGCCAACCAGGGCAAGGCCCACCUCUCACCUAGGUAGUCUCAACCUGCCCUGUCGCUCCGCCACAAAGAUCCACACAGAGGGCCAUUGGGACAAAGGUCCUUUCAGCCCCCAAUCCGUGAAUCACUCGCGGGCACUCCUCGAGCCGACCCGACUUUAGUCACCACAUGUAUCAUGUAUAAGUAUAUAGUAUAUACCCGUGAUCAACUCCCGAGUGAUCACGGCCCGAUAGUAUAGCAUGGCAGACAGACAAGAAUGUAGGGCCACUGAUGGAAUACUAGCAUCCUAUACUAAGCAUGUAGGAUUGCAGGUAAAGGUAACAACAGUAGUAGCAAGGACAUGAUAUGCAUCAGGAUAGGAAUAACGGAAAGCAGUAACAUGCUACACUACUCUAAUGCAAGCAGUAGAGAGUAGAAUAGGCGAUAUCUGGUUAUCAAUGGGGGGCUUGCCUGGAAGCUCAACCGAGAAGGAGGGGUCGUCAACACCGUAGUCGUACUGGGUAGCAGCGGCGUCGGUCUCGUAGUCUACCGGAGAGAAGAGGGGGAAGAAACAAUGAAUACAAUGCAAACAGAUGCAUAACGAUGCAUGACAAAGCAAACAACGGUGUUAGGUGUGCCCUAACGCGGUAAGAGGUGAUACCGGCGAAGGGGGGAAACAUCCGGGAAAGUAUCCCCGGGGUCCUGCCUUUUUGGACAGAUGAACCAGAGGUGAAAUGUUGCAGGUUCACUAUGCUAGGGACGCGUGGCGGAUGAAUAGGCUGCGUAUUCGGAUUCGUCUCGUCGUUCUGAGCAACUUUCAUGUCGAAAGUAUUUUCAUUUGAGCUACGGUUUAUUUUAUAUUAAUUUUAAAAGAUUUAAAUCAAUUUUAGGAUUUAUUUAAUUAUUUUAAUUCAACAUUAUCCAGAACAGUGUUUGCUGAUGUCAUCAUGACGUCAGCAUGACGUCAGUAGUCAACAGGGGUGUUGACUGGUCAAACUGACGUAUGGGUCCCGCAUGUCAUUGAUUGUCUAAUUAAGUAAUAGUUGUUAAUUAGGUUAAUUAAUCUUAAUUAAUUAAUUUAAACAGAAUCAAUUAAGUUAAUUAUUUGAUUAUUUAGUAUUUAAUUUUAUUUAUUUAUUUAUUAUCAUUAUUUUAAAUCGUUCUGGGGCGCUGGGCCCCCCUUAUCAUUUGCCCUAGGGGCCAACCGGGGCGGGUGCGGCUUAACGGGCAACGGGCGCCCGUAGCCUGCCCGGGGCGGGGCGGGGCCGUGGCCACGGUGGGGGUUGCCGCAGCGGGGCACGAGGGCCAUGGCGGGCGGAGGCGGGGCGAGCGGCGAGCACCGUGCAGGGCCGCCGUGGAGCAGCAGCAACGCAGCAGCCNNNNNNNNNNNNNNNNNNNNNNNNNNNNNNNNNNNNNNNNNNNNNNNNNNNNNNNNNNNNNNNNNNNNNNNNNNNNNNNNNNNNNNNNNNNNNNNNNNNNNNNNNNNNNNNNNNNNNNNNNNNNNNNNNNNNNNNNNNNNNNNNNNNNNNNNNNNNNNNNNNNNNNNNNNNNNNNNNNNNNNNNNNNNNNNNNNNNNNNNNNNNNNNNNNNNNNNNNNNNNNNNNNNNNNNNNNNNNNNNNNNNNNNNNNNNNNNNNNNNNNNNNNNNNNNNNNNNNNNNNNNNNNNNNNNNNNNNNNNNNNNNNNNNNNNNNNNNNNNNNNNNNNNNNNNNNNNNNNNNNNNNNNNNNNNNNNNNNNNNNNNNNNNNNNNNNNNNNNNNNNNNNNNNNNNNNNNNNNNNNNNNNNNNNNNNNNNNNNNNNNNNNNNNNNNNNNNNNNNNNNNNNNNNNNNNNNNNNNNNNNNNNNNNNNNNNNNNNNNNNNNNNNNNNNNNNNNNNNNNNNNNNNNNNNNNNNNNNNNNNNGGGGGACCGGCGCGUGGCCCGCGGCCGCGGCCGGAGCAGCGACGCGACGGGGCGAGGGGAGCAGGGGCGUGGGCGAAGCACGGUGGCAGCGGCGGGGCUCGGCCCCGAGUGACAUGCAGGGAGCGAGCGGGGAGCCGGAGUGCGCGGGACGCGGGGUGAGCGUGUGCGGGGCACGGCCAUGAUGGGCGCGCGCAGGGCGCCAGUGGUGCGUGAGCGUGUGCAUGCGAGGGAGAGAGGAGAGGGGAAGCUCACAGGGGUCGUAGGGAUUUUGGCAGCGGGGCGUGGGGAGGUAGACGGGGACGACGGCGUCGAGGAGGCAGUCCGGCGAGGUGGGCGUUGACGAGGCAGGCCGCGGUAGUGGCGUUCCGUGCGGCGGCGGUUCGAUCCCCCCGAUCCAAUCGGGGGGCGCAGAGGAGGGGAGAGGGGAGGCGCCCGGAGGGAGUCGAGGCGACGACAACAGGGCGGUGCCGGCGACGGGCGCCGUUGUCGAGGUCGCGGGGCGAUCCCGAUCCAGNNNNNNNNNNNNNNNNNNNNNNNNNNNNNNNNNNNNNNNNNNNNNNNNNNNNNNNNNNNNNNNNNNNNNNNNNNNNNNNNNNNNNNNNNNNNNNNNNNNNNNNNNNNNNNNNNNNNNNNNNNNNNNNNNNNNNNNNNNNNNNNNNNNNNNNNNNNNNNNNNNNNNNNNNNNNNNNNNNNNNNNNNNNNNNNNNNNNNNNNNNNNNNNNNNNNNNNNNNNNNNNNNNNNNNNNNNNNNNNNNNNNNNNNNNNNNNNNNNUCUUUGGUUCUUUUUUUUCUAUUUUAAUUUUAAUUCCACAUUAUUUUUACUUAGUAAAAUAUGACUAUAGCUCCUAGAAUAAUGUUUCAAAAUAAUCCUCAGCCACAAAAGGUUUUAACCCAAAAUAAAAUAGUUUAGUGUUUUAUAAAAUACCGAAGGCAUUGAAAAAAUGUUUUCGCUACUGUUUAAAUCUUUUUAGUGCAUUUAUUCAUUAUAUAAAAAUGUGGAUUCUACAUCAUAAUCAUCUAUGCAUUAACUGGCACAACUCGAACAUUUUGUUUUAAAUAUUGGAAACUUUUGAUGUUUGCCCUUAUUUCGAAUUUGAUUUUGAAUCAGUUUCGAACUAACGCGAGAUUAGCAAUAGUACUCGAGGUGACGUGGCAUCAUUAGCAGAGGUUUACUGUAGCUUGAUUAUCCGGGCGUCACAGACCAACACAUCAAACCUUUCUCUAGAUCAACUCUCAGAGCCUCUUCGAAUCGAACCUUGCUCAUGAUACCACUUGUUAGAAUAAAUCCGAGGCAUGCCGUCGAUCAUCCCAGGACCAAGCAAUCACACGAGCACGACACCGAGAUUUGUUAACGAGGUUCACCGAUAUGACUACGUCCCCGGGGCCUGACUAUGGGCGCUCCUCCCCAUGACACCGCUACAAUACCGCAUCUGGUCGCCCUGGACGUCGGCACAUGCCGCCGGCUUCCCCUGCGUUCCGGUGCUAUUAUGUUGGCAUAGGUUACAUCGUGUGUCUACCCCCGCUAUAUAUAUAUGAGAGGCGUAGGAUACAAGUGUCCUACUAGGACACGACUCCACAUCCUAUGUAAACACAAUACAACUCAUAGUCCAACUGUAACCUACCUUGUACACUAUAUUCGACACAACUCUAACAGUACAUUUUGAAGAGGGUGAGCAUUUCCCUACUUUUCUCAUAGUAGUAUUGAAUAACAGGUGGAAUUCAUACCUGAAAAAGUGAAAAACAUCAAACUGCCACCGAAUGGUGUCCAUGUAUCAUCAUCUAAUCCCCGAAGACAAAGAAAUUGGGUGACAUGCAGGUCCAGUGCCACCAGCGCAUCGAUGUUACCCACCACCCUGCAGUCUGCCGCCGGGAACGCCUUCACCGUGCUCCACACCUUCGAUAGCAGCGCCGGCCCGUGGAGUCUGGUUGCGGAGGAGGCGCCAUUGUCGUCGAGGUGGAGGAGGUCGGCAAGGAUUUCUUGUGUGAGGUGGAACUAUAGCUUCCGGUCUUGGCGCCGGUCGUCAGAGUCGUCCGCGAGGAGGUCCAGCUCCAGGAGGUGGAACGUGAUCGGUUCCACCGGGGAUGACAUGGAGUGGCCCUUGAACAGCCAGUUCAGCGGCGGCAUUGCGCGCAUGAACCCGUCGCGCUCUACCAACGUCUGCAUGUAACCAUAUUCGGGGUCGUCCUCCAGCGACGACGACGAUGACGACGUAGACGCGACGGCGGGGAGUAAUCUGCGGCGGCGGUGCUGGUCGACCACGUGCGCGUGCGAGCUCACAUCCGAUGCGUGGCUGUGAGUGCGGAGGGAGACGAUGGUGGUGCCGCCUUUCCAAUCGUUGUCUCAGCUGGUGGCUUCUUGACCUGCGUCGCGAAGCGCUCGCACCCGUCCGGUAGUCUCUUGCAACGGACGGCCUGCAGCGAUAGCAGAGCUGCUCUGGUCGACGUGGUUGGAAUUGGAUCCUGAAGAUAUAGCUUCACUUAGCAGUCAUAAUGACUGUUCAUGUCCGUAAGACACUUGUCAAACGUUAAGCAUCUAACGAGAGCUAAAAUAGUGUUCUACACGUAGAAAUCACACUGUGAAUUAAUUUAACAAAAUAGCAACCUUAUAAAUGGCAGUGCACCCACAAGAUUGCUAGAAAAUGAUGCAUAUUCAAAAAUAUACAGAGGUAAAAGGCAAGGGAAGAAGUAUCACCUUAGCUGUGCUAAUACUAUCAUCCAGUUUUAAUGAUCUGCACUGAGAUGUAUCAGUUAUCUCCACAAGCUUCCAAACCUUUGACUUAUCCAUUGACUCGUCAGCUAUUCCAAGUUUUACAUAAACCAAGCUUCUCUUGUCCCCAUUCUGUCAAUAAAAGUACAGAGUAAGAUCAAGUUAGUUGGGAUCGCAAUAUAAAUUGUUUUAAUAUUGAACUGGUUUUAAUAUUGAACCAAUACUCUAAUACAAUGGGUUGCUCUAAUAAUACGCAACCAUGUAUGCAUAUGAUUAAAGCACAUGAGAGAAACAUACCUCCAUUGUCUUCCGCUUAGAGAUGGUUACACUAAAACAAUAUAAUCUCUAAUAAAAACCUUCUCGCUUUUGUAACGUGUCUCAUUCUUAUAUUACGUCAACAAUAUAAUGGACAUGUGAGAAAGGGAAUCAAUAGAAAAUACACUAAAACAAGGAGGUUACUCAUACAACCGAAACUGAAGUACAUCUACUCGAUGAUGCUUGAUUUGGGACAAAGCUUUUGCUCCCCCAAAUACUUCCAUUGAGCCUCAACUUCAUCUAAUCAAUACCAAAGCCUGCUCCAGUCUUAAUGUUAUGGCCACCGCCGUGGAAAAAUUGGUCAAUCAAGUGUUAAGAAAUAACAAUCAUUAUUUAUUAAUAUCACAAUGAUCUAUACAAACUUGAAUACAAGUGGAGCUACACAAACCCAGCACAAGGUGGACUAAUUUUAGGUACUGCUACGCCUACGUUCCCUGGUAGCAUUUUGGUCCUCCAUACUCCAUUCUCAGUGAAAUGAAGAGGCAUCGAAAUGUGAAGAGACACAUAAAAAAUAAGAGCUACCAGCAAUAUGGUAAUGUUGCAUUGCAAGAGGACACAACCGAGCAUUAAAAGAAAAGAGUGAACACAACCCUAAAAUCGUUCUGCACUUGCAUGAAAAUUUGAGGUAUCACCAAGAAGAUCUUUCAUGUUCAAAAACAUGAAUAAAGCCAAAUAUUAGGAAAUGAAAAUCACUAAAAUAAUAAUAAUGAAUUCUUUUGCCUGAAAUUCCCCUUAAAACUAUUAAAAACUCACAAAGUGUAUAUACAUGCAGUGAAGGAAUUUACAUCCUGGAAAACCAAGAACUAAAUAAUAGUACUGGGUAACCUUGUGAUGCUUUUACAUAGAAGACCAUAAGAGGAUUUAGAAUGGUUACUUCUUUUUCAUCAUAGCUUCUAAAAAGAGUAUAAGAAAGAGUUAAACCAGAGAAACACACAGGAAUUUUUUUGGGUCAAUUUUCAGAAAUUGACCAGUACGUGGAAGGGAUUUUGGAUUUUUGAAAAGUUUAUACUGAAAACCAUCAUUGGUCUGUGGAAAAAAAUAUUACUGACAUGAAUCAAGAGGCCAUCAAAACUGUGAAGUAUUCAAUGCCACUAUCAGAAAAGAAAUUACAUUAGAUAGUACUCCUUGUGUAAAGAAAUAUAAGACCUUUUAGAUCAGUGAUCUAAAAGGUCUUAUAUUUCUUUACACAAGGAGUACAUCAGAAAAAAAAUGUAGUUGAAGCAGUCCAUUUUCCGGAUGAUCUUUCCUGCAUUCCUGCAGUAAUACAUCAUGAACAGUGACCAUAGAUUUCAAUAAAAAAGGAGAGAAAGAGUAAAUGUGAAAGAUAAUUUAUGAGAACGUCAUGUGGUACUUACAUUUUCCGUAAACAUGUUUUAAGAUUGUACAGUCAACCAUGCCAACGACAUUGCAACAUGAUCUGAUGUCUCCUCUCACCUACUAAAUUCAGCAAGCAUAAGUAUCUGUAUUGGUGCUGUUAGUAUGCAUGACAUGGCAUGUUUAUUUCCCGUAUGGACAAACAGUAGAGACCAUGCUGGAAACUGAUGUGGAAACAUUCUACAAGAACCUAGUGACAUUCUAUUGUUCAAGAUCCAAUCCUCCUCACCCGAUUUGUUAACGUGAUUAAAAAUGCCAGUCUGCACUAUGCAUCAACAUUAUGUCAUUACCGAACAUGUGAUGGAUGCCUAGAAGGACAAGGAUUGAGGAAAAACAUGAAAUGGAAUACGGUGUUUGCCUAUUGCUUAAAACUAUCCUAGCAAUUUCAGAAAACAGAUCGUGAGCAUCUUGUACAAUCUAAAACGAUCAAUUCAAAUACAAGAAAUGCAGAGACGAAAAUUACUGACCUUUUAGGUAGGCCAGCGGCUGCUCGCUGUUGUAGGCCAGCAGCUCCCAUCUAGGAUUCCAAUGGGAAGCAAGGAAUUGGGAGAGGGAAGGAACACAUGGAUGGGAAGCCUCCUCCACCGACGGUUGAGGUGGCCUCAGAUCGCCCCCCCCCCGACGAACUCCAGUGUUCACCGUCGGGCUCCCAGCCGCUGCCUCGUCGACUUUCACGUCCCUCCCUUUGAUCCCAUUCACCAGGGAGGCAGCGCCGUCCUCCAUCACAACGAACGAGUCGACUCCGAGAUCCCAACUGGAUCGUGGUCGUGCCUCUCACCCCAUCAACGACCAACAUACAGGAUGUGGGGGGGGGUCUAUGUGUGACGCGGGCGCCGUCACCAUGGACGGGGGAAGGAGGAGGCGGCAAAUACGCGGCCAUCGGUACGGAGAUAGGGGAGACACACGAAAGGGCCAGAGGGGAAACGGAACACUCUGGAUCGCGAGCGUGGUGGCAAGGGGAUCGGUGGAGGCGGCAGCGAACGGAGAUAGGGAUCUGAGGGCUGCUCUGUACGGAGAUAGCGUGAUGGCGGUGGGGAAGGAAUGUCCUCUGGCGGGGUUCUCGCUCGAGGGCUCUCUGGACGCCUCGCUCGCUCGCCCUGGAAUUUUUUUCGCUGGUUUAAUUUCGUAGAUUUUUUUCCAUCCGUUUUCCUGGCGUAGUUCGUGCGAGGGAACUAUCUGGACGCAUCAGGAGGGCGCCGCGAACGUGGUUUUAAAGGGUCCAGGGGGGAAUCGAUGAGAUGUGGGAGGUGGGAUCAAGGACGAAAAAACCGUCUCUGGUGGGACGAAAAUUGACCAACGGAGACUACCAACUGAGACAUUAGGAGUAGAGAUUACAACUGGGAAGCCUCCUCCACCGGCGGUUGAGGUGGCCUCAGAUCGCCCCCCGGACGAACUCCAGUGUUCACCGUCGGGCUCCCAGCCGCUGCCUCGUCGACUUUCAUGUCCUUCCCUUUGAUCCCAUUCACUAGGGAGCCAGCGCCAUCCUCCAUCACAACAAACGAGUCCACACCGAGAUCCCAACUGGAUCGUGGUUGCGCCUCUUACCCCAUCAACGACCAACAUACAGGAUGGGGGAGGGUCUAUGUGUGAUGCGGGCGCCGUCACCAUGGGCGGGGGAAGGAGGAGGCGGCAAAUACGCGGCCAUUGGUACAAAGAUAGGGAAGACACGCAGAAGGGCCAGAGGGGAAACGGAACACUCUGGAUCGUGAGCGUGGUGGCAAGGGGAUCGGCGGCGAAGGGAUCGGCGGCGGUGGCGAACAAAGAUAGGGAUCUGAGGGCUGCUCUGUACGGAGAUAGCAUGAUGGCGGUGGGGAAGGAAUGUCCUCUGGCGGGGUUCUCGCUUGAGGGCUCUCUGGACGCCUCGCUCGCUCGCCCUGGAACUUUUUUCGCCGGUUUAAUUUCGUAGAUUUUUUCCAUCCGUUUUUCUGGCGUAGUUCAUGCGAUGGAACUAUCUGGAUGCAUCAGGAGGGCGCCACGAACAUGGUUUUCGAGGGUCCAGGGGGAAUUGAUGAGAUGUGGGAGGUGGGAUCGAGGACAAACAAAAACUGUCGGGGAUAUAAUUACUUGUGUAACCUGCCUAGGAGGGGCCGGGUCACGCAAUGACGAUUCAUCAUAUGAAGCCCAAUAUCAAGCUUGAAGAUGAUGGUUCAGUAAAAAGGGCUCAAAGCCCACAAGCGGCUUAAGGCUCGUAGUAAUAAACCGCCACCCUUGUAAGACUUGUGUUGUAAGGAAUAUGUAAUCAAUCUCCGGGCCGGUCACGUUGAUGAGCCGGCCGGGACUCUGUAGGCCGUAGGGUGUCAACCCAUGUAUAUAAGGGGACGACCCGGCGGCGGCUUAGGGCAAGUAAGAUCGAUCGAGAGCCAGGCCUAGGGUAUCUUGCUCCCUGGUCAUCGAAACCCCAAUAAUUUUAUCACAACUAGACGUAGGCUUUUACCUUCAUUGUAAGGGGCCGAACUAGUAUAGAACCUCUCUCGUGUCCCUUGUGCCGUUAACCCCUUUGAGCUUCCUGGUUGCGAUGGCUCCAUGCUUAAGUCCUUGCAAGAGGGCAUCUGACAUGACAGUUCCACGACAGUUGGCGCCCACCAUGGGGCCAGCGCACGGUGGAUUUGAGUUCUUGAAGGGCAACUUCGAAGGGCUCAAGGGAUACAUUGCUGGCCGGAUGACCAAGAGUCGUCGCGGCAAGAUCUACAUCGACGACGAAGGCUGGGGCCUCGACGCCGGCUCAAUUGAGUAUGGGUACCGGGUCCCCUUCGGCGGAAUCCACGUCUUCAUCGGCCGGAUUGGUGAGCCGGGCCCUGAGCCGGACAACUGCACCAACAUCGUCGACACGGCUCAGCGCGCAGGACCCGCCCGGGCUCGACCCACCAUGAAGCGUGCCUACGUGGGUUGCAUCCACGGAGGGGAAUUUUCUGAAGGGUCUGUAGAUGGCGGUGAGGCGGCCGUCCACUCUGACGGUGAUUCGUCCACUGGUGAAACAGAUUCAUUGUAUCAACUGCAAGACGGCAGGCUCGGGGGUUGUUCCGAUGGCAGCAGUAUUCCGGACCCCUUUGAACCGCCAAACAGAGUCGGAAUCUUUAUGGCUGGCACACAACCCGGGCAGAACUCCACGGCUGCGGGUACAAUGGUUGACGGGUCAGCGACAGCCGGGGCAGGAGGCCCUGUGCGCUCGCCAGCUCAGGUGUUGAUUGAUCUCAUGGACAAAUUGACGGCCCUGUUAACUACCACGGUUAUUCCGGCAAGUCAAGAUGAGCACGAUGCAAAGGUGGCACAGGUACGCGAGGAGAUAGCCAGGGCCAAGGAGGUCCUAGCAGCUGAGGACACCAGAUUAGCUGCAGAGCGGGCGGCUUUGGAUGCCUGGGCACAGCAACUCCAAUCGGAGGCCUUUCCGUUAACAAUGCACAUGAAUGCGUCUAAUGAGGUGACGAGGAGAAGGCAUCGGUCCCGUCUGCCACCGAAUUAUGACGCUCGAAACCUCUUCAAUACGCCUGGUGCCGGCCCUAGUAACCCGCCUGCUGCGACUCCGGGUCAGUCUCGGGUGAUGGAACCCCCUCGCAUGAACACUGCUCCCCCUCAGUAUGUACCAACACCGCCGGGUCAUUUUUCUAACCCGCUGGAAAACCUAAUAGCCGCGUCUGCAUGAUUGGCGGCUCUCCCAGCCGAGGGCGACUCUCCAGCAGAGAUUGAGACACGACGGGUCAGAGAGCUCCUCCAGACGGCUCUGGCUCAGCAGGAAGCUUAUUCUUACAGUCGAGACAGGAUCCAUGCAACUCCUCGUCCAAACCGGAGUCCGAGUUACAUCAGACACAUGGACUCGACAGCUAUGUCAAGUAAUGCCCAGCGCCGUGACCAGCCAGGUGGGUAUCACCCGGUGCAAGACAGGAUGCAUCAAGAGGCGGAGCGAGCAGCUCGGCAGGCAGCGGAGCAGGCGGCUCACCAGGCUUUUCUGGCUUACCCAGCGGCUUCCAUGGAGGCUGGCGUAGCUACAAGAAUCGGAGGAGUCCCUUGCUUGGUGCCGGCUCUGCGUAAUGAGCGCUUGCCUAAAGAUUUCAAAGGGCCUCGAAAGGUGCCAAAUUACAUGGCCGAUUUACAGCCAGGGGCAUGGAUUGAAAGCUAUGAGAUGGCCAUGGAACUGUUGGAGGUUAGCGACGCAACGAUGGCCAAGUAUUUUACCAUGAUGUUGGAUGGAACCGCUCGUACUUGGCUUAAGGGGAUCCCACCUAAUUCUAUCGGGUCGUGGGUAGAGUUAAAGGCUCGUUUCAUUCAGAACUUUAAAGACACCUGCAAGCAGCCCAUGUCAAUUGUGGAUUUGACCAACUGUAAGCAGGAGGAAGGUGAGUCUACAACCCAUUGGGUGCGCCGGGUCAAGGAGAUAAUACAUUCAUCCGAUAAGAUGGAUGCCGGGUCUGCAGUCCUGAUGUUGGAAAGGAAUUGCCGUUUUGAACCCUUGAAACAGAAGUUAGGCCGGCUCAAGCGUGAUUGCAGCGACAUGGGGCAGCUGAUGGCGGCUCUAGUCAAGUAUGCUGACUCUGAUAGUACCAAAGACCCCGCGUCUGAUGAGGAGAAGAUAGGGAAGGGAAAAAGGAACGGCAAUCGAAAGGGUCAUCAGCAUAACCCGGCGGGUCAAAGCGGCAAUAAACGUAAGGCUGAUGGUAACCCGGAGUUUGUGGCGAACACCAAUGCCUGCAACAAUCAACGACGCAAGGGGAGGCCACCCCCUCGGUCUGGCGGGUUAGGUCCUAGUCUUGAGCAAUUACUCAAUGAGCCCUGUCCGAAACAUGACACUCGGGAGAAGCCGGCCACUCACCUAUGGAAGGACUGCGCGAUCAUGAAGGCUUUCAAAAAUUAUAACCCGUUCGAUGGUGGCCAUGGGUCGGGCGGAAGUUCAGGUGGUGGUGGUUUUCAUGGUCCGGGUGGCGGCUCAAAUUCCGGCUUUCAGGGAAAUCAAGGCGGUUAUCAUCGGUCAUCCGGACAAGGAGGACAUCAGCAGCAGCAGACGGGUUAUCAAAGUAACCCGAAGCAGCUGAAUAGUGGCCAAUAUCAUGUAUUCACCACUAGCUUGUGUAAGCGAGAUCAGAAGCUUCAUAAGAGGGCCGUGAAUGAUGUUGAUCUGGCAGUACCUCGUUAUCUAAGGUGGACGGAACAACCAAUUGUGUGGAGCAGGAAGGAUCAUCCCCCCCGAGUUGACAAUCCGGGUCAACUAGCCUUGGUGGUGGCACCGCAGGUCGGUGGUUAUAAGUUCACUAAGGUGCUCAUGGAUGGGGGCAGCAGCAUCAACAUCCUCUAUUUUGAGACCUUUCGUCGCAUGGGGCUGACGGACAAAGAGCUUAAUGUUGGGGAACGUAGUAAUUUCAAAAAAAUUCCUACGCACACGCAAGAUCAUGGUGAUGCAUAGCAACGAGAGGGGAGAGUGUUGUCUACGUACCCUCGUAGACCGAAGCGGAAGUGUUGACGCAACGUAGAGGAAGUAGUCGUACGUCCUCCCGGUUCAACCGAUCCAAGCACCGUUACUCCGGCACCUCCGAGUUCUUGACACACGUACAGCUCGAUGACGCACCCCAAACUCCGAUCCAGCAGAGGUACGGGGAGAAGUUCCGUCAUCACGACGGCGUGGUGACGAUCUUGAUGUUCAACUGUCGCAGGGCUUCGCCUAAGCACCGCUACAAUAUGACCGAGGUGUAAUAUCGUGGAGGGGGGCACCGCACACGGCUAAGGAACGAUCACGAAAAUCAACUUGUGUGUCCAUGGGGUGCCCCCUGCCCCCGUAUAUAAAGGAGUGGAGGAGGGGAGGGCCGGCCUUCUCUAUGGCACGCCCUAGGGGAGUCCUACUCCCACCGGGAGUAGGAUUCCCCCUUUCCUAGUCCAACUAGGAGACCUUCCAAGUAGUAGGAGUAGGAGACAAGGAAGGGGAAGAGAGAAGGGAAGGAAGGAGGGGGUGCGGCCCCUCCCCCCAGUCCAAUUCGGACUAGGGCAAGGGGGGCGCGCGGCCUGCCCUAGGCAGCCCCUCUCUCUUUCCCGUAUGGCCCAUAAGGCCCAAUACUUCUCCCCGGCGAAUUCCCGUAACUCUCCGGUACUCCGAUAAAUACCCGAAUCACUCGGAACCUUUCCGAACUCCGAAUAUAGUCGUCCAAUAUAUCGAUCUUUACAUCUCGACCAUUUCGAGACUCCUCGUCAUGUCCCCGAUCUCAUCUGGGACUCAGAACUCCUUCGGUACAUCAAAACUCACAAACUCAUAAUAUAACUGUCAUCGAAACCUUAAGCAUGCGGACCCUACGGUUCGAGAACAAUGUAGACAUGACCGAGACACGUCUCCGGUCCAUAACCAAUAGCGGGACCUGGAUGCCCAUAUUGGUUCCUACAUAUUCUACGAAGAUCUUUAUCGGUCAGACCGCAUAACAACAUACGUUGUUCCCUUUGUCAUCGGUAUGUUACUUGCCCGAGAUUCGAUCGUCGGUAUCCAAUACCUAGUUCAAUCUCGUUACCGGCAAGUCUCUUUACUCGUUCCAUAAUACAUCAUCUCGCAACUAACUCAUUAGUUGCAAUGCUUGCAAGGCUUAAGUGAUGUGCAUUACCGAGAGGGCCCAGAGAUACCUCUCCGACAUUCGGAGUGACAAAUCCUAAUCUCGAAAUACGCCAACCCAACAAGUACCUUUGAAGACACCUGUAUAGCACCUUUAUAAUCACCCAGUUACGUUGUGAUGUUUGGUAGCACACAAAGUGUUCCUCCGGUAAACGGGAGUUGCAUAAUCUCAUAGUCAUAGGAACAUGUAUAAGUCAUGAAGAAAGCAAUAGCAACAUACUAAACGAUCGGGUGCUAAGCUAACAGAAUGGGUCAUGUCAAUCAGAUCAUUCAACUAAUGAUGUGAUCCCGUUAAUCAAAUAAUAACUCUUUGUCCAUGGUUAGGAAACAUAAUCAUCUUUGAUUAACAAGCUAGUCAAGUAGAGGCAUACUAGUGACACUCUGUUUGUCUAUAUAUUCACACAUGUAUUAUGUUUCCGGUUAAUACAAUUCUAGCAUGAAUAAUAAACAUUUAUCAUGAUAUAAGGAAAUAAAUAAUAACUUUAUUAUUGCCUCUAGGGCAUAUUUCCUUCAGUCUCCCACUUGGACUAGAGUCAAUAAUCUAGAUCACAUCACCAUGUGAUUCAUAUCGAUAGUUCACAUCAUCAUGUGAUUAACACCCAUAGUUCACAUCGCCAUGUGACCAACAUCCAAAGGGUUUACUAGAUUCAGUAAUCUAGUUCACAUUGCUAUGUGAUUAACACCCAAAGAGUAGUUAGGUGUGAUCAUGUUUUGCUUGUGAGAGAAUCUUAGUCAACGGGUCUUUCACAUUCAGAUCCGUUAUGUAUUUUGCAAUUUUUUAUGUCUACAAUGCUCUGCACGGAGCUACUCUAGCUAAUUGCUCCCACUUUCAAUAUGUAUCUAGAUCGAGACUUAGAGUCAUCCAGAUCGGUGUCAAAACUUGCAUCGACCUAACCCUUUACGACGAACCUUUUGUCACUUCCAUAAUUAAGAAACAUAUCCUUAUUCCACUAAGGAUAAUUUUGACCGCUGUCCAGUGAUCUACUCCUAGAUCACUAUUGUACUCCCUUGCCAAACUCAGUGUAGGGUAUACCAUAGAUCUGGUACAUAGCAUGGCAUACUUUAUAGAACCUAUGGCCAAGGCAUAGAGAAUGACUUUCAUUCUCUUUCUAUCUUCUGCCGUGGUCGGGUUUUGAGUCUUACUCAAUUUCACACCUUGUAACACAGGCAAGAACUCUUUCUUUGACUGUUCCAUUUUGAACUACUUCAAAAUCUUGUCAAGGUAUGUACUCAUUGAAAAAACUUAUCAAGCGUCUUGAUCUAUCUCUAUAGAUCUUGAUGCUCAAUAUGUAAGCAGCUUCACCGAGGUCUUUCUUUGAAAAACUCCUUUCAAACACUCCUUUAUGCUUUGCAGAAUAAUUCUACAUUAUUUCCGAUCUACAAUAUGUCAUUCACAUAUACUUAUCAGAAAUGCUGUAGUGCUCCCACUCACUUUCUAGUAAAUACAGGCUUCACUGCAAGUCUGUAUAAACUAUAUGCUUUGAUCAACUUAUCAAAGCGUAUAUUCCAACUCCGAGAUGCUUGCACCAGUCCAUAGAUGGAUCGCUGGAGCUUGCACAUUUUGUUAGCACCUUUAGGAUUGGUAAAACCUUCUGGUUGCAUCAUAUACAACUCUUCUUUAAUAAACCCAUUAAGAAAUCAGUUUUGACAUCCUUUUGCCAGAUUUCAAAAAAUGUGGCAAUUGCUAACAUGAUUCGGACAGACUUUUAAGCAUCGAUACGAGUGAGAAAAUCUCAUUGUAUUCAACAUCUUGAACUUUGUCAAAAACCUUUUUCGACAAGUCUAGCUUUGUAGAUAGUAACACUACUAUCAGCGUCCGUCUUCCUCUUGAAGAUCCAUUUAUUUUCUAUGGCUUGCCGAUCAUCGGGCAACUCCACCAAAGUCCACACUUUGUUCUCAUACAUGGAUCUCAUCUCAGAUUUCAUGGCCUCAAGCCAUUUCGUGGAAUCUGGGCUCAUCAUCGCUUCCUCAUAGUUCGUAGGUUCAUCAUGGUCUAGUUACAUGACUUCCAGAACAGGAUUACCGUACCACUCUGGUGCGGAUCUCACUCUGGUUUACCUACGAGAUUCGGUAGUAACUUGAUCUGAAGUUACAUGAUCAUCAUCAUUAGCUUCCUCACUAAUUGGUGUAGUAGUCACAGGAACAGAUUUCUGUGAUGAACUACUUUCCAAUAAGGGAGAAGGUACAAUUACCUCAUCAAGUUCUACUUUCCUCCCACUCACUUCUUUCGAGAGAAACUCCUUCUCUAGAAAGGAUCCAUUUAUUAGCAACGAAUGUUUUGCCUUCGGAUCUAUGAUAGAAGGUGUACCCAACAAUUUCCUUUGGGUAUUCUAUGAAGACGCACUUCUCCGAUUUGGGUUUGAGCUUAUCAGGAUGAAACUUUUUCACAUAAGCAUCGCAGCCCCAAACUUUAAGAAACGACAACUUUGGUUUCUUGCUAAACCACAGUUCAUAUAGUGUCGUCUCAACGGAUUUAGAUGGUGCCCUAUUUAACGUGAAUGCAGAUGUCUCUAAUGCAUGAUCCCAAAACGAUAUUGGUAAAUCGGUAAGAAACAUCAUAGAUUGUACUAUAUCCAAUAAAGUACGGUUAUGACGUUCGGACACACCAUUAUGAUGUGGUGUUCCAGGUGGCACGAAUUUGUGAAACUAUUUCACAUUGUCUUAAUUGAAGACCAAACUCGUAACUCAAAUAUUUGUCUCUGCGAUCAGAUCGUAGAAACCUUAUUUUCUUGUCACGAUGAUUUUCCACUUCACUCUGAAAUUCUUUGAACUUUUCAAAUGUUUCAGACUUAUGUUUCAUCAAGUAGAUAUACCCAUAUCUGCUCAAAUCAUCUGUGAAGGUCAGAAAAUAACGAUACCCGCCGCGAGCCUUAACACUCAUUGGAUCGCAUACAUCAGUAUGUAUUAUUUCCAAUAAGUCAGUUGCUCGCUCCACUGUUCCGGAGAACGGAGUCUUAGUCAUCUUGCCCAUGAGGCAUGGUUCGCAAGCAUCAAGUGAUUCAUAAUCAAGUGAUUCCAAAAUCCCAUCAGCAUGGAGUUUCUUCAUGCGCUUUACACCAUUAUGACCUAAACGGCAGUGCCACAAAUAAGUUGCACUAUCAUUAUUAACUUUGCAUCUUUUGGUUUCAAUAUUAUGAAUAUGUGUAUCACUACGAUCGAGAUCCAAUGAACCAUUUUCAUUGGGUGUGUAACCAUAUAAGGUUUUAUUCAUGUAAACAGAACAACAAUUUAUUCUCUUACUUAAAUGAAUAACCGUAUUGCAAUAAACACGAUCAAAUCAUAUUCAUGCUCAACGCAAACACCAAAUAACAUUUAUUUAGGUUCAACACUAAUCCCGAAAGUAUAGGGAGUGUGCGAUGAUGAUCAUAUCAAUCUUGAAACUACUUUCAACACACAUCGUCACUUCACCCUUAACUAGUUUCUGUUUAUUCUGCAACUCCCGUUUCGAGUUACUACUCUUAGCAACUGAACCAGUACCAAAUACCGAGGGGUUGCUAUAAACACUAGUAAAGUACACAUCAAUAACAUGUAUAUCAAAUAUACCUUUGUUUACUUUGCCAUCCUUCUUAUCUGCCAAAUACUUGGGGUAGUUCUGCUUCCAGUAACCAUUCCCUUUGCAGUAGAAGCACUUAGUCUCAGGCUUAGGUCCAGACUUGGGCUUCUUCACUUGAGCAGCAACUUGCUUGCCGUUCUUCUUGAAGUUCCCUUCUAUCCCUUUGCCCUUUUCUUGAAACUAGUGGUCUUGUUAACCAUCAACACUUGAUGUUCUUUCUUGAUUUCUACCUUCAUCGAUUGCAUCAUCAUGAAAAACUCGGGAAUCAUUUUCAUCAUCCCUUGCAUACUAUAGUUCAUCACGAAGUUCUACUAACUUGGUGAUGGUGACUAGAGAAUUCUGUCAAUCACUAUCUUAUCUGGAAGAUUAACUCCCACUUGAUUCAAGCGAUUGUAGUACCCAGACAAUCUGAGCACAUGCUCACUAGUUGAGCGAUUCUCCUCCAUCUUUUAGCUAUAGAACUUGUUGGAGACUUCAUAUCUCUCAACUCGAGUAUUUGCUUGAAAUAUUAACUUCAACUCCUGGAACAUCUCAUAUGGUCCAUGAUGUUCAAAACAUCUUUGAAGUCCCGAUUCUAAGCCAUAAAGCAUGGUGCACAAAACUAUCAAGUAGUCAUCAUAUUGAGCUAGCCAAACGUUCAUAACGUCUGCAUCUGCUCCUGCAAUAGGUUUGUCACCUAGCGGUGCAUCAAGGACAUAAUUCUUCUGCGCAACAAUGAGGAUAAACCUCAGAUCAUGGAUCCAAUCCGCAUCAUUGCUACUAACAUUUUUCAACACAGUUUUCUCUAGGAACAUAUCAAAAUAAACAUAUGAAAGCAACAACGCAAGCUAUUGAUCUUACAACAUAAUUUGCAAAAUACUACCAGGACUAAGUUCAUGAUAAAUUUAAGUUCAAUUAAUCAUAUUACUUAAGAACUCCCACUUAGACAGACAUCUCUCUAGUCAUCUAAGUGAUCACGUGAUCCAAAUCAACUAAACCAUAACCGAUCAUCACGUGAGAUGGAGUAGUUUUCAAUGGUGAACAUCACUAUGUUGAUCAUAUCUACUAUAUGAUUCACGCUCGACCUUUCGGUCUCCGUGCUCCGAGGCCAUAUCUGCAUAUGCUAGGCUUGUCAAGUUUAACCUGAGUAUUCCGCGUGUGCAAAACUGGCUUGCACCCGUUGUAGAUGGACGUAGAGCUUAUCACACCCGAUCAUCACGUGGUGUCUGGGCACGACGAACUUUGGCAACUGUGCAUACUCAGGGAGAACACUUCUUGAUAAUUUUAGUGAGAGAUCAUCUUAAAAUGCUGCCGUCAAUCAAAGCAAGAAUAAGAUGUAUAAUAGAUAAACAUCAUAUGCAAUCAAAAUAUGUGACAUGAUAUGGCCAUGAUCAUCUUGCGCCUUUGAUCUCCAUCUCCAAAGUACUGUCAUGAUCUCUAUCGUCACCGGCACGACACCAUGAUCUUCAUCAUCUUGAUCUAUAUCAAUGUGUCAUCACAUGGUUGUCUCACCAACUAUUGCUCUUGCAACUAUUGCUAUCGUAUAGCGAUAAAGUAAAGCAAUUAUUUGGCAUUUGCAUCUUAUGCAACAAAGAGACAUCCAUAGGGCUUCUGCCAGUUGCCGAUAACUUCAACAAAACAUGAUCAUCUCAUACAACAACUUAUACCUUAUCACGUCUUGACCAUAUCACAUCACAACAUGCCCUGCAAAACAAGUUAGACGUCCUCUAGUUUGUUGUUGCAAAUUUUACGUGGCUGCUACGGGCUGAGCAAGAACCGUUCUUACCUACGCAUCAAAACCACAACGAUAGUUUGUCAAGUUGGUGUUGUUUUAACCUUCGCAAGGACCGGGCGUAGCCACACUCAGUUCAACUAAAGUUGGAGAAACUGACACCCGCUAGCCACCUGUGUGCAAAGCACGGCGGUAGAACCAGUCUCGCGUAAGCGUACACGUAAUGUCGGUCCGGGCCGCUUCAUCCAACAAUACCACCGAACCAAAGUAUGACAUGCUGGUAAGCAGUAUGACUUAUAUCGCCCACAACUCACUUGUGUUCUACUCGUGCAUAUAACAUCAAACCAUAAAACCUAGGCUCGGAUGCCACUGUUGGGGAACGUAGUAAUUUCAAAAAAUUUCCUACGCACACGCAAGAUCAUGGUGAUGCAUAGCAACGAGAGGGGAGAGUGUUGUCUACGUACCCUCGUAGACCGAAGCGGAAGCGUUGACGCAACGUAGAGAAAGUAGUCGUACGUCCUCCCGGUUCAAUCGAUCCAAGCACCGUUACUCCGGCACCUCCGAGUUCUUAACACACGUACAGCUCGAUGACGCACCCCAAACUCCGAUCCAGCAGAGGUACGGGGAGAAGUUCCGUCAGCACGACGGCGUGGUGACGAUCUUGAUGUUCAACUGUCGCAGGGCUUCGCCUAAGCACCGCUACAAUAUGACCGAGGUGUAAUAUCGUGGAGGGGGGCACCGCACACGGCUAAGGAACGAUCACGAAAAUCAACUUGUGUGUCCAUGGGGUGCCCCCUGCACCCGUAUAUAAAGGAGUGGAGGAGGGGAGGGCCGGCCCUCUCUAUGGCGCGCCCUAGGGGAGUCCUACUCCCACCGGGAGUAGGAUUCCCCCUUUCCUAGUCCAACUAGGAGACCUUCCAAGUAGUAGGAGUAGGAGACAAGUAAGAGGAAGAGAGAAGGGAAGGAAGGAGGGGUUGCGGCCCCUCCCCCCAGUCCAAUUCGGACUAGGGCAAGGGGGGGGGGGGCGGCCUGCCCUAGGCAGCUCCUCUCUCUUUCCCGUAUGGCCCAUAAGGCCCAAUACUUCUCCCCGGCGAAUUCCCGUAACUCUCCGGUACUCCGAUAAAUACCCGAAUCACUCGGAACCUUUCCGAACUCCGAAUAUAGUCAUCCAAUAUAUCGAUCUUUACGUCUCGACCAUUUCGAGACUCCUCGUCAUGUCCCCGAUCUCAUCCGGGACUCCGAACUCCUUCGGUACAUCAAAACUCAUAAACUCAUAAUAUAACUGUCAUCGAAACCUUAAGCGUGCGGACCCUACGGUUCGAGAGCAAUGUAGACAUGACCGAGACACGUCUCCGGUCAAUAACCAAUAGCGGGACCUGGAUGGCCAUAUUGGUUCGUACAUAUUCUACGAAGAUCUUUAUCGGUCAGACCGCAUAACAACAUACGUUGUUCCCUUUGUCAUCGGUAUGUUACUUGCCCGAGAUUCGAUCGUCGGUAUCCAAUACCUAGUUCAAUCUCGUUACCGGCAAGUCUCUUUACUCGUUCCGUAAUACAUCAUCUCGCAACUAACUCAUUAGUUGCAAUGCUUGCAAGGCUUAAGUGAUGUGCAUUACCGAGAGGGCCCAGAGAUACCUCUCCGACAUUCGGAGUGACAAAUCCUAAUCUCGAAAUACGCCAACCCAACAAGUACCUUUGAAGACACCUGUAGAGCACCUUUAUAAUCACCCGGUUAUGUUGUGACGUUUGGUAGCACACAAAGUGUUCCUCCGGUAAAUGGGAGUUGCAUAAUCUUAUAGUCAUAGGAACAUGUAUAAGUCAUGAGAAAGCAAUAGCAAUAUACUAAACGAUCGGGUGCUAAGCUAACGGAAUGGGUCAUGUCAAUCAGAUCAUUCAACUAAUGAUGUGAUCCCGUUAAUCAAAUAACAACUCUUUGUCCAUGGUUAGGAAACAUAACCAUCUUUGAUUAACAAGCUAGUCAAGUAGAGGCAUACUGGUGACACUCUGUUUGUCUAUAUAUUCACCCAUGUAUUAUGUUUCCGGUUAAUACAAUUCUAGCAUGAAUAAUAAACAUUUGUCAUGAUAUAAGGAAAUAAAUAAUAACUUUAUUAUUGCCUCUAGGGCAUAUUUCCUUCACUUAAAACAUCCAAUACUGUUUUCCAUGGAGUGGUGCCUGGUAAGUCAGCAUACCCAGUUGGUAAAAUUGAGCUGGAGGUAGCCUUUGGAGAUGAAUAUGAUUCUAGGGCUAAGAAGUUAACCUUUGAGGUGGUCAAGAUCAAGAGCCCAUAUCAUGCUCUGUUUGGGCGGCCGGCUUAUGCUAAGUUCAUGGCACGGCCGUGUUAUGUAUAUUUGAAGCUCAAGAUGCCAGGUUACAAGGGCACCAUCAUGGUUCACGGAAGUCGAAAGAUAGCCUUAGAGUGUGAGGAAGGUGACACUGCUUAUGCUGAAUCUGUUUGUGCUGCAGAGGAGUUGAAGUUUUAUAAAGACAACGUUGACCCGGCAGAUAUGACAUCCCUGAAGAAGCCAACCACGGAGCAUGACCCGGUUAUGAAGUUUAAGUCGGCGGAUGAUACUAAGCUUGUUGAUUUUACUCCAGGUGAUUCAUCUAAUCAGUUUAGCAUCAGUGCCAAUUUGAAUCCUAAAUAGGAAAGAGCGCUCAUCGAGUUCAUCCGUGAGAACCGGGACAUCUUUGAAUGGAAACCUUCUGACAUGCUGUUGGGUUUCGUAGUAAUUUCAAAAAAUUUCCUACACACACGCAAGAUCAUGUGAUGCAUAGCAACGAGGGAAGAGUAUUGUCUACGUACCCAACGCAGACCGACUGCGGAAGCGAUGACACGACGUAGAGGAAGUAGUCGUACGUCUUCUCGAUCCAACCGAUCAAGCACCGAAACUACGGCACCUCCGAGUUCGAGCACACGUUCAGCUCGAUGACGAUCCCCGGACUCCGAUCCUGCAAAGUGUCGGGGAAGAGUUCCGUCAGCACGACAGCGUGGUGACGAUCUUGAUGAACUACAGCAGCAGGGCUUCGCCUAAACUCCGCUACAGUAUUAUCGAGGAAUAUGGUGGCUGGGGCGCCGCACACGGCUAAGGAAUAGAUCACGUGGAUCAACUUGUUGUCCCUUUGGUGCUAGCCCUGCCCCUCUAUUUAUAUGUUGAGCCCCGGGGUCGAAACUUGGAGCAAAAGCCUCCUCAAAGUCGGUUUUGCCCGAAAGGCAAGAGUCCCACUCGGACUCCAGGACCAAACGCCACAAUCCUUGGCGUCUGGCCCAGACGCCAUGGGCCUCGGCAUCUGGCCCAGGGCCAGACGCCAGGGUCUCCGGCGUUUGGCCCCCUGGCCUCCGCAAAACUCCUUUUGCACCGACCUAAAGCCUCAUGGGCUUGACCCCUUGGCCUAACCAUAUCAUCCAAUAUAUGAAUCUUUACGUCUCGACCAUUUCGAGACUCCUCGUCAUGUCCCCGAUCUCAUCCGGGACUCCGAACUCCUUCGGUACAUCAAAACAUGUAAACUCAUAAUAUAACUGUCAUCGUAACCUUAAGCGUGCGGACCCUACGGGUUCGAGAACAAUGUAGACAUGACCGAGACACGUCUCCGGUCAAUAACCAAUAGCGGGACCUGGAUGCCCAUAUUGGCUCCUACAUAUUCUACGAAGAUCUUUAUCGGUCAGACCGCAUAACAACAUACGUUGUUCCCUUUGUCAUCGGUAUGUUACUUGCCCGAGAUUCGAUCGUCGGUAUCCAAUACCUAGUUCAACCUCGUUACCGGCAAGUCUCUUUACUCGUUCCGUAAUACAUCAUCUCACAACUAACAUAUUAGUUGUAAUGCUUGCAAGGCUUAUGUGAUGUGUAUUACCGAGAGGGCCCAGAGAUACCUCUCCGACAAUCGGAGUGACAAAUCCUAAUCUCGAAAUACGCCAACCCAACAUCGACCAUUGGAGACACCUGUAGUACUCCUUUAUAAUCACCCAGUUACGUUGUGACGUUUGGUAGUACCCAAAGUGUUCCUCCGGUAAACGGGAGUUGCAUAAUCUCAUAGUCAUAGGAACAUGUAUAAGUCAUGAAGAAAGCAAUAUCAACAUACUAAACGAUCGGGUGCUAAGCUAAUGGAAUGGGUCAUGUCAAUCAGAUCAUUCUACUAAUGAUGUGACCUCGUUAAUCAAAUAACAACUCAUUGUUCAUGGUUAGGAAACAUAACCAUCUUUGAUUAACGAGCUAGUCAAGUAGAGGCAUACUAGUGACACUUUGUUUGUCUAUGUAUUCACACAUGUAUUAUGUUUCCGGUAAAUACAAUUCUAGCAUGAAUAAUAAACAUUUAUCAUGAUUAUGAGGAAAUAAAUAAUAACUUUAUUAUUGCCUCUAGGGCAUAUUUCCUUCAGUCUCCCACUUGCACUAGAGUCAAUAAUCUAGAUUACACUGUAAUGAUUCUAACACCCAUGGAGCCUUGGUGCUGAUCAUGUUUUGCUUGUGGAAGAGGCUUAGUCAACGGGUCUGCAACAUUCAGAUCCGUAUGUAUCUUGCAAAUCUCUAUGUCUCCCACCUGGACUAGAUCCCGGAUGGAGUUGAAGCGUCUCUUGAUGUGUUUGGUCCUUUUGUGAAAUCUGGAUUCCUUUGCCAAGGCAAUUGCACCAGUAUUGUCACAAAAGAUUUUCAUUGGACCCGAUGCGCUAGGUAUGACACCUAGAUCGGAUAUGAACUCCUUCAUCCAGACUCCUUCAUUUGCUGCUUCCGAAGCAGCUAUGUAUUCCGCUUCACAUGUAGAUCCCGCUACGACGCUUUGUUUAGAACUGCACCAACUGACAGCUCCACCGUCUAAUGUAAACACGUAUCCGGUUUGCGAUUUAGAAUCGUCCAGAUCAGUGUCAAAGCUUGCAUCAACGUAACCUUUUACGAUGAGCUCUUUGUCACCUCCAUAUACGAGAAACAUAUCCUUAGUCCUUUUCAGGUAUUUCAGGAUGUUCUUGACCGCUGUCCAGUGAUCCACUCCUGGAUUACUUUGGUACCUCCCUGCUAAACUUAUAGCAAGGCAUACAUCAGGUCUGGUACACAGCAUUGCAUACAUGAUAGAUCCUAUGGCUGAUGCAUAGGGAACAUCUUUCAUAUUCUCUCUAUCUUCUGCAGUGGUCGGGCAUUGAGUCUUACUCAAUUUCACACCUUGUAACACAGGCAAGAACCCUUUCUUCGCUUGAUCCAUUUUGAACUUCUUCAAAAUUUUGUCAAGGUAUGUGCUUUGUGAAAGUCCAAUUAAGCGUUUUGAUCUAUCUCUAUAGAUCUUAAUGCCUAAUAUGUAAGCAGCUUCACCGAGGUCUUUCAUUGAAAAACUUUUAUUCAAGUAUCCCUUUAUGCUAUCUAGAAAUUCUAUAUCAUUUCCAAUCAGUAAUAUGUCAUCCACAUAUAAUAUCAAAAAUGCCACAGAGCUCCCACUCACUUUCUUGUAAAUACAGGCUUCUCCGAAAGUCUGUAUAAAACCAAAUGCUUUGAUCACACUAUCAAAACGUUUAUUCCAACUCCGAGAGGCUUGCACCAGUCCAUAAAUGGAUCGCUGGAGCUUGCACACUUUGUUAGCUCCCUUUGGAUCGACAAAACCUUCCGGUUGCAUCAUAUACAACUCUUCUUCCAGAAAUCCAUUCAGGAAUGCAGUUUUGACAUCCAUCUGCCAAAUUUCAUAAUCAUAAAAUGCGGCAAUCGCUAACAUGAUUCGGACGGACUUAAGCAUCGCUACGGGUGAGAAGGUCUCAUCGUAGUCAAUCCCUUGAACUUGCCGAAAACCUUUUGCGAAAAGUCGAGCUUUGUAGACAGUAACAUUACCAUCAGUGUCAGUCUUCUUCUUAAAGAUCCAUUUAUUCUCAAUUGCUUGCCGAUCAUCGGGCAAGUCAACCAAAGUCCAUACUUUGUUCUCAUACAUGGAUCCCAUCUCAGAUUUCAUGGCUUCAAGCCACUUUGUGGAAUCUGGGCUCACCAUCGCUUCUUCAUAGUUCGUAGGUUCAUCAUGAUCUAGUAGCAUGACUUCCAGAACAGGAUUACCAUACCACUCUGGCGCGGAUCUUACUCUGGUUGAUCUACGAAGUUCAGUAGUAUCUUGAUCUGAAGUUUCAUGAUCAUUAUCAUUGGCUUCCUCACUAACUGGUGUAGGUGUCACUGAAACAAUUUUCUGUGAUGAACUACUUUCCAGUAAGGGAGCAGGUACAGUUACCUCGUCAAGUUCCACUUUCCUCCCACUCACUUCUUUCGAGAGAAACUCCUUCUCUAGAAAUGAUCCAUUCUUAGCAACGAAUGUCUUGCCUUCGGAUCUGUGAUAGAAGGUGUACCCAACAGUUUCCUUUGGGUAUCCUAUGAAGACACAUUUCUCCGAUUUGGGUUCGAGCUUAUCAGGUUGAAGCUUUUUCACAUAAGCAUCGCAGCCCCAAACUUUAAGAAACGACAACUUUGGUUUCUUGCCAAACCACAGUUCAUAAGGUGUCGUCUCAACGGAUUUUGAUGGUGCCCUAUUUAACAUGAAUGCGGCCGUCUCUAAAGCAUAGCCCCAAAAUGAUAGCGGUAAAUCUGUAAGAGACAUCAUAGAUCGCACCAUAUCUAGUAAAGUACGAUUACGACGUUCGGACACACCAUUGCGCUGUGGUGUUCCGGGUGGCGUGAGUUGUGAAACUAUUCCAUAGUUUUUCAAAUGUACACCAAACUCGUAACUCAAAUAUUCUCCUCCACGAUCAGAUCGUAGAAACUUUAUUUUCUUGUUACGAUGAUUUUCAACUUCACUCUGAAAUUCUUUGAACUUUUCAAAUGUUUCAGACUUAUGCUUCAUUAAGUAGAUAUAUCCAUAUCUGCUCAAAUCAUCUGUGAAGGUGAGAAAAUAACGAUAUUCGCCUCGAGCCUCAAUAUUCAUCGGACCACAUACAUCGGUAUGUAUGAUUUCCAACAAAUCUGUUGCUCUCUCCAUAGUACCGGAGAACGGUGUUUUAGUCAUCUUGCCCAUGAGGCACGGUUCGCAAGUACCAAGUGAUUCAUAAUCAAGUGGUUCCAAAAGUCCAUCAGUAUGGAGUUUCUUCAUGCGCUUUAUACCGAUAUGACCUAAACGACAGUGCCGCAAAUAAGUUGCACUUUCAUUAUCAACUCUGCAUCUUUUGGUUUCAACAUUAUGAAUAUGUGUAUUACUACUAUCGAGAUUUAAUAAGAAUAGACCACUCUUCAAGGGUGCAUGACCAUAAAAGAUAUUACUCAUAUAAAUAGAACAACCAUUAUUCUCUGAUUUAAAUGAAUAACCGUCUCGCAUUAAACAAGAUCCAGAUAUAAUGUUCAUGCUCAACGCUGGCACCAAAUAACAAUUACUUAGGUCUAAUAUUAAUCCUGAAGGUAGAUGUAGAGGUAGCGUGCCGACUGCGAUCACAUCGACUUUGGAACCGUUUCCCAUGCGCAUCGUCACCUCGUCCUUAGCUAAUCUUCGCAUAAUCCGUAGCCCCUGAUUCGAGUUGCAAAUAUUAGCAACAGAACCAGUAUCAAAUACCCAGGUGCUACUGCGAGCAUUAGUAAGGUACACAUCAAUAACAUGUAUAUCACAUAUACCUUUGUUCAACUUGCCAUCCUUCUUAUCCGCCAAAUACUUGGGGCAGUUCCGCUUCCAGUGACCAGUCUGCUUGCAGUAGAAGCACUCAGUUUCAGGCUUAGGUCCAUACUUGGGUUUCUUCUCUUGAGCAGCAACUGGCUUGCUAUUCUUCUUGAAGUUCCCUUUCUUCUUUCCUUUGCCCUUUUUCUUGAAACUAGUGGUUUUGUUAACCAUCAACACUUGAUGCUCCUUUUUGAUUUCUACCUCCGCAGCUUUCAGCAUUGCGAAGAGCUCGGGAAUAGUCUUGUUCAUCCCUUGCAUAUUAUAGUUCAUCACGAAGCUCUUGUAGCUUGGUGGCAGUGAUUGGAGAAUUCUGUCAAUGACGCAAUCAUCCGGAAGAUUAACUCCCAAUUGAAUCAAGUGAUUAUUAUACCCAGACAUUUUGAGUAUAUGCUCACUGACAGAACUGUUCUCCUCCAUCUUGCAGCUAUAGAACUUAUUGGAGACUUCAUAUCUCUCAAUUCGGGCAUUUGCUUGAAAUAUUAACUUCAACUCCUGGAACAUCUCAUAUGCUCCAUGACGUUCAAAACGUCGUUGAAGUCCCGAUUCUAAGCCGUAAAGCAUGGCACACUGAACUAUCGAGUAGUCAUCAGCUUUGCUCUGCCAGACGUUCACAACAUCUGGUGUUGCUCCAGUAGCAGGCCUGGCACCCAGCGGUGCUUCCAGGACGUAAUUCUUCUGUGCAGCAAUGAGGAUAAUCCUCAAGUUACGGACCCAGUCCGUGUAAUUGCUACCAUCAUCUUUCAACUUUGCUUUCUCAAGGAACGCAUUAAAAUUCAACGGAACAACAGCACGAGCCAUCUAUCUACAAUCAACAUAAACAAGCAAGAUACUAUCAGGGACUAAGUUCAUGAUAAAUUUUAAGUUCGAUUAAUCAUAUUACUAAAGAACUCCCACUUAGAUAGACAUCCCUCUAAUCCUCUAAGUGACCACGUGAUCCAAAUCAACUAAACCAUGUCCGAUCAUCACGUGAGAUGGAGUAGUUUCAUCGGUGAACAUAAUUAUGUUGAUCAUAUCUACUAUAUGAUUCACGCUCGACCUUUCGGUCUCCGUGUUCCGAGGCCAUAUCUGCAUAUGCUAGGCUCGUCAAGUUUAACCUGAGUAUUCUGCGUGCGCAACUGUUUUGCACCCGUUGUAUUUGAACGUAGAGCCUAUCACACCCGAUCAUCACGUGGUGUCUCAGCACGAAGAACUUUCGCAACGGUGCAUACUCAGGGAGAACACUUCUUGAUAAUUUAGUGAGAGAUCAUCUUAUAAUGCUACCGUCAAUCAAAGCAAGAUAAGAUGCAUAAAAAGAUAAACAUCACAUGCAAUCAAUAUAAGUGAUAUGAUAUGGCCAUCAUCAUCUUGUGCUUGUGAUCUCCAUCUCCGAAGCACCGUCAUGAUCACCAUCGUCACCGGCGCGACACCUUGAUCUUCAUCGUAGCAUCGUUGUCGUCUCGCCAAUCUUAUGCUUCCACGACUAUCACUACCGUUUAGUAAUAAAGUAAAGCAUUACAUCACGAUUGCAUUGCAUACAAUAAAGCGACAACCAUAUGGCUCCUGCCAGUUGCCGAUAACUUGGUUACAAAACAUGAUCAUCUCAUACAAUAAAAUUCAGCAUCAUGCCUUGACCAUAUCACAUCACAACAUGCCCUGCAAAAACAAGUUAGACGUCCUCUACUUUGUUGUUGCAUGUUUUACGUGGCUGCUACGGGCUUAAGUAAGAACCAAUCUCACCUACGCAUCAAAACCACAACGAUAGUUUGUCAAAUAGACUCCAUUUUAACCUUCGCAAGGACCGGGCGUAGCCAUACUUGGUUCAACUAAAGUUGGAGAGGCAGUCGCCCGCAAGCCAUCUCUGUGCAAAGCACGUCGAGGGAACCGGUCUCGCGUAAGCGUACGCGUAAGGUUGGUCCGGGUCGUCUCGUCCAACAAUACCGCCGAACCAAAGUAUGACAUGCUGGUAGGCAGUAUGACUUGUAUCGUCCACAACUCACUUGUGUUCUACUCGUGCAUAUAACAUCAACAUAAAUAACCUAGGCUCUGAUACCAUUGUUGGGUUUCGUAGUAAUUUCAAAAAAUUUCCUACGCACACGCAAGAUCAUGUGAUGCAUAGCAACGAGGGAAGAGUAUUGUCUACGUACCCAAUGCAGACCGACUGCGGAAGCGAUGACACGACGUAGAGGAAGUAGUCGUACGUCUUCUCGAUCCAACCGAUCAAGCACCGAAACUACGGCACCUCCCAGUUCGAGCACACGUUCAGCUCGAUGACGAUCCCCGGACUCCGAUCCAGCAAAGUGUCGGGGAAGAGUUCCGUCAGCACGACGGCGUGGUGACGAUCUUGAUGAACUACAGCAGCAGGGCUUCGCCUAAACUCCGCUACAGUAUUAUCGAGGAAUAUGGUGGCUGGGGCGCCGCACACGGCUAAGGAAUAGAUCACGUGGAUCAACUUGUUGUCCCUUUGGUGCUAGCCCUGCCCCUCUAUUUAUAUGUUGAGCCCCGGGGUCGAAACUUGGAGCAAAAGCCUCCUCAAAGCCGGUUUUGCCCGAAAGGCAAGAGUCCCACUCGGACUCCAGGACCAAACGCCACAAUCCUUGGCGUCUGGCCCAGACGCCAUGGGCCUCGGCGUCUGGCCCAGGGCCAGACGCCAGGGUCUCCGGCGUUUGGCCCCUUGGCCUCCGCAAAACUCCUUUUGCACCGACCUAAAGCCUCAUGGGCUUGACCCCUUGGCCUAACCAUAUCAUCCAAUAUAUGAAUCUUUACGUCUCGACCAUUUCGAGACUCCUCGUCAUGUCCCCGAUCUCAUCCGGGACUCCGAACUCCUUCGGUACAUCAAAAUAUGUAAACUCAUAAUAUAACUGUCAUCGUAACCUUAAGCGUGCGGACCCUAAGGGUUCGAGAACAAUGUAGACAUGACCGAGACACGUCUCCGGUCAAUAACCAAUAGCGGGACCUGGAUGCCCAUAUUGGCUCCUACAUAUUCUACGAAGAUCUUUAUCGGUCAGACCGCAUAACAACAUACGUUGUUCCCUUUGUCAUCGGUAUGUUACUUGCCCGAGAUUCGAUCGUCGGUAUCCAAUACCUAGUUCAAUCUCGUUACCGGCAAGUCUCUUUACUCGUUCCGUAAUACAUCAUCUCACAACUAACAUAUUAGUUGUAAUGCUUGCAAGGCUUAUGUGAUGUGUAUUACCGAGAGGGCCCAGAGAUACCUCUCCGACAAUCGGAGUGACAAAUCCUAAUCUCGAAAUACGCCAACCCAACAUCGACCAUUGGAGACACCUGUAGUACUCCUUUAUAAUCACCCAGUUACGUUGUGACGUUUGGUAGUACCCAAAGUGUUCCUCCGGUAAACGGGAGUUGCAUAAUCUCAUAGUCAUAGGAACAUGUAUAAGUCAUGAAGAAAGCAAUAGCAACAUACUAAACGAUCGGGUGCUAAGCUAAUGGAAUGGGUCAUGUCAAUCAGAUAAUUCUACUAAUGAUGUGACCUCGUUAAUCAAAUAACAACUCAUUGUUCAUGGUUAGGAAACAUAACCAUCUUUGAUUAACGAGCUAGUCAAGUAGAGGCAUACUAGUGACACUCUGUUUGUCUAUGUAUUCACACAUGUAUUAUGUUUCCGGUAAAUACAAUUCUAGCAUGAAUAAUAAACAUUUAUCAUGAUUAUAAGGAAAUAAAUAAUAACUUUAUUAUUGCCUCUAGGGCAUAUUUCCUUCAGUCUCCCACUUGCACUAGAGUCAAUAAUCUAGAUUACACUGUAAUGAAUCUAACACCCAUGGAGCUUUGGUGCUGAUCAUGUUUUGCUCGUGGAAGAGGCUUAGUCAACGGGUCUGCAACAUUCAGAUCCGUAUGUAUCUUGCAAAUCUCUAUGUCUCCCACUUGGACUAGAUCCCGGAUGGAGUUGAAGCGUCUCUUGAUGUGUUUGGUCCUUUUGUGAAAUCUGGAUUCCUUUGCCAAGGCAAUUGCACCAGUAUUGUCACAAAAGAUUUUCAUUGGACCCGAUGCACUAGGUAUGACACCUAGAUCGGAUAUGAACUCCUUCAUCCAGACUCCUUCAUUUGCUGCUUCCGAAGCAGCUAUGUAUUCCGCUUCACAUGUAGAUCCCGCUACGACGCUUUGUUUAGAACUGCACCAACUGACAGCUCCACCGUUUAAUGUAAACACGUAUCCGGUUUGCGAUUUAGAAUCGUCCGGAUCAGUGUCAAAGCUUGCAUCAACGUAACCUUUUACGAUGAGCUCUUUGUCACCUCCAUAUACGAGAAACAUAUCCUUAGUCCUUUUCAGGUAUUUCAGGAUGUUCUUGACCGCUGUCCAGUGAUCCACUCCUGGAUUACUUUGGUACAUCAGGUCUGGUACACAGCAUUGCAUACAUGAUAGAGCCUAUGGCUGAUGCAUAGGGAACAUCUUUCAUAUUCUCUCUAUCUUCUGCAGUGGUCGGGCAUUGAGUCUUACUCAAUUUCACACCUUGUAAUACAGGCAAGAAUCCUUUCUUUGCUUGAUCCAUUUUGAAUUUCUUCAAAAUCUUGUCAAGGUAUGUGCUUUGUGAAAGUCCAAUUAAGCGUCUUGAUCUAUCUCUAUAGAUCUUAAUGCCUAAUAUGUAAGCAGCUUCACCGAGGUCUUUCAUUGAAAAACUUUUAUUCAAGUAUCCCUUUAUGCUAUCCAGAAAUUCUAUAUCAUUUCCAAUCAGUAAUAUGUCAUCCACAUAUAAUAUCAGAAAUGCUACAGAGCUCCCACUCACUUUCUUGUAAAUACAGGCUUCUCCGAAAGUCUGUAUAAAACCAAAUGCUUUGAUCACACUAUCAAAACGUUUAUUCCAACUCCGAGAGGCUUGCACCAGUCCAUAAAUGGAUCGCUGGAGUUUGCACACUUUGUUAGCUCCCUUUGGAUCGAUAAAACCUUCUGGUUGCAUCAUAUACAACUCUUCUUCCAGAAAUCCAUUCAGGAAUGCAGUUUUGACAUCCAUCUGCCAAAUUUCAUAAUCAUAAAAUGCGGCAAUUGCUAACAUGAUUCAGACGGACUUAAGCAUCGCUACGGGUGAGAAGGUCUCAUCGUAGUCAAUCCCUUGAACUUGUCGAAAACCUUUUGCGACAAGUCGAGCUUUGUAGACAGUAACAUUACCAUCAGCGUCAGUCUUCUUCUUAAAGAUCCAUUUAUUCUCAAUUGCUUGCCGAUCAUCGGGCAAGUCAACCAAAGUCCAUACUUUGUUCUCAUACAUGGAUCCCAUCUCAGAUUUCAUGGCUUCAAGCCACUUUGCGGAAUCUGGGCUCACCAUCGCUUCUUCAUAGUUCGUAGGUUCAUCAUGAUCUAGUAGCAUGACUUCCAGAACAGGAUUUCCGUACCACUCUGGCGCGGAUCUUACUCUGGUUGAUCUACGUGGUUCAGUAGUAUCUUGAUCUGAAGUUUCAUGAUCAUUAUCAUUGGCUUCCUCACUAACCGGUGUAGGUGUCACUGAAACAGUUUUCUGUGAUGAACUACUUUCCAGUAAGGGAGCAGGUACAGUUACCUCGUCAAGUUCUACUUUCCUCCCACUCACUUCUUUCGAGAGAAACUCCUUCUCUAGAAAUGAUCCAUUCUUAGCAACGAAUGUUUUGCCUUCGGAUCUGUGAUAGAAGGUGUACCCAACAGUUUCCUUUGGGUAUCCUAUGAAGACACAUUUCUCCGAUUUGGGUUCGAGCUUAUCAGUUUGAAGUUUUUUCACAUAAGCAUCGCAGCCCCAAACUUUAAGAAACGACAACUUUGGUUUCUUGCCAAACCACAGUUCAUAAGGCGUCGUGGCAGGGGGCAGGGGGCACCGCACACGGCUAAGGAAUUGAUCACGUGGAUCAACUUGUGUCAACUUGUGUGUUUAGAGGUGCCCCUGCCUCAGUAUAUAAAGGAGCCAAGGGGGGAGGGUGCGCCGGCCAGGAGGAGGAGGCGCAGGAGGAGUCCUACUCCUACCGGGAGUAGGACUCCCCUCCAAUCCUAUUCCAAUUAGGAUUCCCAAGGGGGAAAGAGGGAGAGGGGUGGCCGGCCACCUCUCCUAGUCCUAAUAGGACUAGGGGAAGGGGGGAGGCGCGCAGCCCCCUUGGGCUGCCCUUUUCUCCUUUCCACUAAGGCCCAUGAAGGCCCAUGUGGUUCCCGGGGGGUUCCGGUAACCUCCCGGUAACCCGGUAAAAUCCCGAUUUCACCCGGAACACUUCCGAUGUCCAAACAUAGGCUUCCAAUAUAUCAAUCUUUAUGUCUCGACCAUUUCGAGACUCCUCGUCAUGUCCGUGAUCACAUCCGGGACUCCGAACAACCUUCGGUACAUCAAAAUGCAUAAACUCAUAAUAUAACUGUCAUCGUAACCUUAAGCGUGCGGACCCUACGGGUUCGAGAACAAUGUAGACAUGACCGAGACAUGUCUCUGGUCAAUAACCAAUAGCGGGACCUGGAUGCCCAUAUUGGCUCCUACAUAUUCUACGAAGAUCUUUAUCGGUCAGACCGCAUAACAACAUACGUUGUUCCCUUUGUCAUCGGUAUGUUACUUGCCCGAGAUUCGAUCGUCGGUAUCCAAUACCUAGUUCAAUCUCGUCACUGGCAAGUCUCUUUACUCGUUCCGUAAUACAUCAUCUCACAACUAACAUAUUAGUUGUAAUGCUUGCAAGGCUUAUGUGAUGUGUAUUACCGAGAGGGCCCAGAGAUACCUCUCCGACAAUCGGAGUGACAAAUCCUAAUCUCGAAAUACGCCAACCCAACAUCGACCAUUGGAGACACCUGUAGUACUCCUUUAUAAUCACCCAGUUACGUUGUGACGUUUGGUAGUACCCAAAGUGUUCCUCCGGUAAACGGGAGUUGCAUAAUCUCAUAGUCAUAGGAACAUGUAUAAGUCAUGAAGAAAGCAAUAGCAACAUACUAAACGAUCGGGUGCUAAGCUAAUGGAAUGGGUCAUGUCAAUCAGAUCAUUCUACUAAUGAUGUGACCUCGUUAAUCAAAUAACAACUCAUUGUUCAUGGUUAGGAAACAUAACCAUCUUUGAUUAACGAGCUAGUCAAGUAGAGGCAUACUAGUGACACUUUGUUUGUCUAUGUAUUCACACAUGUAUUAUGUUUCCGGUAAAUACAAUUCUAGCAUGAAUAAUAAACAUUUAUCAUGAUUAUGAGGAAAUAAAUAAUAACUUUAUUAUUGCCUCUAGGGCGUAUUUCCUUCACAUGCCGGGUGUACCAAGAGAACUCGCUGAGCACACUCUUAAUAUUGAUCCAAAAUUUAAGCCGGUCAGGCAGUUUCUUCAGCGGUUUAACAAAGAGAGACGGAAAGCUAUUGGUGAGGAGGUGGCCCGGCUCUUGGCGGCCGGGUUUAUUGUUGGUUUUUCACCCAGAGUGGUUGGCUAACCCGGUGCUUGUACUAAAAAAGAACGGCACCUGGCGAAUGUGUGUGGACUACACGGACUUAAAUAAGGCUUGUCCGGCUGAUCCUUUUGCUCUUCCCCGUAUUGAUCAAAUCAUUGAUGCUACGAAGGGUUGUGAGCAUUUGAGUUUUUUGGAUGCUUACUCUGGUUAUCAUCAGAUCAAAAUGGCGGUUAAGGACCAGGAGAAGACGGCUUUCAUCACUCCGUUUGGAGCCUUCUGUUAUGUUUCUAUGCCUUUUGGGCUUAAGAGUGCCCAGGCGACUUAUCAAUGUUGCGUCCAGAACUGUCUCCAUAAACAGAUAGGGCGUAAUGUUCAUGCCUAUGUGGAUGAUAUUGUGGUGAAGUCCAGAGAAAAGGAGACCUUGAUUGAUGAUCUGAAAGAGACCUUUGAUAAUCUCCGGGUCUACAAGAUGAUGCUUAACCCGGCCAAAUGUGUGUUUGGCAUGCCAGCAGGCAAGCUUUUGGGUUUUCUGGUCUCUAACAGAGGCAUUGAAGCUAACCCAGAGAAAAUCAAGGCGAUCACCUCUUUGGCUAAGCCGGCGUGCAUCAAUGACGUUCAGCGACUGGCGGGUCGUGUCGCUGCUCUAAGCCGGUUCAUAAGCCGGUUAGGAGAGAAGGCACUGCCUCUGUAUCAGAUGAUGAAGAAAACAGACAAUUUCGUCUGGAGUGAUGCUGCUAAUGCCGCCUUUGAAGAAUUAAAGAGACAGUUGUCUGAGCUGCCGGUCCUUGCGGCUCCCAUUGAUAAGGAGCCACUAUUGCUAUACGUGGCCGCUAAUUCACGUGCUGUUAGUGUUGCGAUUGUGGUGGAGCGCAAGGAGGCUGGCAAGGAACAUCCGGUUCAACGGCCGGUUUACUACAUCAGCGAGGUGCUUAUUGAGUCUAAGCAAAGAUAUCCACAUUGGCAGAAGCUUGUUUAUGGGGUGUUUAUGGCGAGCUGGAAGCUUAAGCAAUACUUCCAGGGUCACCCCAUUACUGUGGUAAGUUCUGCUCCUUUGGGAGACAUCAUCUAGAAUAGGGAGGCCACAGGACGAGUCGCCAAAUGGGCCAUUGAGCUUGGGCCUCAUGGCUUAAGGUAUGUGCCUCGAACUGCAAUUAAAUCUCAAGCACUGGUGGAUUUCAUCAAUGAUUGGACAGAGCUGCAGACACCUGAAGUAAAGCCGGAUACCACCUGUUGGACUAUUCAUUUUGAUGGGUCCAGGCAAUUGGAAGGCUCGGGGGCUGGAGUUGUUUUAACUUCCCCCCGAGGUGACAAAUUUUGUUAUGUACUCCGGUUGAUGUUUCCCUGUACUAACAAUGCAACUGAGUACGAAGCUUUACUCCAUGGUCUCAGGGUGGCCAAGCAGAUAAGUUUAAGCCGGGUACAGUGCUUGGGCGACUCAGAUUUGGUGGCUCAACAGGUGUCAGGCAAGUGGGAUUCCAAAGACCCUAUUAUGGCGACUUAUCGUCGUGAGGUAGAUGUUGUUGAUGGACAUUUUAAGGGUUAUCAGGUGGAGCACAUUGAUCGAAGGAAGAACGAGGCGGCUGAUGCUUUAAGCCGGCUAGGAUCUCAACGUAAGCCGGUGCCACCUAAUACUUUCUUGGAUAUUUUACAUAACCCUUCUGUUAAGUUACCAUCAGAGCAAGACUUAGUUGUUCCAGACCCGGAAGCACAGCUGGUGGCGGCCCUUCACGUCAUCCCGGAUUGGACAGUGUCAUAUCUGGCUUCAUGACCCGGGGCGAAUUGCCUGAGGAUGAAACAUUGGCCAGGCAGAUAGUUCGGCGGUCUAAGUCAAUGACGAUCGUGCACGGAGAGCUACAUCGUCGCAGUGUCACUGGAGUGUUCCAACGUUGCGUUUCACCAGAGGAGGGUCAAGAAAUCCUUCGUGAGAUUCAUGAAGGGGAUUGUGGUCAUCAUGCCAGCUCAAAAUCUCUUGUGGCUAAAGCUUUCCGUCACGGGUUUUAUUGGCUGACGGCUCAUGCUGACAUGGAGGACCUGGUCAGUAAAUGUGAUGGUUGCCAAAAGUUCUCACGACGAGCUCAUGUGCCAGCUCAGGAAUUGAGGAUGAUUCCAAUUACUUGGCCAUUUGCGGUAUGGGGGCUCGAUAUGGUUGGACCUUUCAAAAGGUCCAAGGAUAAAAAGACGCACCUCCUAGUGGCGGUUGACAAAUUUACAAAGUGGGUUGAGGCAGAGCCGGUCAAUAAGUGUGAUGCAGCCACGGCAGUUCAAUUCAUGAAAAAGGUGAUCUUUCAUUUUGGCUUUCCACACAACAUUAUAACUGACAACGGUACUAACCUGUCCAAAGGCGCCAUGGAAGAGUUCUGUCAACGUGAGCAUAUCCGGCUUGAUGUAUCAUCAGUGGCUCAUCCUCAAUCCAAUGGUCAAGCUGAAAGAGCUAAUCAGGAGAUCUUGAAAGGUAUUAAACCCCGGCUCAUGGUCCCUUUGCAGCGGACGCCGAGUUGUUGGGUGGAGGGUUGUCGUCCAUGUUAUGGAGCAUCAAUACUACACCUAACAGGUGUUGGGGAACGUGGUAAUUUCAAAAAAUUUCCUACGCACACGCAAGAUCAUGGUGAUGCAUAGCAACGAGAGGGGAGAGUGUUGUCUACGUACCCUCGUAGACCGAAGCGGAAGCGUUGACGCAACAUAGAGGAAGUAGUCGUACGUCUUCCCGGUUCACCCGAUCCAAGCACCGUUACUCCGGCACCUCCGAGUUCUUGGCACACGUUCAGUUCGAUGACGCUCCCCGGGCUCCGAUCAAGCAAAGCUUCGGGGAGGAGUUCCGUCAGCACGAUGGCGUGGUGACGAUCUUGAUGUUCUACCAUCGCAGGGCUUCGCCUAAGCACCGCUACAAUAUGAUCGAGGUGUAAUAUCGUGGAGGGGGCACCGCACACGGCUAAGGAACGAUCACGAAGAUCAACUUGUGUGUCCUAGGAUGCCCCCCUGCCCCCAUAUAUAAAGGAGCCAAGGGGAGGGGGCGGCCGGCCAAGGAGGGGCGCGCCAGGGGGGAGUCCUACUCCCACCGGGAGUAGGACUCCCUUCUUUCCUACUUGGAGAAGGAGAAGGGGGGAAAGAAGAGGAAGAGGGAAAGGAAAGGCCCCCCCCCUUCCCUUGUCCUAUUCGGACUAGGAAGGGGAGGGGCGCGCGGCCACCUCCUGCCUCCUUCUCUCUUCUCCCUUAAGGCCCAAGAAGGCCCAAUAACCCCCCGGGGGGUUCCGGUAACCUCCCGGUACUCCGGUAAAAUGCCGAUUUCACCCGGAACGAUUCCGAUGUCCAAAUAUAGGCUUCCAAUAUAUCGAUCUUUAUGUCUCGACCAUUUUGAGACUCCUCGUCAUGUCCAUGAUCACAUCCGGGACUCCGAACAACCUUCGGUACAUCAAAAUACAUAAACUCAUAAUGAAACUGUCAUCAAAACGUUAAGCAUGCGGACCCUACGGUUCGAGAACAAUGUAGACAUGACGAGACACGUCUCCGAUCAAUAACCAAUAGCGAGACCUGGAUGCCCAUAUUGGUUCCUACAUAUUCUACGAAGAUCUUUAUCGGUCAGACCGCAUAACAACAUACGUUGUUCCCUUUGUCAUCGGUAUGUUACUUGCCCGAGAUUCGAUCGUCGGUAUCCAAUACCUAGUUCAAUCUUGUUACCGGCAAGUCUCUUUACUCGUUCCGUAAUACAUCAUCUCGCAACUAACUCAUUAGUUGCAAUGCUUGCAAGUCUUAUGUGAUGUGCAUUAUCGAGAGGGCCCAGAGAUACCUCUCUGACAAUCGGAGUGACAAAUCCUAAUCUCGAAAUAUGCCAACCCAACAUCUACCUUUGGAGACACCUGUAGAGCUCCUUUAUAAUCACCCAGUUACGUUGUGACGUUUGGUAGCACACAAAGUGUUCCUCCGGCAAACGGGAGUUGCAUAAUCUCAUAGUCAUAGGAACAUGUAUAAGUCAUGAAGAAAGCAAUAGCAACAUACUAAACGAUCGGGUGCUAAGCUAAUGAAAUGGGUCAUGUCAAUCAGAUCAUUCAUCUAAUGAUGUGAUCCCGUUAAUAAAAGAACAACUCUUUGUCCAUGGUUAGGAAACAUAACCAUCUUUGAUUAACGAGCUAGUCAAGUAGAGGCAUACUAGUGACACUCUGUUUGUCUAUGUAUUCACACAUGUAUUAUGUUUUCGGUUAAUACAAUUCUAGCAUGAAUAAUAAACAUUUAUCAUGAAAUAAGGAAAUAAAUAAUAACUUUAUUAUUGCCUCUAGGGCAUAUUUCCUUCAGUCUCCCACUUGCACUAGAGUCAAUAAUCUAGUUCACAUCGCCAUGUGAUUUAACAGCAACAGUUCACAUAAUCAUGUGAUUAACACCCAUAGUUCACAUCCAUAUGUGAUCAACACCCAAAGGGUUUACUAGAGUCAGUAAUCUAGUUCACAUUGCUAUGUGAUUAACACCCAAAGAGUACUAAGGUGUGAUCAUGUUUUGCUUGUGAGGUAAUUUUAGUCAAUGGGUCUGUCACAUUCAGAUCCGUAAGUAUUUUGCGAAUUCUAUGUCUACAAUGCUCCGCACAGGGAUACUCUAGCUAAUUGCUCCCACUUUCAAUAUGUAUCUAGAUCGAGACUUAGGGCCCGUUCAGAAGCCGUCCUCGAGCUGGCUUCCGAAAAUCGCUCCGAGAAGGCGCACCGAACGAGUCCACUUCGAGAAUCUGGCUCCGCAGAGACGAGGAUUCGGCAGUGCAAAAAUCACGGAUAUGAGAAGCUGCCCAGGCCCAGCUUCGCAAAUAUCAGAAGCGGGAGUUGCUCAAAAUUACGGUAGCAAUGCCACCCCGAAGUAAACUACUCGAAUCGUUUUCCUCGACGUCUCCUCUGCUCUCGCACCUCAGCUCGUACUCUGCUCGUACAGAAACGAACGGGGCGACCUCCUCUGCUGUCGCAACCCUAGCCGCCGCCCCGUCGCCGGUCGGCCGCCGCACCGUCGCGCCGCCGUCCGCCGCCGCUCGUCGAAUCUACACCCCGCCCCGCAAGUCUCCGUCCAUCGACUCUCAUAGCAGCCGCCCAAAGUCCCCGUGGUGUUGUCUCCCCAUCUGCCGCCACUCCCUCCGUUAGUCGCCGCCGGCAGCCAUACGAAGUAGAGGUCCUGACGGGCCUGGCCGCAAGAUCCACGGUACAGAAGCCAUUCCCCCAGGUCAAGGUGAGCAGCCACCUUCCCCCUCCUCUUGUAGUACUCUAAUUCAGCCUAGUUCAUGCGCUGUGUGUGGACAACCCCAAUUUCCUGUGAUAUGAACCUGAUGUGUGGACUUUUUGCGUAUAUAUGUGUAGUGCAGUCUGUAGUGAUAUGAAUUGAUUUUAGAUAAAAUCAAUAAUUUCCUUAUGUUGGUAGUACAUGUUCAUGCUAGUACAGUUUAUUUUUCAUAUAUUCGGGGACAUGAUUAUAUACUGAUGGAUGAUGAUUGUUUGCUACAUAUUCGUGCUGCUACUGAUUGUUUGUGAGAUGGUAGUGAUUGUUUCCCAGAAAUUUGGACACAUGAUUUAUACUAAUGGACGCUGAUUGUUGCUACAUGUUCAUGAUGCUACUGAUUUUGGUAUCUAUUUGUGAGAUGGCACCGAUUGUUUGGCAUAUAUUUUCGAGGAAAUGUGUAUCCGUAAAGUAACAUCAUUUUUGUAUAGAAAUGUCAUCAACUGGGUCUGCCGAAUGGACCGAUGAGAAUACUCGGAUUAUCGUGGAGUUGUUUGUGAAACAAGUGAAGGCUGGAAACAUGCCAAGCACUCAUUUGACACCCAGUGCAUAUGAUGAGGUGGGAAAGGAGUUUUUGAUGAGAACUGGGCUUGAGUACACACCAAAGCAAGUGAGGAACAAAUGGACCAAGUUAAAACGUGAGUACAACACAUUCAAGAAGCUCAAGUUGCGCGAGACUGGAGGGGGUUGGGACUUUGAUAAAAACACUGUUAAACAAGAUAAUGAGUGGUGGAAAAAGGCGAAAGUUGUACGUUCUCAUGCUUAUGUUUCUCAGAAAAUAAAAUCUGAACUUGUCAUGCUUUAUGUACUAAUGUCUCUCUUUCAUACAAUAGGACCUUCCAGGUUGUGGCAAGUUCAAGAAGCAUGGACUCCGUAACGAAGAAGGCUUGCACAUCUUGUUUGAGGAUAUCAGUGUUGAUGGCACUGACCAUUGGAACCCCGCAUCUGGUCUGCCUCCCCCCUCUAGUUCGGCAUUGAAAACAGCCUUGAAUGUUGACGAAAUCACCGAUCUUGAUUUGGAGGAUGAUAGUGAAGAGCAACCUUCUCCGACAGUAUCUAGUUCAUCUAAAGUGAGGCUUGGGGUCACGAUUCCAGAGAAGAACAAGAAACCGAAGACUGCACAAGUGAUGCAAGAGGAGAUUAGAAAGAUUAGUUCUAUUGCCCAAGCUUCACACACAUCGUUUCAGUCUUUUCUACAGAAAGGUGAGACCAUUUUUGUAGCCUCUACCAUGGAUUUAGUUCGUGCUUGUGGUGCAACAGACGACACUGAUGAGCAUUUCAUUGCUACUGAGCUCUUUCUGAAGAGAGAGCAAAGAGAGAUGUUCUUGCACAUGACAUCCGACUCUCGAAAGGGUUGGUUGCGUAGGAUGUUUGACCUCAAGUAUGGGAACUAGUUUGUUCUAUCUUAUCUUAGCUAUGGGAACGAUAUUUAUGCCUAUGUUGGCGAACCUAUUAUUAUCUUGUGCUAUCGGUACAAUAUUUAUGCCUAUGUUGGCAAAACUCUACAUGUUCAGUACAUUGUUUGCAUUUGUGCUAGCUAAAACUGCUCUCUAUACAGCCAAAUCUGCUCUCUGUACAUCGAAAUAUCUCUCUGUACAGCCAAAAUCGAAGGAAUCUGUACAGAUAAAAAAAAGAACCUACUUCUAAUCUGGCCUGUAGCGCACAUGUGAGCCCAGCCGGCUUUCACUACUGAAAUGGGCUUUACACCUGUCCACCUGAAUGGGCUUGAUCCUACCUUACUAGGCUGCCAGUCCAUGCAUACGCAGCUGCUCCCCGCCGCUGCACCGAACGCUCGCUAGCUCCACGAGAAUACAGCUAGCGCCAGCUUCACGAGAAGUUGGCUCGUUUCGGAAGCCAGCGAGCUUCCGAACGGGGCCUUAGAGUGAUCCAGAUCUGUGUCAAAACUUGCAUCGAUGUAACUUUUUACGACGAACCUUUUUUGUCACCUCCAUAAUCGAGAAACAUAUCCUUUAUUCCACUAAGGAUAAUUUUGACCGAUGUCCAAUGAUCUACUCCUAGAUCACUAUUGUGCUCCCUUGCCAAACUCAGUGGUAGGGUAUACAAUAGAUCUGGUACACAGCAUGGCAUACUUUAUAGAACCUAUGACUAAGGCAUAGGGAAUGAUUUUCAUUCUCUUUCUAUCUUCUGCUGUGGUCGAGUUUUGAGUCUUACUCAAUUUCACACCUUGUAACACAGGCAAGAACUCUUUCUUUGACUGUUCUAUUUUGAACUACUUCAAAAUCUUGUCAAGGUAUGUUCUCAUUGAAAAAACUUAUCAAGCGUCUUGAUCUAUCUCUAUAGAUCUUGAUGCUUAAUAUGUAAGCAGCUUCACCAAGGUCUUUCUUUGAAAAAACUCCUUUCAAAUACUCCUUUAUGCUUUGUAGAAUAAUUCUACAUUAUUUUCGAUCAACGAUAUGUCAUUCACAUAUACUUAUCAGAAAUAUUUUAGUGCUCCCACUCACUUUCUUGUAAAUACAGGCUUCACCACAAGUCUGUAUAAAACUAUAUGCUUUGAUCAACUUAUCAAAGCGUAUAUUCCAACUCUGAGAUGCUUGCACCAGUCCAUAGAUGGAUCGCUGGAGCUUGCAUAUUUUGUUAGCACCUUUAGGAUUGACAAAACCUUCUGGUUGCAUCAUAUACAACUCUUCUUUAAUAAAUCCAUUAAGGAAUGCAGUUUUGUUUAUCCAUUUACCAGUUUUCAUAAAAUGCGGCAAUUGCUAACAUGAUUCGGACAGACUUAAGCAUGAUACGAGGGAGAAACUCUCAUCAUAGUCAACACCUUGAACUUGUCGAAAACCUUUUGCGACAAUUCUAGCUUUGUAGAUAGUAACACUACUAUCAGCGUCCGUCUUCCUCUUGAAGAUCCAUUUAUUUUCUAUGGCUUGCCGAUCAUCGGGCAAAUCCAUCAAAGUCCAUACUUUUUUUCAUACAUGGAUCAUAUCUCAGAUUUCAUGGCCUCAAACCAUUUCGCGGAAUCUGGGCUCAUCAUCGCUUUCUCAUAGUUCGCAAGUUCAUCAUGGUCUAGUAACAUGACUUCCAGAACAGGAUUACCGUACCAAUCUGGUGCGGAUCUCACUCUGGUUUACCUACGAGAUUCGGUAGUAACUUGAUUUGAAGUUACAUGAUCAUCAUCAUUAGCUUCCUCACUAAUUGGUGUAGUAGUCACAAGAACAGAUUUCUGUGAUGAACUACUUUCCAAUAAGGGAGAAGGUACAAUUACCUUAUCAAGUUUUCUACUUUCCUCCCACUCACUUCUUUCGAGAGAAACUCCUUCUCUAGAAAGGAUCCAUUCUCAGCAACGAAUGUCUUGCCUUCGGAUCUACGAUAGAAGGUGUACCCAACAGUCUCCUUUGGGUAUCCUAUGAAGAUGCAUUUCUCCGAUUUGGGUUUGAGCUUAUUAGGAUGAAACCUUUUCAUAUAAGCAUCACAAUCCCAAACUUUAAGAAACGACAACUUUGGUUUCUUGCCAAACCACAGUUCAGAUUGUGUCGUCUCAACGGACUUAGAUGGUGCCCUUUUUAACGUGAAUGCAGCUGACUCUAAUGCAUAACCCCAAAAUGAUAGUGGUAAAUCGGUAAGAAACAUCAUAGAUUGCACUAUCCAAUAAAGUACGGUUAUGACAUUCGGACACACCAUUAUGCUGUGGUGUUCCAGGUGGCAUAAAUUUGUGAAACUAUUCCACAUUGUUUUUAUUGAAGACCAAACUCGUAACUCAAAUAUUUGUCUCCGUGAUCAGAUCAUAGAAACCUUACUUUCUUGUCACGAUGAUUUUCCACUUCACUCUGAAAUUCUUUGAACUUUUCAAAUGUUUCAGACUUAUGUUUCAUCAAGUAGAUAUACCUAUAUCUGCUCAAAUCAUCUGUGAAGGUCAGAAAAUAACGAUACCCGCCGCGAGCCUUAACACUCAUCGGAUCGCAUACAUCAGUAUGUAUUAUUUCCAAUAAGUUAGUUGCUCGCUCCACUGUUCCGAAGAACGGAGUCUUUAGUCAUCUUGCCCAUAAGGCAUGGUUCGCAAGCAUCAAGUGAUUCAUAAUCAAGUGAUUCCAAAAGUCCAUUAGCAUGGAGUUCCUUCAUGCGCUUUACACCAAUAUGACUUAAACGGCAGUGCCACAAAUAAGUUGCACUAUCAUUAUUAACUUUGCAUCUUUUGGUUUCAAUAUUAUGAAUAUGUGUAUCACUACGAUCGAGAUCCAACAAACAAUUUUUGUUGGUGUGUAUGACCAUAGAAGGUUUUAUUCAUGUAAACAGAACAACAAUUUAUUCUCUUACUUAAAUGAAUAACCGUAUUGCAAUAAACAUGAUCAAAUCAUAUUCAUGCUCAACACCAAAUAACACUUAUUUAUGUUCCACACUAAUCCUGAAAGUAUAGGGAGUGUGCGAUGAUGAUCAUAUCAAUCUUGGAACCACUUCCAACUCUCAUCGUCACUUCACCCCUAACUAGUCUCUGUUCAUUCUGCAACUCCCGUUUCGAGUUACUAAUCUUAGCAACUGAACUAGUACCAAAUACUGAGGGGUUGCUAUGGACACUAGUAAAGUACACAUCAAUACCAUGUAUAUCCAAUAUACCUUUGUUUACUUUGCCAUCCUUUCUUAUCCGCCAAAUACUUGGGGUGGUUCCGCUUCUAGUGACCAGUCCCUUUGCAGUAGAAGCACUUAGUCUCAGGCUUAGGACCAGACUUGGGCUUCUUCACUUGAGCAGCAACUUGCUUGCCGUUCUUCUUGAAGUUCCCCUUCUUCCCUUUGCCCUUUUCUUGAAACUAGUGGUCUUGUCUACCAUCAACACUUGAUGUUUUUCUUGAUUUCUACCUUCGUCGAUUUUAGCAUCACGAAGAGCUUGGGAAUCGUUUCUGUAAUCCCUUGCAUAUUAUAGUUCAUCACGAAGUUCUACUAACUUGGUGAUGGUGACUAGAGAAUUCUGUCAAUCACUAUUUUAUCUGGAAGAUUAACUCCCACUUGAUUCAAGCGAUUGUAGUACCCAGACAAUCUGAGCACAUGCUCACUAGUUGAGCGAUUCUCCUCCAUCUUUUAGCUAUAGAACUUGUUGGAGACUUCAUAUCUCUCAACUCGGGUAUUUGCUUGAAAUAUUAACUUCAACUCCUGGAACAUCUCAUAUGGUCCAUGACGUUCAAAACGUCUUUGAAGUCCCGAUUCUAAGCCGUUAAGCAUGGUGCACUAAACUAUCAUGUAGUCAUCAUAUUAAGCUGGCCAAACAUUCAUAACGUCCGCAUCUGCUCCUGCAAUAGGUCUGUCACCUAGCGGUGCAUCAAGGACAUAAUUCUUCUGUGCAGCAAUGAGGAUAAACCUCAGAUCACGGAUCCAAUCCGCAUCAUUGCUACUAACAUCUUUCAACAUAAUUUUCUCUAGGAACAUAUCAAAAUAAACAUAUGAAAGCAACAACGCGAGCUAUUGAUCUACAACAUUAUUUGCAAAAUACUACCAGGACCAAGUUCAUGAUAAAUUAUAGUUCAAUUAAUCAUAUUACUUAAGAACUCCCACUUAGAUAGACAUCCCUCUAAUCCUCUAAGUGAUCACGUGAUCCAUAUCAACUAAACCAUGUCCGAUCAUCACGUGAGAUGGAGUAGUUUCAAUGGUGAACAUCAAUAUGUUGAUCAUAUCUACUAUAUGAUUCACGCUCGACCUUUCGGUCUCCGUGUUCCGAGGCCAUAUCUGUUAUAUGCUAGGCUCGUCAAGUUUAACCUGACUAUUCCGCGUGUGCAACUGUUUUGCACCCGUUGUAUUUGAACGUAGAGCCUAUCACACCCGAUCAUCACGUGGUGUCUCAGCACGAAGAACUUUCGCAAUGGUGCAUACUCAGGGAGAACACUUUUAAUUUGAUAAUUUAGUGAGAGAUCAUCUUAAAAUGCUACCGUCAAACAAAGCAAGAUAAGAUGCAUAAAAGAUAAACAUCACAUGCAAUCAAUAUAAGUGAUAUGAUAUGGCCAUCAUCAUCUUGUGCUUGUGAUCUCCAUCUUUGAAGCACCGUCAUGAUCACCAUCGUCACCGGUGUGACACCUUGAUAUCCAUCGUAGCAUCGUUGUCGUCUCGCCAAUCUUAUGCUUCUACGACUAUCGCUACCGCUUAGUGAUAAAGUAAAGCAUUACAGGGCGUUUGCAUUGCAUACAAUAAAGCGACAACCAUAUGGCUCCUACCGGUUGCCGAUAACUCGGUUACAAAACAUGAUCAUCUCAUACAAUAAAAUUUAGCAUCAUGUCUUGACCAUAUCACAUCACAACAUGCCCUGCAAAAACAAGUUAGACGUCCUCUACUUUGUUGUUGCAAGUUUUACAUGGCUGCUACGGGCUUAGCAAGAACCAAUCUUACCUACGCAUCAAAACCACAAUGAUAGUUUAUCAAGUUGGUGCUAUUUUAACCUUCGCAAGGACCGGGCGUAGCCACACUCGGUUCAACUAAAGUUGGAGAAACUGACACCCGCCAGCCACUUGUGUGCAAAGCACGGCAGUAGAACCAGCCUCGCGUAAGCGUACGCGUAAUGUCGGUCUGGGCCGCUUCAUCCAACAAUACAGCCGAACCAAAGUAUGACAUGCUGGUAAGCAGUAUGACUUAUAUCGCCCACAACUCACUUGUGUUCUACUCGUGCAAAUAACAUCAAACCAUAAAAACCUAGGCUCGGAUGCCACUGUUGGGGAACGUAGUAAUUUCAAAAAAAAAUCCUACGCACACGCAAGAUCAUGGUGAUGCAUAGCAAUGAGAGGGGAGAGUGUUGUCUACGUACCCUCGUAGACCGAAGCGGAAGCAUUGACGCAACAUAGAGGAAGUAGUCGUACGUCGUCCCGGUUCAACCGAUCCAAGCACCGUUACUCCGGCACCUCCGAGUUCUUGGCACACGUUCAGUUCGAUGACGCUCCCCGGGCUCCGAUCCAGCAAAGCUUUGGGGAGGAGUUCCGUCAGCAUGACGGCGUGGUGACGAUCUUGAUGUUCUACCGUCGCAGGGCUUCGCCUAAGCACCGCUACAAUAUGAUCGAGGUGUAAUAUCGUGGAGGGGGGCACCGCACACGGCUAAGGAACGAUCACGAAGAUCAACUUGUGUGUCCUACGGUGCCCCCCUGCCCCCAUAUAUAAAGGAGCCAAGGGGAGGGGGCGGCCGGCCAAGGAGGGGCGCGCCAGGGGGGAGUCCUACUCCCACCAGGAGUAGGACUCCCUUCUUUCCUAGUUGGAGAAGGAGAAGGGGGGAAAGAAGAGGAAGAGGGAAAGGAAAGGGGGGCGCCGCCCCCUUCCCUUGUCCUAUUCGGACUAGGAAGGGGAGGGGCGCGCGGCCACCUCCUGCCUCCUUCUCUCUUCUCCCUUAAGGCCCAAGAAGGCCCAAUAACCCCCCGGGGGGUUCUGGUAACCUCCCGGUACUCCGGUAAAAUGCUGAUUUCACCCGGAACGAUUCCGAUGUCCAAAUAUAGGCUUCCAAUAUAUCGAUCUUUAUGUCUCGACCAUUUCGAGACUCCUCGCCAUGUCCAUGAUCACAUCCGGGACUCCGAACAACCUUCGGUACAUCAAAAUACAUAAACUCAUAAUGAAACUGUCAUCGUAACGUUAAGCGUGCAGACCCUACGGUUCGAGAACAAUGUAGACAUGACCGAGACACGUCUCCGAUCAAUAACCAAUAGCGGGACCUGGAUUCCCAUAUUGGUUCCUACAUAUUCUACGAAGAUCUUUAUCGGUCAGACCGCAUAACAACAUACGUUGUUCCCUUUGUCAUCGGUAUGUUACUUGCCCGAGAUUCGAUCGUCGGUAUCCAAUACCUAGUUCAAUCUCAUUACCAGCAAGUCUCUUUACUCGUUCCGUAAUACAUCAUCUCGCAACUAACUCAUUAGUUGCAAUGCUUGCAAGGCUUAUGUGAUGUGCAUUACCGAGAGGGCCCAGAGAUACCUCUCCGACAAUCAGAGUGACAAAUCCUAAUCUCGAAAUACGCCAACCCAACAUCUACCUUUGGAGACACCUGUAGAGCUCCUUUAUAAUCACCCAGAUACGUUGUGACAUUUGGUAGCACACCAAGUGUUCCUCCGGCAAACGGGAGUUCCAUAAUCUCAUAGUCAUAGGAACAUGUAUAAGUCAUGAAGAAAGCAAUAGCAACAUACUAAACGAUCGGGUGCUAAGCUAAUGAAAUGGGUCAUGUCAAUCAGAUCAUUCAUCUAAUGAUGUGAUCCCGUUAAUCAAAUAACAACUCUUUGUCCAUGGUUAGGAAACAUAACCAUCUUUGAUUAACGAGCUAGUCAAGUAGAGGCAUACUAGUGACACUCUGUUUGUCUAUGUAUUCACACAUGUAUUAUGUUUCCGGUUAAUACAAUUCUAGCAUGAAUAAUAAACAUUUAUCAUGAAAUAAGGAAAUAAAUAAUAACUUUAUUAUUGCCUCUAGGGCAUAUUUCCUUCAACAGGUCCACGGGUUAUACACCUUUCUUCAUGGUUUAUGGAGCGGAAGCGGUUCUCCCAAGUGACCUCCGUCAUGAUUCGCCUCGCGUGGCGGCUUACAUCGAGGCUAAUAAUGAGCAGGCCUGUCAAGAAGCACUUGACUUGUUGGAUGAAAAACGAGAUUUAGCAGCAGCCCGCUCGGCAAUCUACCAGCAAGACCUGCGACGUUAUCACAGCCGCCGGGUUAAGUACAGAACCUUUCAGGAAGGUUACUUGGUGCUCCGGCUCAUUCAGGAUCAAUCUGAUAUGCACAAGCUAUCCCCUCCUUGGGAAGGACCCUUUGUGGUCAGCAAGAAUCUCUACAACGGGUCAUACUACCUCAUUGAUGUUCGGGAGCAUAAAGACUCACGUAAAUCGGAGGAGGAGACCCGCCGAUCGUGGAAUAUUGCUCAUCUUCGGCCUUACUACACUUGAGCCGCUGGCUCUCAUCAUGUACAUACUUAAGCAGUGUAUAUAUUAUGAUAAGUAAUAAAGCAGGACCUCUGUCCUUUUUUUGUAAAGAUCAUAUAUUCUUUCUAAUGCUUUCUUUUAGAUAACCAACAGGAGACGGAUCAUAUGUGAAUCCGGCUCUCCUUUGGGUCCGGCUUACGAUCAUAUUUGAAUCUAGCCGUUGUAAUCACUUGGGGGCUUCCUGUUCAGACAUAGGUCGUAUUCGAACCAAAGAGAACAUAGCUGUCAAUACCCUCUUGAUCGGCAUCACCAACGCCAUUGGGGGCUAUAUGAUCGUAUUUGAAUCUUAGCUCAACCCCUUUGGAACGGUUUACUGAUCGUAUCCGAAUCAGAAGCCUUGACAAUUUAUUACCUAAUAGAUAUAUAAGCAGUUUAUGUGUAACCCGGGCUGGUUUUCAGCAGUGCCGGCAUAUUCACAUCGUCAUCUGUCUGGAUGUAUCAAUUUUCACAGGAUCAGGAUUAUCAUUUUUAUGACUUAGGUAGUACCAAUUAAAGAGUCACAUAAACCGACAGUAUAAUCAAGGGAUAACAGGUAUGAUGUUAUAUUUAUGUCUCAAAGAAUGUACUUGAGAACCUGUUGUUUCAAGAUUUUUUGAUUCAUACUCCGGGUUAUAUGUAAAAUAUAUGAUCAUCCAUGCGGCAAGCCGCCAAGGGACUUGUCUUUUGUGUUGUAUGCAGGGUAAAUAAAGCAGUUCUUUAAGCGUAAAGAAAGCAGCAGCUCAGCAUAAGACGGAUGAAUAUAUGAUGGCAGUUUAAAUAGUGUGGGGAACCACACACGUGCGUGAUGGCACGGCAAGAUUAAGUGUUUUUCUACCCUAUUACAUGACUCCCCGAGUCCAGAUAAGGAGGCACUGUUUUUAGCAAAGCAUAAAUACAAGUCGCCCGCCGGAUCACUCGUUUUGCUGGCCUGAAGCUUCUGAAUCAUCCCUUUCCGCUCCUUUGUCUGUUGCCCUAUCCUGGAAGGUUGAUGAUCACCAGUCAGUGCCACUCAAGGCUUCAAAUUCAGCUUCAUCAUCAAUUAACCCGGCCGGAUCAAUUUCAGGGGCAAAGGUAUGCUUACGAAUUGGAGGGAUCAGGCUGACUGCUUCAUAAUGUGGCGUUGGGAUUCUCCGAUUCCGGUUGUCGUAACCCGGCUGGUAUUUGGUAAGGUCUGUGUCAUUACCAAUCAGAGUGGCCACAGGGCGUAUUUCCCUCACACAGUCGGCGAAGUUCUUCUGGUCAAACGGAGUACCGUCUUCCUUCAAGCUUAGAUAUCCGAGGGCGAUGUCGGCCGGGUCCAGCUCUGGUAGCCACGCCUUAGCCCGGCUUAAUGCGGCUAUGGCUCCGGCUCUUGCAGAGGCCCGUCUCAACUCUUGGACCCGUUGAGGAAGCACGGCAAGACGCUUGAGUACAUCCGCCAGGAGAGUGGGAACCUCAUUUGAUAAAGCCACACAGGCCAAAGCACGUUGUGACCCGGUGUAGAGUUGUUCCACCAAUGUAUAAACCGCCUUCAGCUUGAUCAACAUGCUUUGGUUCAGGUUGGAGCUCCUGGGGCCUGCGUCACAAUGUUAGGUGAGUCGGUGACAGUGGAGAUGUUUGUUGAAAAAUAUUUCAAGUAUCCAACACUUAUAGAAUAACUUACCAAAGAUUGCUGAGACCAUCUGAGAUAUCUGGCGUUUUAAACCGGAUAACUCGGUAGUGGCUUCUGCAAGAGCCGCCUCCGCUUUCUCUGCCCGGUUGAUCAAAGAGACCUUUUCAUCAGCCCAAGCCUUCUUAUAUGCUUCAAUGUUCUUCUUCAAUUUUUCUUGUUCAGAUACACUGAACUCAAAUUUGGAGUUGGCCUUUUGGGUUUCGGUCUCUUGAGCCUCCAGGCGACUCUUCAAGUCGGAAAUCUCCGAUUCAAGUUGACUCAUGGCAGCCUAUAUCAAUGUCGGGUUACAGUCAGGAUCAUCAUAAUAAAACAUUAACUCCCAAGCACUUUGCCAGCAAAGAUACUUGGCACUUGGGGGCUAAUGUAUGCUGAAGAGCUCUAUUUACAAUGGUGGUUUAUGGAGCUAAAGUCCCAAGCACUUUGCAAGCAAAGAUACUUGGCACUUGGGGGCUAAUGCAUAUUGUUGUUCAAAUACUUAAAUUCAACAUGGUAAGGACCGGUUUAAACAUGUUGUUCUAAGCCGGUAUUCGGAUGCUACAGGGUAAGCCGGGUUUUCUGGUAUAUACUAUUAAGCCGGUAUUAAGUCUACAACAUAUGUGAUCAUAAGCAAUAGACUUGGGGGCUGGUAUAUUAAGGAUGAAUACAGAGGAGUAACAAGAGUUAUACCUCAGAUUUUUUGUGUAUCUGCUUCACCAUGUCAACCUCCAGGUCACGGCUGCUGUGCACUUGACUGAUAUAACCAGAGACAAUCUCUCCAAUACUCAAGUGAGUGUAGUCAGAGACAUCUAGCUUGGCCUUGCGACGUUCCAGAAAUUCCUCCUUGGCAGAACACUUGGCCAGCACAGUGGGUCUUCCCGGUUCAACAAAGGCAAUUUUGACGAUUUCGAUGUCCGGGUCAUCCGCUUUGUCCGGGCUAUGGAUCUCCAAGUUCUCAGAACCGUCAAGGGCUUGCUUAGCAGGCGGGUCAGUCAUAGGUGCUGGAAUGUUGUGAGUUGGUUCAGGUGGCGGCUCGUGAGUGGAGGUGUCAGGAGCAUCCGUUCUAAGCUCCGGUUCAGUUACGAUCGGCUCUUCGGCCGGCUUAUUCUUCUUUGCCCUCUUGCUGGGUUUCACUUGUACGAUGUGUACAAAUCAUAAAGGUUAGCAGGAAAAUGUAUGGGUAAGAUAAGCAUAAGAUAAGCAAGGUGUUCUUACCCAGGGGCGGUCUUGAAAGCCGGAAGCACUGUUUGCGACGAUUCACCAGAGGAAGUACGAGUAAUUUCCUGAUUCAAAGUAAGGCGAAGGGUUAAAAAGUAAUAUGCAACCUGAUUAAGAAGAUAAUGAAAGCAAUUAAGAGACGGAACCUCAACCCGGUGUUUCUGUGAAGGAGUAUUAAGUAACCCGGAGGACAGAUCAUCGCCCCCACUGGUCUGGGUGAGGCGGCGGCUCUCAUGCUGUUGAAGCUUCAAAAUAAAGUGGAGAUCCAGAUAAGCUAAAGGGUGUCAAAACCUUACUUUCCAGGUCACUCGUCGGAAUUUUGAUCUUGGCAAGGGUUGUGAGCCGGCGGAAAUAGACAUUAACUCUUCUUCAAAUGCUUGGCUGGUUCCCAUGUCAUCCUGAAAGGAAAUAAAUGUCAAUAAAGCAAUGGUAAAGGAGUCAGGAGAGUUACGGAUUACCUCUUCUUCAUCAGAAGUGUCGUCCAGUUUAAGCAAAUCCGAAGCACUGGGUUUCUUCUUCUUCUGAGUUCCGGCCUUGGCGGCUUUCCUCUCGGCCCUCUUGGCCGCUCUGGCCUGUUUGGCAGCCUCAUGGUCAUACUUGACCUUCCAGAACUUGUCAUUUGCCUAUGAAUAAUGAGAAAAGGGUUAUGAGUAAGAGCAAGGUGUUUCACAGUGAAAGGAAAAAUGUUUAGGCUAAUGGCUUACUGGAGGGGUCGGGUUAUUCUUGCAGAAUGGAAGUAAGCCGAAGGUAUUGCUGGUUACUGAGCCCUCCUUUAAAAGAGAUUGGGUCAUGGCUUCCACCAUGUCAUCAGGUAAAUCAUCACGACAAUGACGCAGCGGGUCAUCUUUUUCGCAUGUGUAAGUGCACAUCAAGCCGGGACGGCGGCUUAAUGGAAUCACCCGCCAUGAGAUCCAGACUCGGACCAAAUCAAUGCCAUCUAAGUCGUUCCCCAAAAGGUCCUUGAUUUUCUUGAGGGUGGGAGCGAGCUUUUGACGUUCAACGGCUGAUAGUUUAUCCGGCAGUGGAUGGUUGGACUCAAGGCGCAGAGCGCAAAAGCCGGGCAAAGGGUUUUAGUUAGCCGAAGAAGCAUCCUGGCAAUAGAACCACGUCUGGUUCCAAUCUUUAGGGUGGCUUGGCGGCUCAUCAUAUGGGAAAAGGCAGUCCCUCCGUCGCUGAAUUGAGAUACCGCCAAGUUCCAAGCUGGGCCCAUUGGCACGCUCAUUCUGGCGGUUUAAAUAAAACAGCUCUCUGAAGAGUAGUAGGUUGGGUUCUUCUCCAAGAUACACCUCACAAAAUACUUGGAAGUUGCAAAUGUUUGACACAGAGUUGGGCCCGAUGUCUUGAGGUCUGAGGUCGAAAAAGGACAGGACAUCUCUGAAAAAUUUUGAGCCAGGUGGAGAAAGCCCCGGUUCAUAUGAUCAGUAAAGACGACCACUUCUCCUUCCUUAGGUCGAGGUCUCUCCUCUGACGGGUCAGGAGCACGGUAGGACAUAAUUUCCUUUUUGGGCAGGUAGCCCGUCUUCAUGAAAUCGUUCAAGGUGCUUUCAGUGACGAUGGAUUUGACCCAGUUACAGGUCACUGGUGCUUUGGGAGCCUUGGGUGCCAUUACACAGCUGGAAGCCUAUGACAAACUAACAUUUCCGGAUCAAUUUAACCCGGAGGAGAGGAUUACAAUUCUAUUCAAGAUGGCGGCUUGUGAAGGGGCCUAAUGACAUAUGACUAAUUGUGUCUGAUUACUUAAGCCGCCAUGGGUUUUUGAAGUAGUGAAGUUAUUUUAAAACCGCCAGGAGCAGACAAGGUUGUUAAUCAGUGAUGUCUUUUUAAACCGGCCAUACGGGUUUCCAUGGUUUAACGGAUCUAACAGAUGCAGUUUUUGCCUAAGUAUGGAAUAAACAGGUUUCACAAGUCACAGUUAUUAUUUUGGAUCAAACGAUCGUUCAGAAAGGGAAAUAUUCUAGACCUAAAAUUUCUGCAGGUCGGUUCAUAAGCUCCGGUGAGACUGACGCUGUCCUGGACUAGGGGGUACUCACCACGUCGUCUCCCAAUCUAUUAGAUUGGGCCGAGGACCCCCGUGGCCGUAUACUCAUGGGCCAGUUCGGACAGCUACCGCAUACAAGGAAAAUUCCACAAGACUUGGCGAUCAAGACAAGGACUCCUCCCCACCGGCGUAUUCGACUAGGACUCUUGUUAUCCUCGGCCUCUGGUAUGUUAUAUAAGCCGAGGCCAGGCUAGUCGAUAGAUCAUUAUUAUAUGAAUCAUCAUACCUCUAGGGUUUAGACCACAACAUAUGAUCUCGAGGUAGAUAAACUCUGUACUACACCCAUAUGAAUACAAUCAAAAGCAGCAUGUAGGGUAUUAUCUCAUCAAGAGAGCGCGAAGCUGGGUAAAACCCCGUGUACAUGUUACCAUCGAUCCUAGACGCACAGUUCGGGACCCCCUACCCGAGAUCCGCCGGUUUUGACACCGACAUUGGUGCUUUCAUUGAGAGUUCCGCUGUGUGAUCGACAAAAGGAUCGAUGGCUCGCCUGCAGAUCAACUGCGACUUCGGCAUCUUCGUCACCAGCUCGACUGGUCACCUUGGUUCGACCAAGAAUUGCGCCCCGUCUUCGGAUCACCAUGUUCGGAUGAGGGCCUUCAUCAAACAUCAACUCCGAUCUCUAUCAAGGUCACGGAGGAAUCAUCCAUGGAGCUCGGGGGCUCAACGUCAACAUUGCCCUCAAGCGACCGUGCUGUUUUUCUGGACAGCGAACUUGUAUCUGCUGCCACCACCUCCUCGAGUAUUGCUUUGACGAUCACUUUGGUGGAAUUGUGCGGAAUUGAUUCUACAAAAACCCUGAAAAAUUUCGUCGAGUUCCGAUGAAGGAAUCUCCGGCAAUCCACGAUAUACCGGAGCCCUGUCAAAUCUGGACGGGAAUCUGGACGAGUUUAGGGCGUGGUGUCCAGCUUUUAGAUCAGACGUCCUUUAGAAGAUCCAACCAUUGAUCGGCUGCGGAAUUCCUAUAUCUACCACCCCUCCAAAUUUCAGCUCGAUCCGACCGUCCAAACUCCGGGAACCUUCCGAUUAGUGCAUCACUUUUCGGAUCUGUUUUCUGCGCGAGAACGAAUCCGACCAGAAUUCAUCUUUUUUAUGAACGGGAUUUCGGACAUCCUUUUUGAAGGAAGUUUUGUAUGGGAUAUUGUGUAUUGUUCCCGAACACAUCCCACUAACUUUAAGAUCUUUUGAACAUGAUCUUCAACAUCAUUGCUGGUGUCAAACCAGUCCGGCAAUAUUGCUCCACUACUGCCGACCUGUGCUAGACACGUCGUCACUUUGUUGAGCCGAACUCAACUUCUUCGGAUCAUCAUCUCGGCAAGCCGAACAAGAGUCCGGCAUCGCGAAGGACAAAUCAUCACCAACAUUGCCGCCCCACGGAUUACACGGAGCGGAAAUAUCGGCAUCGCCGCACGGUCGCUUCAUCAAGCCGGCAUCGACCACGUCACGACCUGCAUCGGCAGGGCCGCACUAUUGCUUCUUCAAGCUGGUGUCCAUCACGCCGACCUACUUCGACAUCUCGGCUGGACCGGGGGCUUCGCCAUCUCUUCAUCAACCUACUCCAGACACUUCGGCGUCACUAGCCGACCAGCUCCGUCACGUAAGCUGGACCGAGGGCUUUGCCUCGGCGAGCCAACCUUCGCCAGCACUGCCACGCCAUCGUUUUAUCGCCCAUCAGGCAAUGGGUGAGCGGACCGAUUCCCAAUUUUGGGAAUCACCUUUCUUCAGAUUGCUACAACAAAUAAACCAGGUGCUAUUAAUCCUAGUAUUUUUUGCUUGUUUGGGUUCAUUUUUUCCAACGAAUUAUUACUCUGGUUGUCCAUCAUAUGUACGCAGGUCUAUCAAAUGGUGGCCGCAUUAACGAUGGUCGCAUGGUGGUUCGGUCAGUUUCCGUACAUAGUCCGGCGAACGCCGCAUCCGGAACUCGAACCGACCUGUUAAUUCAGGCCUUGCCAUGCCUUUACCGCAUCACGUCGCCGCCCUGCAUCAGAAAAUGAUCCAGCCGGACUAUAUCCUUUGACAUCACCUCGGCUGGACGGGGGUCUUCAUUACCCCAUGUCGGGGACUUCGGCAUCACUCUGCCGUCCUGCUUGCCCGUGCUAUGUCACCACUUCGAAGUGCCGAGCUCUUUGCUCCGCCACCUCGGGACCGGCUUGGGGGAUGGAACCUUGUCCCGCAUCAAGCUCGGACCGCGUCGUCAGUACCGAACACAUUAACCAGCUAAGUUGCCUUCAUGCUCACAGUUUUAAAUUUUUAACUUGUGUUCGGCUCGACCAAGCAUUAUACUUUUUUGGAAAAAAGUUGCUUGUAAAAAUCUUCCUUGUCCAAACUUUGUUUGCACACACUUGACGCGCUACCCGCGCUCAUUAUACCUGGGGGCUUCUUUAACAGAAGCUUAUUAAUACGGGCUUUAUGCCCAACACAUGUGUCACACUUCCGCAUGUACCUUUUAUUCACCAUUAUAUGCAUCGAUAUGACUUAAGUUUUGGCCAAGCUGGGUUGCCUGGCUCCUGUGCUUACCCCUACGUCCCCGAUUGUUCAGCUAGGUGGUAAAGGGAGCACCUCUGUGAUUGUUACUGCCGGGUCAGCCGGAUGUGUACCUCAGACUUGAUGAAGCCGAAAGCUAGCAUUCUUAAGGGAAUAUUCGGUCGGUGAACUAAAAGAUGACUUUUUACCUAUUUGUCUAUCUGCCCCCAGAUGCUUUUCUGCUUUCUUAGCAGCUUGGACAUGCACUUUAGGGCAUGCCCCCCAGGGAAAGGAACCCUUAACGGAACUAUUCUCCCUGGAAGAUGUUUCUUACUAUCCAUGUAAUAUAACAUAACUAGUUGGGCACUUGUCUGAUACAGCAAUAAUGACCCCUACGCCUUGUCUCCAUGCAUGCCCCGCUUCUUAUAUAACCGCUAGGGUAUUCGGACACACUCCGGACUAUUGGGUCCAGAGGUUGAAGCGAAAAGGUACGCUAUGACAAAUGAUCUACAAUCCGGCUAGAAGGCAUUUUGCAUGUCACCUUACAUUAUAUAGUCAACUUUUACCCAAGUCACUUGGAGGCUCUUAUGUUUAUUUGAGCCGUUUCAUACAAAGUGUUUUUCUUCUUAGUCGUUGCAAAGUUUUUAUUAUUUAUCACUCUUUUUUUGACACGAGUGUGCGGUCACUAGCCGGGGAGCCUAAUUUCUCUCUCAAAGCCGCUAGAGUUUAGUUUACUAAACUGGCCUGAUGAGAAGUACUCCGCCCUCGGGAUAGGAGGUUGAAGCCGUAGGCUGACCCGCUCGAAGUCUUUAGAUAGGAUGUAUCAUGUUAAAGCACGACAGAAGCACUUCUUUUUUCUAAGACCAAUUUUUGGAUUGGCACCGAACACUUGAUAUUGUUCGGACAUCAUGUUUUUACUGACGUUUCUUGGUUUUCCAAGCUUUUUGGCACUUUUAAACUAUUUGUGUGUUUUCAGCACAAGUCUCAUAGUGCAACGCCGGACUCCUUUAGAGAUUUGGCAAAAACAUUCUCGGAUAUUGCUAUAUAUGCAUCGGUUUUGAAUUGUGUCUUCGGUCAAUAGUUGGGUUGCCCGGCUCCUGCAUUUGCUUCCUAUGUUCCGUUUUGUUUGGCUAGGUGUGCGAAGGGAGAACCACUGCGAUUGUGCUUCCAGCUCACGUGGUUAAGCACCUCAGUGGAGAAAGCAGAAAACUGACUGUCACAAUAAGCGUAAACUGGUUAGUGAUCCGAUGACUAUGUAAAAUAACAGGCCGUUCAUAACAUUGGCCGAAGUGUUUACGGCUUGACCUCGACUGUCGCCGAACACUACCGGGGGCUAUUAACUAGCCUCCCAAACUAAAUCCUCGAUAUUUUUCUCUUACAUUGGAGCUGAGGUUUUAUGAUCAUGCUUAGCAUGACAACCCAAAGAAAGGAACCGAUAGCGGGACUAUUUUCUUUGGAAGACAUUUCUUCUGUUAAACAGUAAUAUAACAUAUCUCUCCGCGUACCUUUGUUUAUAAAACCGUAUGGCCAGAUUGCCUUGUUUGUCGUAAAUCUUUGCCCUCAUAAAGGCUUUAUAAAGUAAGACAAACACUCCUCGGCUACUGGCCGAGGAGGUGGAAGCCGAUAGUCGGUCAACAAAGUUUUGUACAAUGCGGAUCCGAGCAUUAAUGACGUAAAGUACUUGGAUACAUAGAGUCAUUACACAUAAUUUGUGAUUUUACUAUGGAUAUUGAUCCUUAAUUCGGCCACCCGUGCCCGCAUUAAGGCUCGGGGGCUACUGGGCUUCGGGCUUAUUAUUUACAAAUAUUAAAGGGGCACAUCGAUCCCCUGAUCUGGUGUUGCCACCCGACCAGUGUCUCGGGGGCUACUGCAUUGCCCAUCCAGUGCAGAAAAUUUUAAGUGCAAUACAGUUUCCGAGGAGAUUUUGAUCCUCAGAUUGGUCGGCCGCACCCAACCUGAGUCUCGAGGACUGAGCAAGCCGCUUUUUGUGUCCCGAAGUAUCCUGCCGAGCUAGGACUUGAUCCUCAGGCCGAUUUUACAAAUCAACAUGGGUCUCAGCGGCUACUGGGAUCAGCGGUCUUACGUCAUCCUUCAGGUGCAUCGCGGAUUUUAAACCGAUACACACCUAGUCCGGCAAAAAAUAUUGACAAAAAUCGGCCCACAUUCGGGGUGGUGCACUACCUCGGAAGCAGUCCGGCAAAAAGCUUGGGCGCUAGUGGCUGGCUCCAUAGAGGGCAUUUUCGGCAUUAAGCUCGGCUAAACUCCUUCAAACUUCUUUGAACCAAGGUGAUUUACGACACCUCGGAUACAGUCCGGCGUUGGAGCAUGGAUACAUAGUACGGCGUUGGAGCUCGGAUACAUAGUCCGGCGUUGGAGCUCGGAUACAUUCCGUCAUUAGAGCUGGGAAGCGGUCCGGCGUUGGUGCUCGGCUGCGGAAGAUACCUCGAAUGCAGUCCGGCGUUGGAGCUCGGACGCAAGAAGAUACUGCCUCCCGGGAAAAACUUCAAACCUGAGGUGUGGCAUAAAAAUAACAAGGCAUUGAUAAAGGCCGAAAACUUAAAGGGGCUCCUCGGAUACCCGACGUGUAAACUCUUCAGAUUCACUUUGGCGAUCCUCAAGAUCGAAGACGAGGAGAUUUGUUGAACCAGUUUUCAAGACCGGCGACCGAAGAUGAAGAACAGUUCGGAAGAAUCGAGGAGCGUCCCUAACUUGAAGACCGGUUCAGGGGGCUACUGACGGUGUCCUGGACUAGGGGGUACUCACCACGUCGUCUCCCAAUCUAUUAGAUUGGGCCGAGGACCCCCGUGGCCAUAUACUCAUGGGCCAGUUCGGACAGCUACCGCAUACAAGGAAGAUUCCACAAGACUUGGCGAUCAAGACAUGGACUCCUCCCCACCGGCGUAUUCGACUAGGACUCUUGUUAUCCUCGGCCUCUGGUAUGUUAUAUAAGCCGAGGCCAGGCUAGUCGAUAGAUCAUUAUUAUAUGAAUCAUCAUACCUCUAGGGUUUAGAACACAACAUAUGAUCUCGAGGUAGAUCAACUCUGUACUACACCCAUAUGAAUACAAUCAAAAGCAGCAUGUAGGGUAUUAUCUCAUCAAGAGAGCCCGAAGCUGGGUAAAACCCCGUUUACAUGUUACCAUCGAUCCUAGACGCACAGUUCGGGACCCCCUACCCGAGAUCCGCCGGUUUUGACACCGACAGAGACCUUUAUACCAGGAAAAGGGGAUCUAUUUUCAUCCGAAAUGGGUGUGGAACAACUACCGCAUGAGUUUAUGCUCUAGUAAAGCAGGCUACGGUGGCGAAAUCUAUGAAGAGCUCAUGACGAACAUCGACGAACACCGAGAAACUUGAAAACCCUAAUAGGGAUCUAAGCUAUGGAGGGGAAGGAACUCACAGAUGUGGACUGGCUGCGGAGGUUCGCCGUCGAUCUCUGGUCGGUUUCAGGUUGAUGCAGUGGCCUGAGUCGGCGAAGACGGGGUGCGCUGCGCUGGCGGCGGCGGUGGAGCUCGAGCAGCAGUGAAGUGGCGAGAGGAAGAAGAUGACAGAAAGGGGGAGAAUGGAAAAAGACCUAAGGGUCGGACUUAUUUAUAAAGGAAGAUGACAGAGAGGGCGCGGGAAACGAGUAGGCUCGGGGUGGUGUCCAGCUACUCUGGCGCCUCGAUUUUUGGAAUGGAUAUUAAGACGAAGAUCCAUUGGGAUGUGAAUUUAAUGAAAGAUGAUUUCAUGGCGGGUUAUCAUGGAUCUAGAAGAUGACGUCAUGGCGGGUUAUAAACUUUUGCACAGACAGAAGACAGAAGGGUUUCCUUAAGGUGUUGAAGAUUGACAUGAACCGGUUCAAAUCAAUCUGGGGCCUAAUGUUGGGGAUAUAAUUACUUGUGUAACCCGCCCAGGAGGGGCCGGGUCAUGCAAUGACGAUUCAUCAUAUGAAGCCCAAUAUCAAGCUUGAAGAUGGCAGUUCAUUAAAAAGGGCUCAAAGCCCACAGGCGGCUUAAGGCCCGUAGUAAUAAACCGCCACCCUUGUAAGACUUGUGUUGUAAGGAAUAUGUAAUCAAUCUCCGGGCCGGUCACGUUGAUGAGCCGGCCGGGACUCUGUAGGCCGCAGGGCGUCAACCCGUGUAUAUAAGGGGACGACCUGGCGGCGGCUUAGGGCAAGUAAGAUCGAUCGAGAGUCAGGCCUAGGGUAUCUCGCUCCCUGGUCAUCGAAACCCCAAUAAUUCCAACACAACUAGACGUAGGCUUUUACCUUCAUCGUAAGGGGCCGAACUAGUAUAAAACAUCUCUCGUGUCCCUUGUCCCGUUAACCCCUUUGAGCUUCCUAGUUGCGAUGGCUCCACGCUUAAGUCCUUGCAAGAGGACAUCUGAUGUGACAAUUCCACGACAAAAACCGUCUCUCGUGGGACGAAAAUUGACCAGCGGAGACUACCAACUGAGACAUUAGGAGUAGAGAUUACAACUAGGAAGCCUCCUCCACCGGCGGUUGAGGUGGCCUCAGAUCGCCCCCCGGACGAACUCCAGUGUUCACCGUCGGGCUCCCAGCCGCUGCCUCGUCGACUUUCACGUCCCUCCCUUUGAUCCCAUUCACCAGGGAGGCAGCGCCGUCCUCCAUCACAACGAACGAGUCCACACCGAGAUCCCAACUGGAUCGUGGUCGCGCCUCUCACCCCAUCAACGACCAACAUACAGGAUGGGGGAGGGUCUAUGUGUGACGCGGGCGCCGUCACCAUGGACGGGGGAAGGAGGAGGUGGCAAAUACGCGGCCAUCGGUACGUAGAUAGGGGAGACACGCGGAAGGCCGGAGGGGAAACGGAACACUCUGGAUCGCGAGCGUGGUGGCAAGGGGAUCGAUGGAGGCGGGAUCGGCGGCGAAGGGGUCGGCGGCGGCGGCAGCGAACAGAGAUAGGGAUCUGAGGGCUGCUCUGUACGGAGAUAGCGCGAUGGCGGUGGGGAAGGAAUGUCCUCUGGCGGGGUUCUCGCUCGAGGGCUCUCUAGACGCCUCGCUCGCUCGCCCUGGAACUUUUUCCGCUGGUUUAAUUUCGUAGAUUUUUUUCCAUCCGUUUUUCUGGCGUAGUUCGUGCGAGGGAACUACCUGGACGCAUCAGGAGGGCGUCGCGAACGUGGUUUUUGAGGGUCCAGGGGGGAAUCGAUGAGAUGUGGGAGGUGGGAUCGAGGACGAAAAAAGCCGUCUCUGGUGGGACGAAAAUUGACCAGCGGAGACUACCAACUGAGACAUUAGGAGUAGAGAUUACAAAACUAAUUACACGAAUGAAAGGGAAAUCGCGAGACGAAUCCAUUAAGCCUAAUUAAUCCGCCAUUAAAGAUUGUUUACUGUAGCACAACAUUGUCUAAUCAUGACAUAAUUAGGCUCGUUAGAUUCUACCGUGGCGCCCUCGAUUGUUUACUGUAGCACCCUCGAUUCCUCAAGGAAGAUAUACAGGACGGAGGGGAUCAAGGNNNNNNNNNNNNNNNNNNNNNNNNNNNNNNNNNNNNNNNNNNNNNNNNNNNNNNNNNNNNNNNNNNNNNNNNNNNNNNNNNNNNNNNNNNNNNNNNNNNNNNNNNNNNNNNNNNNNNNNNNNNNNNNNNNNNNNNNNNNNNNNNNNNNNNNNNNNNNNNNNNNNNNNNNNNNNNNNNNNNNNNNNNNNNNNNNNNNNNNNNNNNNNNNNNNNNNNNNNNNNNNNNNNNNNNNNNNNNNNGCUGUCUAACUUGUGUAGGAGCACCGGUGCGGCUGCCAUACUCGUUUUGUAUGAUGGGGUCAAAGUUCAUGGAUAGGGGUAGGUUGUAACAGCUAUUGAGGUAUUCGUUACAGAUUUUUGGAUUGGGGAUUAGGCCAAAGGUCACUUCAGAUCGUUGUUCUUUCUUUUUUGCCUUUGUUCUUUUUUGCCUCCUUUUUUCCCCACCAGGAAGCAUGGGACCAGAAGACAAGGUUUCUAUCGUCUUUCCUGUUGCGUUUUCUUAUAUUAAAAAUAAUAGAAAAACCUUAGUUCGUUUCAAUAGAUCUCAUCAUAAAUGAGGCACGCUCGGAACGGUUCGCAAAUGAGAUUGCUCCAUCCAUAAGUUCAUACAUUGCACCUUAGUACAGACAUCAUCGUUUGUUCAAAAUACGGAAGACACUUAAAAGUAGAGAUGUUGUCACGAGGAGACUCUUACUACACAUACUUCAAUGCUAAUUGAACACAAGAACUCGAUUUUGCUUGCACACAAUAGUAGGCAACGGAUCCCUGCUUAUUCAUCAGCCC
rnacentral:lncRNA from 1 species